rnacentral:lncRNA from 1 species
UUUUUUUUUUUUUUUUUUUUUUUUUGUCGACAAAUUCGAUAGUUUUAUUUGGUCCUAGUCGUGUGGGGUUUGAUACUAAUUGUUAGUUCAAUGUUAUUUAAAUAGAUUUCAUAUGCAAAACUCUUCCUCUUUCUUUCUCUCUUUCGUUUAUUUUUUGUUGACCAAUUCGAUAGUCUAUAUGUUACAAAUAACAAAUGAACAUUUGGUGAGUAAAAAAAUGUCAAACCACACCAAAUUUUAGAUCUAGAAUGAAGAGCAAUAUGUAGGUGUAAAUUGGCAUGUGACAAUUUUUUAUUAAGUGCAGUACUAUGGUUGGUUGUAUCCUGAUUCUUUCAUUAAGAUUAAAGGUUAGUUAGGUUUAUAGAGCCUCUAUCAACUUAACUAUCAUUUAUCAAUGGCCAUGAUGUAAAUUUAUUAUUCACCACACAUCUUUGGUAUAUAGAGCAUGUGAAUGUUAAGCUUUGUACUCAAUUGGAGUCUAGGCAGAAUGCGUUUAAAACAGGUGAAGUGUUGUAUUAAGUAGCUCCAAUUUUAAAUACGAGAUUAUGUUUGGAUUGUAAGUAUAAAAAAACUAAGAAUGUGGUGCAUAAAUGUAAUAUAACUUCAUAAUUUAUUAGUGUUCAUCGAUGACAUUAAUAGACAUCGAUACAAAUUCAUCCGUGUUUAUCACGGAUAAAUUUUGCUAUAUUUGUAUACAUAACCAAUAAUCAAUAUCCAUCCAUCAUUAUAUUCUCAAUUACUUUAAAUUUGUUAUUUUUAUUUAUUUCAACUUAGUUAGGUUCAAGUAAUCUUUCUAAUUAUUAAAUAUAACUCAAGUUCAAAAAUUAAAUUUUUGUUAAUAAUAGAUUGACUAUUUCAAUUAUGUAAAGCAAUGACUAUGUCAAAAAUGAAACCUGAAUUUAAUAUAAAUAUUUUAGACUUCUAGAGGUUUAAAUUGGAUAUGAUAUCUGUUUUUAUGUUUAUCUCUAAACUUUUAUAAAUAUUGGUCGAAUCUAAAAUUUUGAUAUAUUUUAUAAAUGUUUUUUUAUUUAUUUUCUUAAUUUUAAAAAUGUCUAAAAAAUUAUUUUAGUGAUUUUAUUCUAUAGAAGGUAAAUAUUUUGUGACGUUUUUAUACUUUUAAAAAACGUCAAUUAAAUAUUUUUGAUUUUACUAAUUUAAUAAAAGUUCAAAUGGAACUCAUUUGAAAUUAAAUUUUUUUAAAAAAAUUAAACAACUUAUUUGUUAUCAAUUUUAAUUUCACUAAAAUUGAUGAAAUUCCACAUUGUAGAGAGUAAGAAUGUGCAAAUGUAGAAGUAUUUAUUUAUUUUGAAAAGAACAUACAACAAGAAGUUAAUCCCAAAAUCAAACAAUCUAAAACUCAACCUUUAGAUUUAGACUUAAUAUACAAUACAUAAUUUUGUAAAUAAUUUGAAGUGUUGAAUUGAAAUAAGACAAUGUGGAAAUUUGAGCAAAUAAUUCAAAAACAAAACUUCAAUGAUUGACCAAAGCCCACAAAAGCAAAAAGCAUUAAUUUAUUCAAUUUUGGCAUCCAAAGUUGCAAAGAAAAAUUAAUUUAUCAUAUCUUCACGAGGAAAAAGGCAAAGGUACCCUUACAUUAAAGACAAUCUACUUCUUUGUUGAGGGUCACUUGAGUAAUUUCAGAUAUUGAUGUACUUGGAGAUGGUUGAAUAGAAGAAGAAGAGGCACCGACACCUUUGGAGGAACCACACCCUCACACCCUCACACCUUUCCCUAUUUCUCUUUUUAAAAAUACUUCUUUUUCUUUUUGGAAUAUCUUAAUCAAUCAUUUUAUUAAACUCCAAACCACAAGAAGAAGAAAAAUAUUAUUUAAGAAACUUAGAAAGCAUUUCCUUUUCCUUUUCCAUUAACGAAAAAAUUUGAGAUUCUAAAUCAAUGAAAGUGAGGUGAGAGUUAUAAUAGGAUGUGUUUAUAUGUAGACUGUUGUCUUUGUUUUGAUAGAAAAUUGUGAAUAAUGAAAUAAGGUAGUGAAUGUUGUAGCCAAGAGUAAUUUGAAAUAGUAUUUAAGUUGCAUACACCAAUAUUAUAGUUGGGGCAACAGAAAAUGAAAUCACUUCACCAACUUCAAGUUAGUGUCCCAGAUGGCUCUACCAACUUUAAGUUUUUAUAAACUUUUAUUUUUUUUCUAUUCAAUAUUUUAAUUUUAAACUGUGUGUCUAACCUGUAUAUAUUUAUGGUUAAUUUUCAUAAUUAGAAUAAAACGACAAAGUAUUUACGAUCUAUAGAACAAUUUUAAAAAAAAAACUCAUUAAGACUGAUUAUUUUUUUAGAAUUUCAUAUUGACCUUUAAUUGUUUAUAAUGAUUUUUCAUUUUUGAUUCUUUCUCUUCUUCUCGAUUUUUUCGGUAUUAUUCUCUAUUCUUUACAGUUCUUGACGGCAUUUUUUCUUUUCAUCGCCUUUCUUCUUAUCUUUUGCAAUUUUUUCUUCUUCUUUCCAUCCUCUUUUUCUCUUUUUCUGCAAUUUUUAUUCAGAUUGUUAUUUGGUUCAAAAUCGUGUACCAAAUGUACAAUAUUUUUUUUUCAAAUUGUUAUUUAGGAUAUUGAAUAGCCAAAUCUAAACGAUCACAAAUUUAAACACCAAAUAAUAUUUUAAAAAGUUUAACCAAAUUUAAACGAUAGUCUACAAAAAUAGUCAAAUUUAAACGAUCGUGUAGCAAAAAAUAAAAUCGUUUAGAUUUUGAUACCCAAAUUUAAAUGAUUAUGUACCAAAUAUAAAUGAUUAUUUUUCAAAAAAAUCUUGAGAAAAUCGCAACGAUCAAUUAAACAAUCGUGUACAAAAAAAAUGUAAUUAAAAAAUCGUUUGGAUUUAUGUCCAAAUCUAAACAAUCAAAUUCUAAACGACGGUUUCUUAAAUAUAUUAGCUGCUUGAAUGUCAAAUUAAUUGAGGGUAUUUUUAAAAUUUUUUAUUGUGGCCUCCGAACUUUUUCCUUUUUCAAAAUUGUUGGGUGUAAAUAUUUUAUUUAUUAGUUUGUUCUAUUUUUUAAAACACCCCUCUUUUUGUUUACUGUAAUUUAAUUUAGAGAUUUAUUGGAAAAAAAAUAAAUAGAAGGAGAAAUUUAGAGACAAAACUCAAAUUUGUAUCCAAUGCAUCAAUUAAUUUUGAAAAUUUGUAAAUGUUCCAAAAAUGUAAUGAAUGCAAAAUUGAGAGUUAAAAAAGGGAUGGCAUUCUUUUUCUUUUUUUCUUUUUUUCUUUUUCUAAAAUCAAUUAUAAAUAUGAAACCAUUCAACACUUAUUAUUAUUGCUUUAUAUUAAAUCUGUAAAUUAUCUAUUUAUUUAUGCUAAUUUUACCCUUUUCCUCUUGUGAUAAUUACUAUCAGAAAAGUAAUUAAUAUUUUAAAGGGCAAUGGAGGAUCCAUGAUUUAAUUACAAUUACUAAUUUAAGUAUGUGUACCAACAAACAAGAAAUUGAUUUAUAUUAUCUACUAAAAUCAAUCAAUAAUUUGGUUCAUUAUGAGUUUAUUUUUCCAUAUUUGUUUUUUCUUUCAAAAAAUAAAACUCUAUGAGAUCUACAAACCCUCUUUUGCAACUCUUCCAUUUCCUCCCGCUGUUAGUUUCUACAAAAAUAUCUUUUUACUUUUCAUUGGUUUCAAAAUCUUUAUACUUUUAUUUCUUAAAUCCUUUUUAUUUGAUUUCAAUUAUCUUUAUACUUUUAAUGCAAUUGAUUUUACCAAAUAUUCAUUUCUUAAUUUCAAAUAAGAGAAUAAAAGUGUAAAAAAAUUACACUAAGUAAUUAUUUUUAAAAAAUGAAGAUAAAUUAGUUUAAAAACUAUAAUUUUAUAAGUUUAAUUUGUCAAAUGGUUAAACACAUUAAUGGGUGAAUUUACUAAAGCAUGUGUGAUUUUGGAUCAUAUAAGAUUUACGCACUGAGUUGUAAAAAAGAAAGAAAAAAAAGAGUAAAGAGUAUUAUAUAAAUUUGAUCAAAUUAAAACAGAGAAGAUUGCUAAGUUAGUAAUAACAUUUUUUAGGGUACAAAAAAAUUGAUAUAUGAAGGAGUAAAAUAAAAGAAUGGCUAAAUCGUAAGGACCAAAACACUUAUUUAAUCAACAUUUCCUUUUUCCACUUUCUAUAUGAAGAGAGAGAUCUUAACUUGAAGAAAAGAUGAAAGGAUGUAAAAAAAGCAAAGAAAACUCAAAGAACAACAAAUUAAAAUCAAAGUUAUUUGUGAAUUAAAUCUAUGGAAAUUAAAUUUUUUAACACAAUUCACAUAUAUUAUUUGGUUGAAGUAAAGUUUCUUUUAAGGGAAUUAAUAUUUAUAAGAAACAACAUAGAAAUAUAUAUAUAUACACACUGUUGAAGGCAUAUUGAUUUUAUAUAUUUGUGUGUGUUUGUUUUAAGUCACAUUCAUAUAUAUUCUUACCUAAAUAAAGAUAUAAUGUUAUUUUCAUGGCUUCAGCUUUGCUUUUAAAUAUUUUCAAGAGUAUUGAAAUAUUGUGUGUUAUUAAUUUGGUAGUACGUAAGAGUUUAUAGUUUUUGAAAUUAUUCAUUAAUAUAAGUAUCGUUUGUUCAUCAUUUUGUUUUUUUUUUUAAAAAAAGAAAAAUUAAGCUUAUAGACACUACUUUCACCUUCAAAUUUAAAAUAAAAAACGAAAUAGUCACCAACCAAAACUUAAGUUUGAUUAAAAUUGAACUAUUUACGAUAAACAAAUUUUGUUUAAUUAAAUCCUAUUUUGAUUAAAUUCUACUCCAAAUUAAGUUAAAGUUUUUAUUAUAUAUAACAAUUUAGUCUAUAUUAGUUGUUAAAUAUGACUUAAAAUCCACAACCCACAUAACACAUGCUCUACAAACUGGUGCCUUUGAGAUAAUAGGAUUUGAAGACAUUCAAAAUGAUAAUCAAGCAUACAUGAGAGACACCCAAUAACUCAUACAUUCAAUGCAUAGAGUUGAAUAACCUUUGUUCUAGAACAUUAAGUAUAAGCAGACUUACAUUAAUGAGUUCAAAAUCAAGUCUCACAACUAACUACGAUGAGUUUCAAUCCUAUCCCUAGCUAUAGGCUAGAAAUACUUACCUUAGCCACUCAUAAUGUGGUAUAAGAUGAGCCUUAAUGUUGAAAUAAAUGCAAGAUACAAGAUGAUAGAGUUUGGAAUGUAAAACUAUAGAGAAAUGGAAGUUGGUGGUUGCAAAAAUGAAGCUAUACCAUGUGACCUAAAUCAAAGAAAUAAUAAUCCCUAUAUAAAUGUACCGGUGUGUUGUCUCGCACUCUCCACAUUUUGCCCUUACCCCAAGCAUUGUGCCACUACACACAGGGAACACAAUGACAUGCAUGCACACGAUGCUCUUCGUUCAUCCAUUUCGACUUUGGUGGUAUAUAUAUUCUACCUCUUAGUUGUUCAAAACAUAUAAAAUAAUAUAAUAAACUAGUACAAUCCAAAUAGAGUCUAAAUUAAAUUAGAGAAAUUAGCACAUUUUCGAUACUAAUAACAACUUGUAACAAAAUUUGAUAUAUAUAUAUGUAAUCAACCUACUUGUCUAUGUCUAAGAAAUUUCAUUAAAUAUUAAUAAUGUUUGCCCCAAUAAUGAUUAAAUGAUUAAUAAGUAAAAAGCUCUUUAAAUAAUUGGAUUGAUUUUAAAAACUACUUUUGAAAGAAACAAUAACUUGAGAAAAUGAGUGUCCAAUACUGACUUUUAAAAAGAACAUCUCAAAAUCUUCAAGCCUUUUUUUUUUCUGUGUGUAACAAUUAAUUUUGAAUGUAAAAAGCAUUUUUUUUUAAAAUAUGUAUGUUAUUUUUUUAUUUCUAAAAAUCUUAAUCAAGAAGAUAAUCUAAAUACAUCUUAAUAAUUAAGUAGCUAUAAUCACAUUAAAAAAUCAAUUCCUCUCUUUUUUAAAAACAAAAAAAAAGUAAAAGAAAGAAUGAGAUUUGUAGUAUGUGAUACUUUCCCCACUUGGAUUGACCAAAUCUCUAGAUUUGGUACAACUUAUGCAUCAUCCCUAUUUCACUUUCUCAUUUACUCUUCUUUUCUUUAAAUCAACUAUUUUCUUUUCUUAAAAUAUUAUUAUUCAUUUCAUUAUACACUUUUAGUAUAUAUCAACCAAAUCCCAAACAAAUUUGCCUCAUCAAAAUCUAUAGAUAAUAUCAGUCUUUAUUGGUACCAAAAUGACUAGUUGUACAACAUCAUACGUGAAAAAUGAACAUCAUGUAUUUAAGAUAAUUAUUACGGUGACAAAAGUCGAAACAUUAGCUAAUAUAUACUCACACAAUAAUGUAACAUCUAAGAGAAAUAAUCUUUUAACUAGAUUUUUAUCGUACAUAGAAAUAAUUAAAUAAAGUUAGUUUCAAAAGUUAUCAAAGAAAAGCUUUAGAAAUACAUAGUUCCUUCAAGUAAGGACGUGCUUGUAGAAAUAUAUGAAAUAUCUUAUCAAGUAAAAAAGUAAUCCAUAUACUAUAGACUCUUAAUAUUAUUACUUGAAAACAUGAUCAACUUGUAUCUACUGACAAAUUUAGUAUAAUCACAGUGAUAAAAUUGUCAUUCAACUUUCUCUAAACUAAAGUUUGAGCCCCACCCAUUAAAUGUUUCUCUAAACAAUCAAUAAUUAUAUCAAGUUAACUAAUUAAUUAUAAGGUUUUAAGAUAUACAUACCAACAAUAUUUGAAAAGCUAUUUGAAGAAAUUAUUUAAGUUAAUGAAUAAAUAUUUUUAUACUUUUUAAUUAGAUAAAAAUAUGGCUUAUUAUUUAUAAGUUAAAAUACGGUUUUAGUCCUUAUAUAUUGUGCUAUUUCUCAUGUAUUUUAAACUUUCUCUUUAUUAAUAAUAAAUGCUGUUUUUUUUUCUAAAAUAAAGUUUGUACUAUUUAUUAGCAUUUUUAUUAUAAAUUUGGUUGUAUAUUUACACGGUGUAUUUUCCUGUUAAUUUACCAAUUCCAAUAAUAACUAAAUCUCAAAAUACAACAACUAAUGUAAUAUUUUAUAUUAUAUUUUCAUGAGUGAUAAAUCUAAUUUUCCAUAUUUAUUAUUUGGACUAGAGUACAAUUAAAUUAUUGUACAGUUUAUUUAAUUAUUGAGGUAUAAAGAAAAAAAAAAGUUAGAAAAUUUGAUGAUUAGUUGAGUAUGUGAAAAAUGAGAUGGAGAGGGUGAAGUUAGAAAUUGUAAAUGAGGUGACCAAUUUUAUUAUAAAGAUAAAUUUAUAGCAUAUUAAAUAUCUUUUUUCUAUAUUUUAUUUUGAGCAAUUCCCAUUUUUUAUUAGGUGUAUUUAUGUUUGUUUUAUCGUCUCUGUCUCCCUUUAGUUUGUGUCAUAGGGUGUAGCGGUUUGCAAUUGGGGGUUUUGGGUUUGGAUGGAUGAUUGGAUCCCCGGUUCGAUUGCCCGUGAACUCCAUUUCCACCCGACGGAGAUGAAGGGAACACACAAAAACCAAAAUAAGAAAUCCCACCCAACACUCUAACCCUAUUUAGUAUUAUAUGGAAGAUAUUUGAUGAUAUGAAGUGCAAUUAAAAGCAAAGGAAAGCUAAGGUGAAAUAGGGAAAGAAAAGAAGAGCGCCCGUGCCCCCCACCCCACCGUGAGCUGUCCUUCCAACCUUCAACAAAUCACCUACUCCCAGCUCUAUUUUACACCGUUUCUUAGAUCCAAUCAAAAUUAGCCACGUUUACAAAAUCUAUUUGCUCAUUGCCGACAUUUCCUUUCCCCACUCCACCACUUUAUUCCUCCACCACGUUUCCCAACACACAAUACUAUUUUCCUCUUUUUUUCCCUCCCAAUAUUUUACUAAAUCAAUAAAUGCUCUUAAAUUACUAUUUUCCUCUUUAUUUUUUCAUAUUUUUUCAAAAUACUAUCAAAUUCAAUUCUUUACAUAUUAACAAUUUUUGUCUCAAUAUUAUAUAAUUUUUAAAGAAAAAAACUAAUGCUAAUAGAGAUUAAUUAUAUUUAGGAAAUAAAUCAAACUAUUAGAAGUGAUUUAUUUGAAGAUUUACUAAAACUAAUGCUAAUAGAGACAGUAUCACCAUCAAUAUCUAACAAAACUAAAGUAUGUAGGCUAAAAAUGUAUUUUAAUUAACCAUGAGGGGAAUAAAAUUCAAUUCUUUUUUUUUUUUAUAAAUUAUUUUAAGAAUGAGGUUUUAGGUAUUAAAUUUGAAUGUUGUGUUGGGUAACUAAAAGAAAAAUAAGAAAAAGUAGGAAUGUUUUUAUAGAUGAAAAAUGAUUUAGUUUUGAAGGAGUUUUGAGGUUGAAGUUGAGUUUGUUUAGUGAUUAAAAUUUGUAAGAAAAUUAAUUAGGUAGAUGUAACCAUUUGGUUUGUUGUGAUUGAUUGUCGAGAGAAAGAACCCCUAAUGACUUUCCACCUCUUUUUUCAUUUAAUAUAAUUUAAUAUGUAACCUAAUUUCAUUAUUAUUAAUUAUUUUCUCAAUAUUUAGAAUUGGAUUUUCCAUUUUCUGAUUUUAAAUAAUUCCGCCUAUUUUGGUCCGCAUUUCUUUUUAGUUUUGUUUCAUUCAAUCUUUGUGUUUUUAAAAUGUUAACUCAUCUCUUUUCAUUUAUUUUGGUUCUUUUAAUUUUAUUUUAAAUUUGUACUUUAUCAAUCCAUUAAAAUAAAUAAAAAAGAAAAAAUAAUUAUUAACAACAAAGUUGAUUAAUAUCUAUUAUUUAAAGAAUAUAUAGAACUGACGGUGUUUGAAAAGAUAAUUUUGAGGUAACUUAUAUAAUUAAUAUGAAAUAUAUAUUUUUUGAUUAAAUAAGCUUUAAAAUUAUAAAAUGAGCUCUUCAAAAUAAAUAAAUAAAUGAAAUGAAAUGAAAUAGGGAAAGGGAAAACACCCGCAUAAAAGAAUUGUGCUCACAAACUAUCACAGUUGCUUUACCUUCUCCCUCUAGAAGGAAGCUUUGUCCUCUUUUCUUUGCCGGAAUCUGCUGCAUUCGCCGGCCGCCACCGGCCAUGGAUUUUACUCUCUCCGCCCCCUUCAAGCUCUCCAUCAUAUUUUCUUUUCUACUUCUCUCCUUCCGAAUCUCCUCCGCAUCCCCGGAAUAUUCAAAGCCUCGUUUGUCGUCUCCUUCCGCUAAUUCCUCCGGCCAGAUUAACUCCAACUCGGUCCUCGUCGCUCUACUGGACUCGCAUUAUACCGAGCUUGCAGAGCUGAUUGAGAAAGCUUUGCUGUUGCAGAUUCUAGAAGAUGCUGUUGGAAACCACAAUCUCACCAUUUUCGCGCCGCGAAACGAAGCUCUGGAGCGCGAUCUCGACCCUGAGUUCAAGCGUUUCCUUCUCGAGCCAAGGAAUUUGAAGUCACUCCAGACGCUAUUGACGUUUCACGUCAUUCCGACUCGUAUCGGAUCGACCGAGUGGCCGAAGCAUUCUGAGUCGACUCGCCACCAAACACUCUCCAAUCACGUCCUCCGAUUGACUCACCACAGCACUGGCGAACGAACCGUGGAUCUCGCCAAGGUCAUUCAACCCGACGCCAUUACACGUCCCGACGGCGUCAUCCACGGAAUCGAACGAUUGCUCAUUCCUCAGUCCGUACAAGACGAUUUCAACCGCCGACGGAAUCUCCAGGCUAUAACUGCAGUGAAACCGGAAGGAGCACCAGAGGUUGAUCCGAGGACUCACCGUCUAAAGAAGCCAGCUCCACCAGCCGAACCAGGCUCUGCACCGGCUCUUCCAAUAUACGACGCAUUAGCUCCAGGGCCAUCGCUGGCUCCGGCUCCCGCGCCGGGACCAGGUGGGCCACACCACCACUUCAACGGUGAACGGCAAGUGAAGGAUUUCAUUCACACUCUUUUACACUAUGGCGGUUACAACGAAAUGGCUGAUAUAUUAGUGAAUCUAACGUCCUUAGCCACGGAAAUGGGAAGGCUAGUUUCAGAAGGCUAUGUGUUAACCGUUUUGGCGCCGAACGACGAAGCCAUGGCGAAACUGACGACGGACCAACUGAGCGAGCCAGGGGCCCCGGAGCAAAUCAUGUACUACCAUUUGAUUCCAGAGUAUCAAACGGAGGAGAGUAUGUACAAUGCAGUUCGCCGAUUUGGAAAAAUCCGAUACGACACAUUGAGAUUGCCGCAUAAAGUGGUUGCGCAAGAGGCUGAUGGUUCGGUGAAGUUUGGGCAGGGAGAAGGGUCGGCGUACUUGUUCGACCCUGACAUUUACACCGACGGGCGUAUCUCAGUGCAGGGAAUCGAUGGAGUUCUGUUUCCGCCGGAGGAGGCGGAGGAGAAACUGUCGGUGAAAACAGUUCAACACGUGAAGGUAGUGACCAAGCCAAGGAGAGGUAUGUGAAACAAUUUCGUUUUCUGCAAUACAAUUUUCCAUGAAUCUAUUGCUUUGUUAUGUUUGUUAGUUUAGGGUUUCACGGCGCUUCCUACCUCUAUUUAUCUAAUUCCGGUGACCGGCUUUGCCGGAUUGAUUAUGGAUUCAGCUGAAAAAGUAAGGAGAAAAAUGUUAAAUCACUAGUCAUUCUUUAGUCCUGUUUGUUCCUGUAUCAGUAUUUUAAUAGGUUUUUUAAUUGUGUCUAAGGUGGAUUACACUUCCAAUUUUGGUGUCUAACAAGUCCCAACAAAUUUGAAAAGUUUAACAAACAACUGAUCUAUUUGAUGUAAUUUAAUUCUAUGACUUCUUAUUUUGUGUUUAAUAAAUUAGUAAAUCUCAAAAAAUUCAUAAGAUUUAAUUGAUAGUACAUGAACAAGAAAUCUCAAAGUCAAGGGACUUAACUUGUAAUUAUAAAUAUAUUGAGAAGGUGUAUAGUGAAAUUUACUCAUUGGAAUUGCUUGGGAAGUGGGGAUUUGGUGGCAAAGUUUGAUGCGUUGAGAUGGGGCUUUUCUAAAACAAAUUUUCUGGUUGAAGUUUACUUUUGAAGAAAGAGACUGAGUUUCUUCAAUGGGGUUGCUUGGAAUCUCUCCGUGUUAUCUAAUGAAACCAAAAAUUCCAAGUAAAAUCUUACAAUAUUAUUUUUCACUAAGAUCAUCUUCUAUUUUGUAUUAAUCUUUGGAUUCUUUUAAUAAUUAUGCAUAUGGGUUUAGUUUGUCUUUAUAUAAAUUGGAUUGGACAAGUUUAGAAUUAUCAAUGAAGGGUGGCUGUUGAGUUAUCAAAAUCACCAAAUGAGUAGAAAAAUUAUUAAAUAGUUUUUUUUCCUCUUCUCAAUUUGUUUUGUUAAUAAAAGGUAAAAAAAAUGAAAUAGGAAAAAGUAUGAGGACAACAAAAAUAAUUAAUUGGGUUGGUGAACUCAGAAUAUCUUAUGGAAUUUAAAGGAAUGGGACCCCUUUGAAGAGAAAAAACAUUUAAAACAACAGCUGGUGGAGAGAAAAAAAGCUCUUGUCAUUUGCCCAUUAAGCUUCUCUUUACAUAUUAUUCCCUCUUUACCUAAAAUAUUGUUGGCUUCUUCAUGAGUUUUUAGAUUUUAUUAUUCUUAUUUAUUCUCAUCUCAAAAACCAUUCAUUGAAUUUUGUAUAAAAUUUCAUUCUACUAAUUGUUUGAAUCAUUUAGCAUAAACUUGACAACCUUGACUUGGCAUACAUCUGUUUUUUUAUGCAUGUUUGUAAGCUAAAGAAAACAGUUUGGUUAUAGACCAUGUUCCAUAACCAUAGAUAUACAAGUACUGUUCAAACAAAUAAGGAAUUAUUUGAUAGCUAUUAAGCCUAUUUUCUGUCAACUUCUUACAAUAAUUUGUAUUUUUUUUUAGUGCAAGAGACAUUCUCAACCUACUUUUACAAACAAAACUAGAUUCUUAAAAACUAGUUUUUUUUUCAUAAGUUGAUUUGAUUUUUUAAGACAUUAGUAAAAGGUAGAUAAUUAAGCCAAAAAAUUAGAGGUGAAAGGAGGCUUUGUAAUUAUAAUUUUGAGAAAACUAAAAUCAAAUAGUCACCAAAGUAGGGUAUAGAAAAGGAAUGGAUUGUGUUUAUAAGUGUAGAGUUGGAGAGAGUGUUUAAAUAGAAGUAUAAAAUUGAUGUUUGUUGUGUUUGUGUUUAUAAAUACAAUGGCAGGGAAAUUGCUUGAAGUGACAUGUAGAAUGCUAGGAGCCUUCGGACAGGAUUCUCGUUUCACAACUUGCCAAUGAAACACUUUUCGCCUACAAUUCUCAAACACACAGGUUUUUCCUUUUUUCUUCUCUUUUGAUUACACAUUUCUGGCUGCCCAUAUCACUGCUCUCCUUGAUCUAUUAGAUAAUAUAGGUUCCAACUUACAACCAAUUUGAUAACAAAUUUUUGUACAUCAAGUUGAAAUACUUGUCGUAAAACUUCUUGUUUUGGUUGUUUAAUAUAAUGAUCUUAGUUUUAACUCCUUAUUGCUUACAAUCAUAUAAUAUUGGCUUCCUCCUCUAUUUUGUAGUCUACUUUCAAAGCUUGAAACUAUAUUUUAAAACAUGACAAAUUAUGGUUAGAAUAUUAUUUUGGUCGCUAUAAUGCAAAGUUUGUUUAAUUUAACCUCUCAAGUUUGUUUUUAUUGAAAUCAAUUAAAUAAUAAUAAUAAUUUUCAUGCACGAGAAAUAAAGUAUAUGAAUAUGGUUUCAAAAAAGUCCACAAACAUUAAGGCUAAAUUUUAAAUUGAUUGAAAGUAAAAAAUACUGAAUUUGAACCAUUAAAACUAGACUAGAGACUAAAAUUAAACAAAUUUAGAAAUUUAAAUAGUAUUUUAACAAAAAAAUAAUAAUAAAAAGAACAUAUAGAAGGACUUGCUGUUUUGAAAAAUACAUGAAGGGAAGAAGGCAACCAAUAUCAACCUAAUUCAAUCAACUAGUUUUCAAAUGAAAAAGAACACCAUAACCAGUAAGCAUUAUUAUACAUAUAUUGAGUUAUGAGAAUGUGUUGAAUUGGAAUAUAGAAGAGGUUGCAAUGCAAUCUGAUUAAUAUAGAUGUGUUGAUGCAGAUGCAGAUGCAGAAAUGUUCUACAUGAAGAUGCAGCCCUUCUUUAAUGGGUGGACUUGGGAUGAUGCCCUUCAUCCUCUUUUUUCUCUCCUUUUUUCUUUCAUUUUUUUUUUAAAUGUGAGUUUGUGAGUAAAAAAAAGAAAAGAAAAAAAAGAAAAAAAUUCACUGUGAAUUUUCAAUCCUCAACCAUACUAUUUAGUACAUAAAUGUAAUUUUUUUUUUUAAUUUUGAAAAAAAAGAAGAAGAAGAAGAAAAGAAUUAGAUGUUAUGGUGAAGAUGAUGAGUAAGGGUGGUUGAAAUGGGAACAUAGAUGGGGUUGGAGUGUUAUUAUUCCCCUACUUAAAUAAUAAAUUCAAAGAAGUAAUUUGUGCAAUACACAAUAAACUUCCAUUUUCAUUUUUAUUUCUCCUAAUUCUUUAUUAUCAUCUCAUGAAAUUCAUUGCUUUCAUCACACACCCUUUUUCUCCUUUUUCUUUCUUUUGACUUUCUUCUUUGUUUGUUUGUGCCAUUUAUGUGUUUUAUUAAUUGAUGCCAAAUGUCUUCCUUUUCCUUCUUCUUUCUUCUUUGGAAAUGUCUUCCACAUUAGUAUCCUUCUUUUUUCUUUUACUUAAAUACCACUUUCCUACUUUCUACUUUUUGUUUUUCUUUCUUUUUAUUAUUAUCUAAUUCUAAAAUAUUCAUUAUCAUUUUUCUAUUUUUAAAACUAAUGAUGUGUUUGGUAGAUUUUUUUAAAUCAAUUUGAACAAUAAUAUGGUUUGUAUCUCAUGUUUCUAAACAUGUGUUUGGUUGCCCUUUCAAAUAUUUUAAUCCAAUUUAAAUCAUCUUUCAAUAUAUAUAUAUAUAUAUAUAUAUAUAUAUAUAUAUUUAUAAAUUAUAAAAUUAAUUACAGUUACUCACUAAUGUUUACUUUAAUAUAAGCUAUAAUUAAUUAAUUAAUUAAUUGAAGAAUUUUAUUUAUGUUAAUUCUUUCUAUAAUAAUUCUUUUGUAAUAUCAUAGUUUAAAUUUUACAAACAUACGUGUUUAUAACAUUAAAUUUACCAUCAUUUUAAUACAAUGAUGCAUUUUACACUUUUCGAAUCAAAACUUGGUUACACUUUUUAGAAUUCGUAUUGUUUGUAUCAAAAUUCGAAAAUAGAUUUUGAAAACAAAAUUCACGUUGAUGACCACCAAACACAUAUUUUAGAGGUGAGCAUCGACACACGAAAAAUAAACAACCGAAAUUGACUGAAUCAACACCCGAUAGUUGAUUCUAUUAAAAAUAUGGUCGGUUGGUUGGUUUAAUUAAAAGGUUUUGAAAAAUCGACCGGCUAAACAUCGUUGUCGGUUUCCGUUAUUAUAAACCAACUAGGUCGAUUUUCAAUCGUGAUUUUUGUCAAAACUGAUCUCGCUCGAUUGAUGAUCACCCCUAGCAUAUUUGUUUAACUCAGUCAAACUCAAAACAUAUGACAUCAUUUGAAUUACUUACCAAACAAAUACCAACUCUUCUGAUCUUUCAUUUGUAGUGACACGUCCGAAAAGUAAUAUAGCAAAUCAAAACUGAUAUUUCGUAAAUUAUCGAAGGUAGAUUUUUAGUUCUUUUUACAAAACAAAAAUAUUGUUUAAAAAUACCUUAAUUAAAAUAAAUAUUUAAAAGUUCCUUUUAAAAAUGAAUUAAAGUGGAUUCUUUCCAAAUCAAAAUAGGAUUUAAAAUAUUUGUUUUCCUUGUAAUGAAUGUUGUUGUGAUAUUAAGAAUGCCAAAAGGCACUUCUACAUUAAUCCAAGUUAGCCACACUACUUGUUGAAUGGUACAUAAGAAAGAUAAUUGUGGAGUUGUUCACAUAAUCACAUGAUCACUUUUAUGUGCAUGAAGUUAGGUUGGAUUAACAGAUUCUUCAAUUCUUUGAGAAUAGAAAAACAAAACCUAUUGGCAUUCUUAAUCCAUCCAAUUUUAAAACUCAUAUCCAUAAACUUCAUCAAAACUCUUUAGUUUCUUUUUUCUUCAAAUUUUCUCAAUUGAUAAGCUUCACAUCAUUGAACUAAUACUUUUAACAAUGCUACAAAUUAAUAGACACAAUCCAUAUCAAUUCAAUUUAGUUUGAUAUUAGAAUUCACAUCGAAUCGUAUUUACAGUACUCAACGAUUUCUAUCACUCAUUCAUUAACUCCUUAUGAUAUUACUAUUCAUCUCUAUUUUAGAGUCACUGCUAAACAAACUAAUCUUUUAGUUAGUUUUUUUUUUUAUGAUCAUGACACCACAUAUUUAUCGUCACUCAUAAUUCUUGAUUUUACAGUCUUAUCUUUUCUCUACUUCUCACUGUUUUUCUAUUGAAAUCUUUCACUCAUUAAAAAGGUUAUACAAUAUAAUACUCAAAGUAUCUCUCCUAUUAAUAUUCAACUUAGGUACAUUUGGUUUUGUGCAAUAUAGAAUAUUAUGUGAGAUUUUAUCCACAUAUGAUACACUUGGCUUGACUUGAUUGUUAACAUUAUUUCAACAAACACUACACGUUUAGUCUCUUAACAAAUAUUCUUUUUACUUUGCAACAUCACUUCAAAGAUCAAUUGUAUAUUUGCAUUCACGGUAAAGCAUAGAUCUUCAAAUAUUGAUAUUCCAUCUUUUCCAUUUUUUUAACUUCAUCAUACAUCUGGCUCCCUUUUUCGAGUGAGACUAUAGAGUAUUUAGAGUUGACAUCAAACCAACGGUAAUGAGUAGCACUUUUAAGACUAAUAAUUAAGUAUAUAUCAAUAUUUAUAAAGAUUUGUAAAUAUAGUAAAAUCUAUCAUGACUUCUAUUAGUGAUAUAGUUGCUAAAUUCUACCAUUGAUAGACUUUAAGAACUAUAUCUAAAUUUUACUAUAUUUGUCUAAUUUUUUUAGACAUAAUUGCCAUAUUCGGGAUAUGAAAAGAAAAAAAAACGUGUAUAUACACCUACAAUAUGAUCUAAUAACUUAUUAUAUAUAUAUACACACGUAUGUUGAGAAAGUGAAAGCAAAGCAGAAAAAACAAUUUAAGGUAAACCAUCUAUCAACGUUAAAAAAAAAAAAGAGAGUCGAGCGAUUGGUAGGUGAUGUUUCAACCAAAUGGAGGGCAAAUGAUGGCUUUGAGCAUAAGUACUUAAUGUAUACCACAUAAUACAAUGAGAAUACUUUAUAUUAAUUUUCAAUUUACGUCUUACAAUUGUGAGUUCAUGAUAUGGUCAAAAUUAGAAUAUUUGGAAUGCUAUUCCUACUAAUCUCUCUCAUUCACAACUAUAUACAAUUAAGCUCUUUACGUCUAUAUCUAUACCUCUCGAACUCUUUUGUUCUCUCUUUAUUUGAUGUGAUGGAGGAUUUAUACCCUUUGAAAUAUAAACCUCAUACUCAUUAAAAUCAAAAUUGAAGUGAAUCCAACACAAAAGUUUCUUUCUAAUAUACCCUUAACAAAACUUUAGAACAUGAUCGAUCACUGUAUUAUUAUGUUUGUGAUCUCCAUCUCCAUCUCCAUCUCCUCACCUUCUCACCUUGCAAAAGUUAUUACAACAAACAAAUAAUUGUGUCACAUCUCUUUCUUUCCAAUUUUGAUCCCAAGAUCGAAAACAACAUAACUGAACUCUCGUUAGUUAUAUCUAACAUAUUUGCAUAGUUCAUUUUUUUUCUAAUGAGAAACCUAAUUGUUUUGGUUUGAUUCUCAAUUCAUGGAGCUUAAACCAGCAAACACUAAUUGAUGUUGCUUCUUACUUUACACCCUCAUAUGUUACUAAGAUUCCUAAGAUUCCUUUUUAUCACUGAUACAUAUAAAUUUGUAUGAUUCAUAUAUAUAUAUAUAUAUGUCGAUAGAUAUGAUUCUAAUAUAUAUAAAUCUAUGAUUCAGAUAUAUAUGUCGAUAUAUGUCGAUAGAUGUUUUUAAUUUAUAGCACUCAAAAUUAUUAUUCGAGUUAGAGCUCUUAAUUGGGCCAUAACCACAUCCUUAUAACUCCACAAAUCAUCUCUAAACAACAUUUUUAAUUUGAUGAACGCAACUAUUUUUUAAAUAAUUAUUUUAAAGAAAAAUGAGAUUUUUCUUAUUAGUAAGAUCAUUUUUAAAAACUUAUAAUAUAAAGGGUAAAUUUAGCAUGAAAAAUUGAUAUUUGGAGAUUAAUUUUGAAAUUUUGAAAUUUUGAAAUUUCAAUCGAAAUUUUGAUAGUGAAAGAAUUUAUUUUUUUGCUACUAGAUAUGCUUGCUCAAGGGAAUUUAAGAGAAUUUAAGAGUUUUAAUUUUCGUCUUUCUUUUCCAUCGUGCUCUGUUAUGUUUUAUGUUAUGAUUUUUCUAUUAUUAUUAUUGUGUUAGGUUGGUUUAAUGCUAUGAUUUUUCAUUUUUGUAUCCACUUCAUUUAUAAUAAACAAUUUACAAUAAUUAUCUUCUUUUAUACAAAUAUUUCAUGCAUUUUUUCAAAUUCCUCCUCUUCACAUUUACACUAAUAUGUUACAACAUACAUCUAAAUGUUGUCUAUGUUUCCAUUAUUAUACAUCUAAAUGCUUAUUUCUUCAUAUAAAUAAUGGUUAAAAAUGAUCAUUGUAUUCUAAUUUAGCUACCAUCAAAAUUUCAUUAACUAAUAAUAACAAAUUUGUUAUUUUUAUCAAUUUCCUUAAGAGUUUUUCAAUUUAAAAUUAAAUCAAAACAUCACACAUUCUGAGGAUGCAUCCAAAUAUGAAAAAAGAAAGAAAGAAAAUCCUAUUAAAAUCGCAUUUAAGAAAGCAAGGAACAAAUUUGGAGGUAGGGGGUUUGAUAUAUGGUGGAACCUUCAAUCCUCCUUUCUUUGACCAUUCUUACAUUUUCUUUCUAAAUGGAAAGAUUUAAUAGGGUUAUUUUCAUGCUUGGCAUUUUGAAAGUAAGGAUAUGCAAAACAACAAUACUUUCAAAAGAGAAAAAAACAUGUGGAAUGAGAGUGGAAUUUGAUAAAUUAUAAAAACAUCUCCAAACUGUCAUUUCUUUCAAAAUUACAACAAUACAUUUGUCUUUACAUAAACAUUUCAAAACUUAUCCUACCUUGGGAUGGACAUCCAUUGGAAUAUUAUUUAGCAAAAAUUGAAACAUGAUACUGUGACAAAAUGAUCUGAAAUAGUGCAUCAGUCUCAACUUUCAUCCUAGAUCACUGCCACACCAUUCCAAAUUUCAGUUUCUUUCAAUCAAACUUCUACUCUUAAGGAUAGUUUUAAAACAUUUUUAAAAACCCAAAGCAUAUUAUUGCAACUUUGCAGUUUUUUUUUAAAACCAAAGCACAGUUCAAGGUUACCUAUUUUAUAGUUUAGCCAAUAUUCUUUCAAGUGUAUCCAUUUUGGACAUGCUUUAGACCCUAACUAACCUCCAAGAUUGAGUUUAUUUGGUAAAGAUGGGUACAUUCUCUAACAAGCUUGCAAAUGAAUGAGUCAUUUCCAGAAGAUAAAAAAGGAGAGUACUUUUCUAAACUUGAAAGGUUGGAAGAAGAGUUCAUCACAAAACAAACCAAUCAACCAUUGUAUUUCAACAGGUGGCACUUACAUUUUUAUUUUAGAUGGCAGCUGCAGUGUUUGCCGCUCUGCUGCUUCAACGCAAAUCAGAGUUUUAAGAACUUCCCUCACUCUUGUUUCUCCACCACUCCAUAAACUUAACUUGUGCAGCCAUGGUAUCCACCCUGUAGAGUUGAUACCAAUGAUUUGCGAUCUCUUGGCCAAAAGUCCAACCGAAUACACCCCCCGCAAGGAACGACAGCCCAGCGCCUGUCAAAACACAACUACGGAGUAAGCACACCAAUCGUUAACUAGCAUUUUAUGCAUCUUUAUACAUAGAACACAAUGCUCUUUUUCCUUCCUUCUUUUUUUGUUUUUUGAAAAGGAAACAGAUUGUAUUGAUGAAAUCUGAGGCAUGAAUUCAGAUGACAGAUACAAUGGGAUUCAAAGGAAAAAGUACAAUACACCUCGUGAAUACCAAAAAGAGGCCUACUCACAUAAUAUCGAAACAUAAAUUACUAGAACCUAGGGAAAUUAGAUAGAGGUUAUGAACACAGUCCAAUUGAGGCAUAUGUCUUGAAUUGAGUAAUCACCAAACAAUUUAGAUACAGAGCACCAAGACGAAGCAAGAAGGCGAGCUGAGGCAAAACGAUCUGACCAGUCAUAGAAUUUGUCAUGAAAAACUCCAUGAUUUCGUAUGAACCAGAGUGCUAAGAGAAAGGCUUUAACCGCAUUCACAUUAUACCAUAGCAUUUGUGCUUUUGGAGGAAAGGCUUUAACUGCAUUAAACCAUAGCGUUUGUGCUUUUGGAGGUAAAUGUGGACUGCUGAGAACUUGAAGCACAUUGUCUUUGAAGGAUUGUCCAAAGACCCAUUGCAAGUUAAAAAGGGAAAAUAGUUUCCACCAACACUUACCAGAGAAUGAGCAUUCGAAGAAAAGAUGUUAUAGAUCCUCUCCAGAAGCUUUACAAAGUGGACAAAUGGAGGGGGAAAUUGCAGGGCCUUGGAGUUUUGAUUGAAGAGUGACCGAGCAAUUAAGUGAUCCAAAAAGCAUUACCCAAAUUCGAACGUUCACUCUUUUGGGACUUUUUGAUUUCCAUGUUGCUUGAUAGAUGUUCUUUUCAAGAGAAUGCAAGGCAGUUAGAAACUGGGAAAGGGAUUUAACGGUGAACUUACCUGAGGAAUCCAAUAACCAAAGUCUAGAAUCUGCUGCAUGGGAUAGAGUUUUACCAUGGAUGCUAGAUAGAAGUGCUUGAAAAUCUGCAAUUUCUUCAUUUUUAGAGCACAUCGAAAAGAAGGAUUCCAGGAUGGAGUUGCAGGGUCCCAAUGAGAUCAUUCAUUGCCUUCUUUGUUGGUUGCAAUACGGUACAGAUUAGGAAAAACCUGUUUUAUUGACUGUUCCGAGCACCAAGGAGCUUCCCAGAAUGCAAUUCUUCUUCCAUCACCCAAUUUAAAGGUUGCAAAAUGAUUAAAUUUUGACCAUAUUUUUUAGAUACUAAUCCAUGGGCAGCAUAAACUAAGCCCAAACUUCCCAAAGGAAUGCCAUUCAAAUUCAUCAGUGCCACUGCCAUGUAUACUUUUGACGAUCUUGCAGUAAAAUGCCUCUGGUUCCUUAAAAAACGCCAAUUCCAUUUGAACGGCAAGGCUAAGUUCCUGUUUUUCAGAUUUCCCAAGCCAAGACCCCCAUCAGAUAAAGCUUUUGAUGCGGUGCUCCAUUUCACAAGGUGGUUUAGCUUGCUGCCUUUUUGUCCUUCCCAGAAAAAAAUGGACAUUAUUUUUUCCAAUUCUGUGAUUGCUGACCUCAUCAUUUGUAAGAAAGAUAAAUAAUAGGUUGAAAGGUUAGCAAAAACUGCAUUGCAAAGUGUUAGGCAGCCACCUCUAGAUAGAUUAUACUUAUUCCAACAAUCGAGUUUCAGAUGAAUUUUAUCGAUGACAGGCUGCCAGAAGGAUAGCUUUUUAGGAUAACCUCCUAGAGGUAGUCCAAGCAAGUGAAUGGAAUGGAACCAGUUGUACAACCCAUUCGAACAGCUGUUGAUUGGAUAGUGGAAGCGCCAAUGUUGACUCCGUAUAGAGCUGAUUUUUCCCAAUUUACUUUCUGACCGGAACACCAUUAAAAGAAACCAACUGUAUCAAUAAGAUUGUUCAAAGAUGUCUCGUUGUAUUGACUAAACAGAAGUGUGUCAUCGGCAAAUUGGAGGAUGGUGAUGUGGGGUCAAGCAAUUGGACAUGGUCAAGUUGCAAUAAAACCGCUUAGAAGGACGAGUAUCGUCCUCAAGGAUCAAAAUUAGGUUUUAACUUAGCUAUUCAAGAAUCGAAUUAAUUUUAUCUAAGGCAAUGGAAAAUGAGGUUAGGUUUGUUUCAAUUGAGUUGAAUAAAGAAGACUAAUAAUAUUAGCCAUAAUUUGCUACGAAACACUAUUCUAAGUAGCACAAAAGAAAGAAAGUAUGGAGGAGGAGAAAUUCCCGUGAUUGGAAUGUUUUGGAAUCAAAUGGGAAGCUUAAAAUGACAAAUUGAAGCCCUAUUUAUACAUGUUGGACAGGGAGAGCCUUGCAACGCUAUAGGUGCAGUGUGACGUUGUAGAGCAUCUUCACAACCGCACUAAUUGUUUGCUGAGUGCACUAAGUGCACAACGUUGCAACGCUGUCUACUUUUGACGCCUACUCAUCAGACGCAUGGGACCACUCGACGCAUCAUCUCCUUGUGGGCGUCAUUGCAACUCUAUAGGUAGCAUUGCAACACAGCCCUUCUUCUAGAGAAAUUUUCUUAAUUUCACAUAUUUCCUUCAUUUUUGUUCCAAUUAACUUGGGUUUGCCCGUUUUCGUGUAUUUUUAUCCAAAAUGAUAAAUUAGCCAUAAUUUGCUAAGAAACACUAUCAAACAAAUUAAAUCCAAUAAAAUCAACCCUAAAUAAGAAGUAAAAAUAAGCACAUUUUAUGCGCUUAUCAGAUGGAGAGGUGGAUUUUGUCUGUCCCAACCGUAAACCCUUCGAAUAAACCACUCUGAUGUGCCUGUGAGAUUAAUAGGCUGAGAACCUCACUGAUUAGAAGAAAUAAGAAGGGGGAUAGUGUAUCUCCUUGGGGUAUACCUUUUGAUGCUUGGAUGAAGCCUUGCGGUCGACCAUUAAUAAAGAUCAAGAAUUUUGGGUGUCGGAUACAUACAUUUGUCCAUUCAAUCCAUUUUGGAUGAAAACCCAUAUGCUUGAGGGUGUUGUCUAGAAAACUACAGUUUACUCAGUCAAAUGCCUUUUCGAGGUCAAUUUUGAGAAUCCAACCUUUUUUCUUCCUUGCUCGGUAGUCCUUCACUACCUCGUUUGCUAUAAGGAUUGGAUCCAAAAUUUGGCUGUCUCUUAUAGAAAGCACUUUGAAUAUUUGCUAUUAUUGAGGGCAUGACUUUCUUCACUCUUUCUGCCAAGACUUUGGUAAUGAUUUUAUAGGAAGAAGUGGUCAGACUAAUGGGCUGAAAAUCUUUGAGGGAUUCUUCCUUUUUUUGGAACAAGACAGAUAGUUUUCCAUUUUCACAAAUUCGUUGAACAUUUUUGGAAGACCUCUUUGAAAAAAUUCUAAUAUUCUAGGAAGAGUUCCACUGUGAAACUGUCGGAACCUGGUGCCUUAUUUUUCCCAAGAGCUUUUAUGGCUUAUAGGAUUUCUUCCCCAUUGAAUGAUGUUAUCAGGAAGGAAUUUUGAGAUGCACCAACCUGUUUCCAAAAUAGAUUGGAGCGGAAGAUUCUAGGGCCUGUGAGCUUUUUUGUAGAGGGGUUCAAAAUAAUGCAGAAUUUCACCUUCAACGGCUCUGAAUGAGGUUAUUGGUUCUUCUUCUGAAGAGAAUAUUUCAGGAAAACGAUUUCGCCUUUUUUUUGCUGCAGGGAAACGAUGGAAGAAGGAUGAUUCUCAUUGCCCAACCUCAACCAAUUCAAUUUGUCUUUCUGAAUCAAAUUUCUUUCUUCCAAGGAAUGCAAUGUUAUUAAAGCUCCUUUGACUGCAAGAUGAAUAUACUCUGUCAAAGACAGUCUACUCUAUUCAGCCUUUGCAUCAAAGAAUCUCAACUCUGGAAUAAGAUCAUUCUCUUCCCUUGUCUUUCUUUUACAUAGUCAGUGGACCAUGCUUUUACUCUAUCCAGCCUUUGCAUCAAAGAAUCUCAACUCUGGAAUAAGAUCAUUCUCUUUCCCUUGUCUUUCUUUUACAUAGUCAGUGGACCAUACUUUCUCCUUACUUUCCGAAGUUUGAGAUUUAAGACAAAUCCUGCCCAACCAUUUGAUUGUUCUUCUUCUAGCGUUUUACAAAUUUCUCUUAUGCAAUCUGGAAACAACCAGCUGUUACAGAAACGGAAAGGACUAAGGCCCAGCUUAUCGAACAUGUUUCCAUUAGCAGUGGAAAACAAUCUGAAAAAAUUCUUGCUAUUCGAUUGACAGUGGAAUUGGAAGUAAGUCGUCCCAGUUCUUGGUAACAAGGAAACAAAGAAUUAGAGAAUGUGAAUUUGAAAUUCCUUUUCUAGACCAAGUAAACAGUCCAUUUGAUAAGGGUAUGCCCUAUAAGGCAGCUUCCUUGAUGAAAUUGUUGAACUUUUUCAUUCCCUUUGUUGUCCUACCCAAUGGGGAUCUUUCAUGGGCUCAUCUGGUUAUAUUGAAGUCUUCUCCUAAGCACCAUGGUUCCAAACAGUAAUGUGAUAGAGAAAUCAGUUCCGGCCAGAGGAAUUUCCUUUCUCUGUAAUUAGAGUUGCUCCAUAUAUUGGUCACCCAACAGACAUUGUUGCAUUGAAUCUUGAAUUUUACUGAAAAAGAAUACCCGCCUUGAGGAAUUCAAUUGAGCAACCAUGCUUUUGUCCCAUGUUGUAAGCAUGCCACCCGAUCUUCCAAAAUCCUCUACAAAUGUCCAGCCGAUUCCAUUUGAACUCCAAAUUUAUUUGAUGAAUUGGUGAUCAAUGUCCGACUUCUUCGAUUCUUGGAUUAGAACUAUGUACGAAUAAAUAGAUUGUAAGAAAUGCUUCAGCGCUGUUGCCUUAUUUUAUCAUUGUAUUCCAGGAUAGAAUCUUCAUGGUCAAGGGAAGGAGAUUACCUGCAGUUGUAGACCACACGUAUCGACAAGAGAGCUGAACUUAGAAGGGAUUUGGGAGGGUGGAAGUUGCUCGUGCUGAAGGAGGAUUGACUUAUACGCUUCCCCCAAUAAAUCACUGUCUUGUGUCUUCUUCUACUGUAUGAAUGCUAUGUUGCGCUAACUCUUCACUGCUGAAUCUUCUGGUUUUGGUAUGAUGAAACUUGUGGCUUUGGUAUGAUGUAGAACACAAUGCUCAUAGUAAACAUUUCACCAAGAUAGUUCGUUUGCUUGGACGCAGCAGAUUUAAACAAAAAAGAUUCUUAAGAUCUUGACAAACAAAGCCAGCUCCUAAACAAGAAUUGGAGCCUUAAGGAUCUCAGUAUUCUACAACAUGACAUUACACUUUCCUAACUUGGGACUAAUCAAUAUAUCCCCCUAUUAAAUAAAUCGCAAAUUGCUUUAAGCAAGUAUACUGUAUAUGUUCAUGUCAACCAAACUCAUAACCUAUUUGAGUGGUAAGUAUAGUAUAGUACCACCAAAGGUUUUACUUUUAGCCAAAGAAAAUAACAAUGUGCUGCAUUGGUUGAAAAAGUCAUUUUAACUUGCAUAAAGAUGGAAACAAGAAAAGGAAUGUAACUUGAAGAGAUGUGACUGCAGAUUUCGUUGAACCAUGUUAUACUUAAAAUUAAAAAAUAAUAAACAAUUGCUAAUGUCAGCAGUAGUAAAGUAAAUGAAUAUUUUGAAUUCUACUGGUAUUCCUUUACUGAUAUGAAGCAGGCAGUUAAAUGGAAAGACAAGUGAGUUGAAUACCAUGUAAACUUCUUGAGUAUUUCCAUGCAACACCUGCAGUCGAGACAGCUCCAAUAACACUUCCUGUGAGACCAAAGUUUACAGCCUCUCUGGCAGUUUUCAACUGAAAAAGGAAUAAUAAGCAGCCAAUGAAUGAGGAAUCUAGAAGCAUAUACAUGAACUCUUAGUAACAGAAAGUUAAGGAAUCUGCCUUUGCCUUCCCGCUAUGUUUUAAAAAUGUGAAACAUAACGAGAACCAUGCUUAACCCGACUGUUUUUAAUGUGAUAUGCGGCUUAAGUAGUUUCGAAAUUUCAUCCUGAAGAAUGUUUAGGAAUACACUAAACAGAAAAAGAAUAGAGCAAACACCCCGGCCAAGUAGUUGAACUUAAGAAGGCACGAGAUCAUAUAAUGAAUCCAUGAUCUAACUAUUUAGCAUUACAGGCAGUAUAAUAAUAAUCUAGACUCUAGAUCAUAACUGAAAAUAAACUGGAAAUUGUUUUUAUAGCUGAAGGUUAGAAGACAGUGAAAAGAGAAAAAAUCAGUUUAUCAGCCACAAGCAACAAAAACCAGGACAUAAUAGGACCAGAGAGAGAAUCAAAAAGCCUUGUCUUGGCAGGAAAAUCACAGGCAAAUAUAAGCUAGCGCUGCACUACAAGGUUCUAUCAAUCAGCAUGAUAACAACCAAUACCAUUUACCAAUAUGGUUCUUAGGUACUUUAUUAAACACACUGAUAACAAACUCUGAGGAUAGACAAUUGCAAUAUAUUAUGAGUGCAAACAGCAAAGUAACACUAAGUAGAAAACGAAGAGUUAAAAUAAAAUGCAUUAAUUUUAUUGUAAGAAUGUAAUAUAACAUUCCAAUUCAAAAGAAAAAUAAACCAUGAUGGAUUGGCCAAUGGUAAAAAAAACUAAUAAAGUGGUCAUGGGUUCAAUUUAUGGUAGCCACUUACCUAAGAAUUAAUUUUCUAUGAGUUUCUCUUACACCCAAAUGUUGUAGAGUCAGGUGGGUUGAUCCAUGAAAUUAGUUAAGGUGCACGUAAGCUGGCCCGGACACUCACAAAUAUAAAAAAAAAAUCGAAAGGAAAACAUUAUUUCACUUGUUAUGAUAGAAAUGGUUUCAAAAGACUACUGUUAGGUACUUCUAAAAUGAAAGCAGAUCCCCUUAUCAUGCGUUUGACAGCAUCUUGGUGUGUUAUGUGCAAUUCAAAUGCUAAAUCUCUUAGUCAUCUUUUUAUGCAUUAUCCUUUUGCAUCUCGUUUUUGGUACAUACUUUUGGAAGCUUUUGGUUGGUCUGUGAAUUAUGAUCACCUUGCUUUUGUUUGGCGGGAACCCAUUUUGUUGUUUGAGGAAGACUCUUUGGUUGCCUCUUAUCCGUAUGUUCUUCUGGCAUCUAUGAGGAGAACGGAAUGGUGUAUCCUCUUCUUUUGAGCGCUUUAUGGAUAGGGUUCUUUCUACUGCUUUCUUUUGGUGUAAAAAUCAGCACUAUUUUGCACUUCAUAGCUCAUCUUUUUUCAUCUCCAAUUGAUCUUCUUUCUUGUAACUCACCAAUAACGAGUUUUUAUUCCUUUAUUUCAUUUAUCAAUGAAAUCGUUCCUUCUAUCCAAUUUUUCUUUUUUUUUUUUUAAAUGUACUUCCAAAAUUGACAGCAACAAACCAUAAAAAUUAUUCAAAAAGGAAAUAUUUGGUCCAGUUCCCUACUAAGAGUUAUGCUAUAUUAUAACUCAGGCCAUCGGGUAUCAACACUCACUGGGCAAGGAAAUUUCAGAUCAUCCCAAGCUCAAAGGAAAAAUAAACCCCACUAUUAUUGAACACAUUUAAUUUCAGAUAUACGAAUCUAAGAAUGGAUAAAAAAAAAACAACCGAGAUGAUAUGAAACACCGAGUGACAUCAACUCAGAAGCAGGCAAUAGAAGAAGUAAAAGAAGCAAAAGAGGAAAAGAAGUGAAGGAUGAAUUACAACGGGGCCAUGAACGGGAUCAGAAGCAAUAAAUUCCUCGACAUCGGAGGAAGACCAUGAAGGAAGAGGGGUCUGGCGCUGAACGUAGGGGCUAUAGUUGUCGAGAAUGGAGAAUCUGUCGGACCAAAACUCCUUGUAGCCUUCCCAGUGCUUCCUGAAGAAGGAUUGAGAGGACGAAUCUUCCAUGAUUGCUCCCUCAAAAAACAGAUUAAGAUUGAGAUUUUAGAAGCUAAAUCCGAUUGAAAUCAGAAUCCUCAAAGCUGUUCUCUCUUCUAGCUCUUCAAAGCUGGUUUUGUUUUGUGUUUGUGAGGAAAGUGAAGGUUAUUGGACCUCUCUCCACCUUGGGCCAAGCCAAAGCCCAAUAGAAAAGCCUACAUUUCCAUUCUUUUCUCUUACACAAAUGAUAAGAGAAGGUGCUUCACUUUUCUUUAAACAAUCAACUAUUUAUUAAUAAAAUGGAAGAUUCAACUUACCACGAGGAUAACUCAAUCGACAAUUUUUCUAUAGAAUAAAUAUACUAAUGGAUAAAAUAAACGUAACUCAAUUGCAAAUAUUUACAAUAAUUCUCAGAUUCGAGUUCCAGUUAGUCACUCCACAUAAUGCAUACUCUCUCCAAACUCCAAUCUCUUUCUCUUUUUCUUCUUCCCUCCUCUUUGUCUUUCCAGAUUUGUUUUCAUCUUAAUUACAUGCUUUUCAUCUCACCAUUGAGAAUACACAGCACAUAUAUUAUCAGAUAUUCUCCUAUUUUCUUUAUACUUAUCUUUUUAAUACUUAAUUUCAUACGUAUUUGUUGGCGUGUUGACUCUUAAUCUCAAAUUAUUUAAUUUUAAUUUAUUAUUUAUAACUAAUGUUUUGAGAGUAACAAACUAGAAUUAGUUUUUUCUUUAACAACUCAAGUGUUUCUAUGAGUCUAUAGCAUAGAGCUCCAAAGAACGAUCCCAACACAAUUUGAAUCAACUAAUUUGGAGCUCAAACAAAUAAGUUAUAUCGGAAACGAGCUAAACAAAAACAUAUCCGAGGUAAUGAUGUGUCGGUCAAAUCAUCAAAUUGGAUUCAAUUAAUGAUAGAUAUGUGAAGCAAAUGAAGGAGGAACACAUGGUUAUUUUUGGAUUGGUUUUAAAAAGAAAACGAAUUUUAUAUUAUUUUAAGUUUGUGUCUAACGAUUAAGUUUUUAAAGCUAGUGAACUUGUUUUUGUUGGAUUUUAAAAGAAAGUAUCUUAUAAAGAUAUAUGUUAUUGUAUUAUUUUUUUAUUUGUGUCUGACGAUUAAUUGAGUUUAAAUCUUCACCAUUUAAUUUUUCUUUUACAAGAUUGAGUGUACCAAUUUGAUUUUAGAUUUCAACAUCUUCUCCCUCGUAAUACAUUCUUCAAUUAGCACAUAUACUUAUCAAUUACAUAUUUUUUUUUCAAUCCUUUCAAAAAAAUUCAAAGUCUCAAUUGUUGCUCUCUCCAAGCUUUAAAUUUUCUUCUCUUCAUCUUAUAUUUGAGAGAGAAAUUUUAUACGAUAAGGAUUGAUUUGUUGAGUGCUUUAAUUUGUAAAUCUGCUCUUUGAAAGAAUUUUUCUCAUCUUAUACCUCAUUUUAAAUAUUUAGUGAAGAGUUUCUCUUAAUCCCUAAAAAGAGUCAUUUGUGUUGGUUUGAUCAUGAUCCGUGUAAAAGUUUGAGUUUGAACUCAUAAAAAGAGUAGCGUAACCAUUGUCUCUAAUCCGUGAAAAGAGUUUAUUUGAAGUUUUAGUGACAUACACCCAAAAAAAAAGUUUGAAAAAUGUAUAUAAGUUGGGUUGUGCCAACCCACGGUAAAAUUUUGCAUGUUAAUUUCUCUAUCUCUCGACUAUUUAAUUUUGGCAAUUAACUUGUCGUUAAAUUUUAUAGCUUGAAAUUAAUUGCAAUUUUUGUCUUUAUUUUAGAUUAAUUGCUCACUUGUCUAUUUAGGUUGGUAGAAUUUUAAAUUGUGUAUUGUAACUAUUUUAAAUGUAAUAAAAAAAUCGAAAUAAAAUAAUAUGUAUUAAACCACCAAUUCACCCUUGAGUUGAAGGCAAAUUUAAUUAUAUAACUUUGAUAGCAUAUUAAACCACCAAUUCACCUAAAAACUUAAACUCUGUAUUGGAGGAAAAUUUAAUUAUAUAUGUGACGCCCGUCCCAAAUGCCACCCUACAAGUUUGCAUAACAACUCAUCUUUCCUUCCUUUACUUGGCUUCUACGCCUGAAAUCCAUUAUUUGCUUGACUCCAUCGCCUGCUAACCUGAGGAGCAUAAGCUUAAGAUGUAAGUCAAAGACUUAGUGAGUGAUGUGUUUAGGAAAUACCUUUAUGGGGAAUACAACAUUUUCAACAAUGAUAGCAAUCUCAAUUUCACAAUCAUAAGUUCUCAUUGCAUUAACAUACAAACCACAACAAUCACAAUAAAUUCCACGCGUUUCAUUUCAUUAAGACAUUCACAACUCAUCGUCGAGACUGGGGAUUCUCUCAUCCACAUCUAUUUGCCUAUACCUGGGAUUCACUUCACUAGCGUCUCGCAAUAGAUUUGGGAUUUCCACCAGAGUCUCGUAAUAUUCAUUUUUUUCUCAGACAUGGAAUUUGCUUUCACCAGCAUCUCAUCGCCUAGACUUAGAAUUCACUUCCACCAGCAUCUCAUGAUAGAUUUGAGAUUCACUUCACCAACGUCUCACGAUUCAUUCCUCACCUAGACCUGGGAUGCACUUCCACCAGCGUCUCGAGAUAGAUCAUACAACUCCACACAUCACACAAUCAUCAUAAUCAACAAAUAAGAAAUGUUAGCUCAAAAGCUUUAUUUUCAAUGCAUAACAUUACAUUAGUAACAAUCUCAUGGAAUAAGCAUGGAUGAUCAGAUUACAAGAAAUAUUUUCAAUACAUACAAAACAUUUCUUCCAUUUAUAAGAAAUCAUUCACAAAUUUUCAUUUAAAUCACAAAGAUCACUCACAUAAAUACUUGGCCUCAACUCCUUCUCCUUUUGCUUUCAACUUUCUCUUCCCACCUAGUGGUUCCCUCAACUGGCCUUUCAGCACCAAGCACUUUCUCUUAACAAAGUAUCAGAAAGUUUAACAUCUUAUGUUUCUUUUUCCUGGCCUCUUUGGUUCUAUUUAUAGUGAUCUUUCACAUUAGUGGGUCAUCUUCAUGUUUUACACGUGUCAAGCUACCACUCAUCAGGCCAUGCAACCAAUCUUAAGUUCAACACGUUGCCAGUUGUCACUCUCGAUUAGACAUUUUCCUUGAAACGCUAACCUUAUCUUCUUGGAAUGCUUAACUAUUUAUCGCUUGACUCUCUUCUCGAAAACAACAGAACAUUUACUUUACCUCAGAGGGUCAUCUAGUCACCUCAUACGGACAUCUACUUCAUCGCAACCAAACUUAGGCAUAGGUACUUCUCAUCGCAAUACUACCCAAAUGCCUAGUUCUUAGCAUCAGUUGCAUGUUUCUUCUUCACCAAUCAAUCCUAUCGCAUUGCCUUGCUUCAACGCAUUCAACACUUAACCGAAGCAUUUUCUUCUCGUGUUACCUCUUUUCAAUCACAUUCUUCCUCGUAGAAUGCCUCUAAUAUAUACUUAGUCAAAAUGACUUCUCAACAGGGCUCCUCUUUAACAUGACUCCUUUUCUUUGGAUUCGGGCCUUAUAAUAUAUCACUAACAAUAUAUAAAAAUUAAUAUUGCAAAUUUAAAAUCUAAAAUUUAAAAAACUAAUUUAUAUAUUAAAAAUUUUAAAAUUAAGAUAAAUAUAUAAACAAACAUUUUAAAAGUUACUUUAAAUAAAUAUAACAAAACGCCAAUAUAUUUACGGUUUGUGUAACAAAAAUAAAAAUUUCAGGAAGCUAGUAAAAUAUUUUCAUAAAUUCAUUUGUUCUUGAUAUUGCUGGAAGAUUCGUCAAUUCUCUUUCUUCUUUUUCUUUGCCAUUUAUUCACCGUUCCAGAUUUUUUCAGCUCCUCUUUCAUGUUUUCUUUCUUCUAUUUUUAUACAUCUUCCUUUUUUUUUCUUUCUCCGUCUUAUAUUUCUUUCUUCCAGCUCUUAUUCCAUAACAUCAAAAUCGUUUAAAUAUCACUUUGGUAUAAUCUAAAUGAUCGCUUACCUAGUCAACAAGAUCGUUUAAUAUGGUCAACGUGAUCGUUUAGAUUUAAAACAUUUUUUCCAUUAUUAAAAAAGAACUACGCGAUCGUGUGGAUAUUAUCUAAACGAUCACUUACCAUACUUAACGCGAUCGUUUAACAUGGUGAAGAUGAUCGUUUAAAUUUAAAGCCAUUUAUCCCAUCAUUUAAAAAGAAUUACACAAUCGUAUGGAUAUGAUAUAAACGAUCAUGUACCAUAGUCAACACGAUCGUUUAACAUGUCAACACAAUCGUUUAGCGUAUCAACACGGUCGUUUGGAUUUGAAAUAUUUUUUUUCAUUAUUAAAAAGAACUAUACGAUUGUGUUGAUACUACAUACAUGUAUAUCAUUUUCUACACGAGCGCGUAUCACGAUCAUUUAGAAGAAGAAUUAUAUGAGCACGUGUGAUCGAUUAAUCGUUUUCUCCGAAUUGUUUUAUAUGUAUAAUUUUUUUAAAACGGCAUUUUUAAAUUUAAAAUGAAACUAAUAUAUAAAAUGAAAAAAAAAUUACGAAAUACAAGAAGAAAAAAACCCUUUUAAGUAUGAUUCAAAGCAACAACCCCAUGAGGAGAACUUCAUCAUUACAUAAGCGCCUCAAUACCAACGUGACAAACAAAUUUAUUAUUAUAUAGGAAAUACUUGUAUUAUAUUUUCUUAUUUCCGCAAAUAAAGAAUCAAUAGAAUCAUUAGGAAUCACCUCAUCAUUACCAAUAUCUGCUGCUGAUGUUCCUUUUGUACAAAAGGUGAAGAAGAUUGUGUAGUAGUUUGGUGAAUCAUAUUAAUUGGCUGAACACUAUGGGUUAGAAUACAGGCAACUGGAGGCGAGCAUCAAAAUUGGGACCGAGUAGUCACCUUUCUUGGCUACAACAUCACCUGCUCCAAUGCUCGGUGCUGAAGUUCAAUUGGAUAGUCACGAACACAACCUAUUCGAGGUCCUGCACCAGUUGUCCAUUUGCAAGAUAGAUACUUUCCCAAUUGAUAUGAUUUUGUUUCUUUGUGUGAGUUUAUUCUUUUCAGCACUGAUUCAUCAGGGAUGAUACCAACCUCGUAACUUCUAUUUUCCUCUUCUAACAUGUUUUUCUUCUGAGUUUCUGUAUCCAACUCCGAAACAUAUUUUAAGGAUCUCAUUUCUAUGUUUUCUCGUAUGUGAAGAUUGUUUAAUUUUCUUCUCAAAUUGAUUGGCAUAUUUGGCUCAAAUGUUUUGAUGGUUGACGAUGCUAAUUGCUCUUGAAAAUCUGAUUUUCCACCAAUUGUUUCUGCAGCAACAAUCUUUGAAACUCCAUCAUCCGAACCACCACUCACUUGUUCAAUCCAAUCCUCCUCUGACGAGCCUUUUCGAACAUGAAGACUUCCUUUUUGUGUUUGUAGUACAUUGUCUUCCUCGCCCUCCUCAUCACGUGGACUCAUCUAAAUUUAAUGAAAAAAGGAAACAUGUAAAUAAUGUUCUGAUUUCAUUAGAAAAGAACAUCAUAGAUCUAAGAUCUCCAAUCUAACCUUCACAUGAGUGAGGUCAACGUUGUUUUCUGAAAGGAAGGAGAUAAAUUCACGAAAGUUAUCUUCUGUGGGACGGUAAUGACCACUAUGAGGCCAAAUUGCCUGCUUAAAAAAACGAGAAACUGUCAUUAAACGGUAAACAGAAUCAAACUUGAAGAUGAACCACUUAAAUAGUAGGGGAUUGCAGUGAGAAAAGAAUGAAAGAGAAUUCUAAAAGCUCUGUGACUUGUACCUGUAGGAUGCCAUUUUCAACAACCAAUCUCCCGGCAGCAAGUGUGGCUCCUCCAGCCAAGAAACUCGAAUGGUGAAACUUACCCUUCAUUUUCUUUCCAACAUACAAGGCUUUAGAGGUGCUGAGAACAAAUAUCCACUUCUCACGCUUAUCAACUCUAGUGAUGUGAAGUAGUUCCCCAGAUUGCUUGUAAAUGAAUUUCCCAUCCUCCACAACAACUUCAUAGGCUGUUCUUUCCAACUGAAAGAAAACCAUUUGGAUGGUUCAACAUUCCAUAUGAACUAAAAGAAUAAAUAACAAUUUGAUGCUGGUUUGAGGCUCACUGGACCCAAAUACUGAAUGCACUGCUGUUGAAGUUUCACUCUAGGGCAUUCUUCAACAAGAUCUACUCCCUUCCCUUCUCCUAUAUCCAACCUAAGAAGUAUAGAUACUUUAUUUUGACUAAUAUGUCAACACCCAAAUGCAUAUCCCAUAUUUGUUAGGCCCAUUUAAAAUGCUCAAUAGUUUUAUAAUAAAGGGACAUAAAAGUUAUAUAUAACAAAAAAGCAAAAAUAGUAAGAUAUGACCCAAAAAAAAUUAACAAAGUUUGAGACUGGGGAAUAUCAUCUUCGUUUCUUAAGCAUAUUGACUUCAUUUUUUUUUAGAAAAACAACCACUUAAGGGCAAAAAUUCACUGGACUUGAUUUUGCCAAUGAAAUGUAUAUACUUUGUUCACUUUGCCCUUUUUUGCAAAUUCCCCUAAACUUAUUGUUGUUGUGCCAAUGAGUCUAUGACGUAUGUCCUCUCCUAUACUAAAAAUAAAAAUAAUAAUAAAGAUGAUAAUAAUAAUUAUAGUGUGAUAUUGUGUCUAUGCCUUAACUGUCAUCUAAGUUAAUAUCAAUGCUUCUUUAGUUCUUAGUAUCCGACAUGUUUUACUCUAAACCUUUAGCUUUUAAAAAACCUGAAUUUAGCACUGAAGCUUUUAAAAAUUAGGUGAAGGAAUGUUUACCAAUAGAAAAAGGGUUGUUCACUCUGAGAGUAAAGCCAUUUAUCAUAAUAAAACUGUAGGUUCUGGCCAUAACGAUGUCGUGGAUCAAUCUGGCAACAGAAAAAGAAAUUACAACUAAUAAUAGCAAGUUAAUUUAAAAAAAGAAAAAAGAAAAACUGGUCCAAUGUAACACUUUAUUUAUCUCAAGUUCAUUAGACUUACAGCCUCAAGCCAGUGUUGUAAAGCAAGCAUUUGAGCUUUGUCAUUUUUAAACAAGCCCUUUCCAACCUGUCGUGUUUGAAAGACAUAUGGUUGAUAUUUUUGAGAUGUUUGUUGGUUUCAUGACAAUAUCAAGUAAAACAUGGUGAAAUUUACCCUAGCAGCUUUGGUUCUUGCUCGAGACCACCGUGAAAUGGCAGUUUUAUGUUUCUCGAUGUCAUAAAAUGAUAUGGAACUUCUCCUGAGGUCAGCAAAAUUCAAGAGUUUCCACCUGCAACAAGGAUAACCACUGAGAACAAGCUCAAAAAAGAUCCAUUUUGAUUCAGAAAAAAGGCACAAGCCAGCACACAUACCAACUCUUCUCUGCAAUAACUGCACAAUCAGCCAGCCUUCUCCUUGUUCUAAAGCUUUUAUAAACUUUCUGUAAUUCAGUUGCUGCCAUGUGCUCCAUAUUUGUUGCAGCGAGAUCCAUAACAGCUUGGGUACCAUCAUGAUUCUCGGGCCUAGAAGAUUGACUCUCCAUGUCAUUGCUCUUAGGACUAUUAGCAACAAAAUCCAACUCUGCCUCCUGUAGAGGAAUAUCUGUUAUCUCUGUUGAAGUCAUCUUCUCCAAAUCUCUACCGCUCAACCUGACAGAUGAAUCUAACUCCGCCUUCUGCAAACCCACCGAUUUGAUUACUGAAGGCUUCAAAUCUCCACUAUCAGAACUGGUGGAUCGCUGAAGAGCUUUUACUUCAUCAUCGCCAAAAUUGAUGAAUUUCACAGUAACAGAUUCAGAUUCUCCCCCAUUUUUCUUAUCAAUGUAUUUGGCCAAAGGACAUGUAAAGAAAGCCCCCAUUUUAGCAAAAAUGGUUCAGCAAAGCCAAGAUGAACAUUAUUCGUGUAACAUGAAGUUCCUAGAAAUAAGAACAAAAAAAAAUCCAACACAAAUGAAGUCAUAAAUCUUCAAGGAAUAGACAGAGUCAAUCUCUUAACAAACAAGUUGAAUUUAUGCCCAGAAAAAAAAGAUUCGCAAACAAUUAAUCCAAGAAUACUUUAGAAGAAAACAAAAAAAGUGAAAGAUAUAAAUGCUAAACUUGAAGCCCAAGGAGAGUUUCCCUUAAUUUUCAAGCCCUAAACAAUGUACUAACAGCAAACAGACCAGUAUGAUUCCCAGUAGCCUGGAACCAAAGAUUUGUGAGACAGGUCAGAAACGGUAAAAAAACCCAUUUCAUCAAGAAAACUAGAUUCCUUAGCUCUUUUUUGAUAACCGUUUGGUGUUUAGUUUUUGGUAUUUGAAAAUUAAGCUUAUGAACAUUAAACCCAUCUAUUGAUUUGUCUAUAGUGCUAUGUAGUUUUAAGGUGUGUUUUAAAAAACCAAGCCAAAUUUUGAAGGACAACUUUCAAAAACUUGUUUCUGAGUAUCUGUAAUUUGACUCAAAUUCAGAAGUUUAGUUAGGAAAUAUGAAACAGUAGUAAAGAAGUAAGAAAUGAAGCAUAAUUUUCAAAACCAAGAACCAAACUGUCAUCAAUCGGAUGUAAUCAACCAAAUUCCAGUAAGCAACUACAGUGGGACUUCAGAAACAGACAGAAAAAGAGCAUCAAGCACAGACCCAACUUCAGAAAUAAGCAGUCCACAUUUCCAUGGGACCAAUAUCAGAAAGAAAAAGAAGUGAAAAAAAAUAUCCAUUUCAUCAGAAAAGGCUUGAAAUGAAUGAACAAGCAGCAAGAACCAAAAUGGAGCGAACAAGAAACCUGAAAUGGCGGAUUUACCUAAAUCAUAGGAUGGUAGGAACUGAAAAAUGUGAUAGGUAUAAGAGAGAACUCGCGCUUUGGAAAAAGUAAAAGCCAUAGAGCAUCGUGUUGGACGUACAAGGAUCUAAUCAACCAAAUUAAUUACUAAUGAGUAUAAAAAAAAAUCAAUUUAAGAGAAUUCACAAGCAGACAGUACAAGGAUCGAAACAAAACAAUAAAUUCGUUGACAUGGGAGCUAAGCAAUUAGCAUGGACAUGGAAGAGGGGGAGUCUCGUGCUGGAUUGAGAUUCUGGGGGACCAAAAUUCGUUAUAGCUCCCUCUAGAGAAGGAUUGAGAUGAAAAAUGUUCCAUAAUUGUUGAGCUGGGAACAGAUUAUGAAUGAGAAUUUAGGAAUAACUAAUGCGAUUGAAAGCAGAAUCCUGAGUGAUGGGAUGGGUUGGUUGUUUUAUCUCUGAAACUUUGCUAUUCAUUAGUUUGCUUUGCUCGCUUCGCGGGGAAGAAGAUGAAACACCUUAAAAAAAACUAACCGGGCUAAAUACCCUAAAUAAUGAUGCUUAUUCUUGCAAACAUAGCCGUUAAAUUCAAAAUAUUUUGGUAGCAAUAUUUUUAAAAAAUUAUAAACAUAUCAAGAUCCCUAAAAUUUCACUAAUAAUAUAAGUUGGGAUAGAUCACUUGAUAAUAUUUUCAUUUUUUAAAAAAUGUUACUAUCUAAUUAUUAUUUCUAAUUAAAAUUUUUAAAAUUAGGUAACUCUAAAUUAACUUUUCAACAAAAAAAAAUAUUUGUAAAAUUUAGGGAUAUUUUCAAAUAAAAAAUAUUUGUAAAAUUGAUGUGAUUUGUAAAUUAUUUGCAAAAAUAGGGAUAUUUUCUUCUCUUACUUAAUACUUAUUUUUUUUAUUAUUGUUAUGUUUCUUGCUUCUUAAAGAGAUUGAUUUUUUUUUUUUUGCUUGCUUCUUUUUUAUUCAAUUGCACUUUGCACUAUUUUCUUCGCAUAAAUUAAUUUUUGUUUUAAUUUUUCUCUAUCUUUCUUAUUUAAAUGUAUUUUUCAGUUUAGAUAUAUUUUUUAAUCAAUAAUAAUUAUUAUUAUCUUUAUAGUUUCUUUUUUUUUUUUUUAUCUUUACCAGUUUGAAAGCUUGUAAAGAAAAUAUAAAGUAAGAACUAGUAACUAAAUCAAAAAACUUAUUUCUCUAUUUAAAAAUAGAUAUUCUUUCUAAAGAUGGAUUAUAAAAUUUGUUUACUUGUGAAAAUAUCACACAAACUAAUGAGAAAUAAGAGGUAGUUUGGCCCUCAUUUUACUAAAAUAAAAUUAUUUACAACCCAAUGUUUAAAACUUAAAAUAAUCAAAUUCCCCUUCCAAUGUUUCCAAUAACUACAUUCAUGAUCAUCACCACUCCAACCACCCUCUCUGACCCCUUCCACAAAAACAAGCAAUUUAAGAAAUUUGUUGAAGUUUGUUACUAGAAAUUAUCAUUGACGGAUAAAAUCGUUGGAAAUUAAAGGGGUGAAUUGGUGUAACACACUAAAUUUAGAAAGAAGACAUAAUAAAUGGAUAUCACAUUUGAAUGAGCAGGAUCUUGAAGACAUGAAAUAAGAACAUGAAAGUAAUUGUUAAGAAAGACUUAAAAGAAUUAAAAGUUACUAUAUAUACCAACAACGUGCAUAUUCUUUUUAAGUGACUCAAUUAUAGAAAUUUUAAAGUUAAGCAUGUUUAACUUGAAGUAAUUAUAUGUUGGGUAACCUCUUGGAAAUUUUUCUAGGAUACAUGUGAAUAAGGACAAAGCAUCCUGAAAGCAAUAUUGCUGGUCUGUGGAAAGAACUUUCGCUCUAAUAAGCCUUUAGAAUAUAUAAAGAUGAUGUUGGUCGCAAGAGAAUGUCACGGAUGGGGGCGUUACAAUUGGUUAUUUUAAGUUUUAACCACCUAGUCGUAAAUAAUUUGACUAUAGCAAAACAAAUUAAAUUAGGGGUUACUUUUCAUUUCUUUUACACAUUCAUCGUGUGAUAUUUUGACGAGUAAACAAAUUUUAUAAUUUGAUUUUAUUUAUUAAUCGUUACUUUAAAACACAAGAUUUUUUAAAAAAUAGAACAAAAUGAAAAAUAUUUGUACUGUGUAAAAUAAUUUUGAAAACGAAAAAGCUCACAACAUGAAAUAACACGCAAUUAAUUGAUCAUACACAUACACAAAUAACUUCUAAUUUAAAUGAUUGUAUAUUUUAGUCUAAAUAAUUGUUUAGAUAUUAGUACAUAAUCGUCCAGAGAUUGACCGUAAACGAUCGUUUGAAUCUAUCCCUUGUCUAUUUGGAAUAGACAAUGAUAGUAAUCUAUCUAAAAUAGACGAUUAAAUAUUAGUACACGAGUGUAUCUAUAUCUAAACGAUUUUAGUAUAUGAUCUUAUACCAAAUCUAAACGAUUUUAUGUCAAAUCUAAACGAUUUUGGUACACAAUUAUGUACAUUGAUACACUUUUAUAAAUGUUUUUUAAAACUACUUAUUGGAACCAUACAUAAUAAAUGAAAAUCAACUCUAAAGAGUUUGUUAUGACUGAUUAAACUAACUAUGUGUCUCAAACACACUCAACUAGGGGCAGGUUGAUAUUUUAUAAAAGUAAUAAAAAAACUAAAGCAGAAAAGGCAAAGAGGAACUCAAAAAUAUAAUAUCAUUUUAGAAACAGUACAAAUUGUAAAAUCAAUGGCCAGUUAUAGCCGUAUGCAUGAGUUAUAUCUAUAUGCUUCUAGAUAUAAUUCCAUGUAUACUUCAUAUUUCUUCUCAUUUCUCAAAAUUAAAAAUAAUUAUCAGUACAAAGAUUUAUGUACACUUAACAAAAGAAAAAAGAAUAACAAAUAUUUGUAUCAUAUUUUCUUCUAUCCACAAAUAAUAAAUGAAUAGAAUAAUUAAGAAUGAAGAAUCAACUGUCAUUACCAAUGUCUGCUGCUGAUGUUCCCUUGAACAAAGGAGAAGCAGUUUGUGUAUUGCUUUGGUGGAGCAUAUCAAUUGGCCUAGAUACCCUUGGGCUCAACAUACUGGCAAUCCGAGGCGAGCAAUGAAAUUCAGAUCGAGCAGCCACUUUUCUUGGUGAUAAGCUCACCUGCUCCAAGGCUCGGAGUUGAAGUUCGACUGGAUAGUCACGAACACACCCGAUUCUGGGACCAGCACCUGUUGUCCAUUUGCAAGAUAGUUGCCUUCCCAGUUGAUAUGAUUUUGUUUCUUUGUGUGAGUUUAUUCUUUUCAGUAUUGAUUCAUCAGGGAUGAUCUCUACUUCACAACUUCCUUUUUCCUCUUCUAAAUAGCUUUUCUUUGGAGCUUCAGUAUCUAACUCCGAAACAAACAUUUCAGAUCUCAUUUCUUUGUUUUCCAUCUCGAGUUUCUCGAUCAGGUUACCCCUAUCUGGGAUGUGAAGAUUGGUUAAUUUUCUACUCAGGUUGAUUGACCUCUUUUGUUCGAACAGUUUGCCAGUUGAUGACAUUUCUUGAUCUGGCAAAUCUGAUUCCUUGCCAGUCAUUUCUUCAGCCAUGAUCUCUCCAAGGCUAUCAUCUGGACCACCGCUGAACUUUUGAGCCCAAUCCUCCUCAGUUGAGCCAAAUCGAACAUGGAGACUGCUCUUUUGCAUUUGUAGUCCAUUUUCUUCCUCAUCAUCAGGACUCAUCUGAAUUUAAUAAAAGAAGAAAUAUAUCAAAUUAUGCACUGGUUUCACCAGAAAAAGAACAUGUUAGAACUUUGUUUUCCAAUUCUCACCUUGACAUCAGUGAGGUCGACAUUGUUUUCUGUAAGGAAAGAGAUAAAUUCCUGAAAGUUUUCUUCUGUGGGACGGUAAUGACCACUGUGAGGCCAAACUGCCUGUUCAAAACACAAUAAAUCAUCAUUAAACGAGCAUUUUCAAGGUUAAAGACAAGCCAUUUAAAUGGUAGGAAAUCAAGAGAGAAAAGAUGAUUGAAAAUUCUAUAAGUUUUGUGACGUGUACCUUUAGGAUCCCAUCUUCCACAACCAAUCUUCCAGCAGCUGAUGUGGCUCCACCAGCCAAGAAACUUGAAUGCUGAAAUUUACCCUUCUGUUUCUUGCCAACAUACAAGGCUUUAGAGGUGCUGAGAACAAAUAUCCACUUCACAUGCUUAUCGACUCCAGUCGUGUGGAGGAGUUCCCUGGAUAGCUUGUACAUGAACUUCCCAUCCUCCACAAUAACUUCAUAGGCUACUCUUUCCAGCUGAAAAUAAAAAAAUAUGGGGAUGAUUCAACAUUUAAUAGGUGAAACAAAUUAUGUGAAAAAGAACAAUAGGAUGAAGGUUUGAGAGACUCACUGGACCCAAGUACUUGAUACACUGCUGUUGAAGUUUCAAUCUGGGGCACUGCUCAACAAGAUUUACUUCCUUUCCUUCACCUAUAUCCAACCUGUUUUACUCAAAACUUUUAGUUUCUAGAAAAUCUGAACCUUAGUAAUGAUGCUUUAAAAUUUUUGUCGAAGAAUGCUUACCAAUAGAAAAAGGGUUGUCCACUCUGGCAAUGAAGCCAUUUAGCAUAAUAGAACUGCAAGUUGUGACCAUAACGAUGUCGUGGAUCAAUCUGGCGAAAGAAAAAGAAACAACAAUUAGGGUGACUGAAAACAUGAAAUAUGUAAUUGCUUACUUCUCAAGUUUAAUAUACUUACAGCCUCAAGCCAGUGCUGUAAAGCAAGCUUCUGACCUUUAUCAUUUUUGGACAAACCCUUUCCAACCUGUAAUGGCGUUUGGAAACAUAUGGUUAGAAACUUUUGUGAGGGUUGUAGAUUCAUGACAAGAGCUAGUAAAAACAUUUCAAAAGUUUACCUUGGCAGCUCUGGUUCUUGCUCGAGCCCACCGUGAAAUGGCAGUUUCGUGUUUCUCAAUGUCGAAAAAUGAUAUGGAGCUCCUCUUGAGCUCAGCAAAAUCCAAGAGUUUCCACCUACAACAAAGACAAGAAUUGUGAACAAACUCAAAAUAGAUCCAUUUAGAUUUAAAAACAAAGACACAAGCCGGAACUCAUACCAGCUUUGCUCUACAAGAACUGCACAAUCUGCAAGCUUUCUUCUUGUUCUGAAACUUUUAUAAACUUUCUGCAAUUUCAUUGCUGCUAUAUGCUUCGGAUUUGUUGGAUUGAGAUCCAUCGUCAUUUUGAUCCCAUCAUGAUUCUCUGAUCUAGGAGAUUGAUUCUCCAUCACUUUGCUCUUUGGACUAUCAGCUACAACAAGCAAUUUGUCCUCUAGUGGAACAGCUCCAGCUUCCAUUGAAACCACCUUCUCCAACUCUCUUCUUUUGAAGCUAACAGAUGUUUCUAAUGUCAUCCUCCCCGAACCAACCGAUUUCAUUAUCAUAGGUUCCAAAUCUCUACUAUUGAAACUAAUGGAUCGCACAGGAGUUUUUACUUCAUCAUCACCAAAACUGAUGGAUUUCACAGUGACGGAUUCUAACCCAUUUUCCACAUCAAUGUAUUUUGCCAAAGGGCAGGAAAAGAAAGCCCCCAUUUUAGCAAAGCUCAACAACACGUAGAUAAUGAACACUAUUGUUCCUGUAACAACAAUAAGGCACCCAGAAAUGAGGAUGAAAACCCUAACAUACAUAGAAAAAUGAAUUGAUAUCUCUCAAGAAAAAUAGACGAAGUCAAUCUCUCAACAAACAAGUAGAAUUAAUGGUUAAAAAAAGACUCCAACACGCACGCGCUGACACACAAAGAAAUACAAAGUAACAAUUGCUAAAGCUGAAAUCCAAGGGUACUUUCUCUUCAUCCAAGGAUAUUUUCUCUUCUUUUUCAAGCCCAAUCGCAGAAAACACCACAAUCACAGAAAACAAACAAGCGUAUUUUCCAUUAAAACCAGAACAGAGAACUUCCUAUAAUCAUAGAUCUGCAAAACAAGUCAGGAAGAGAAAAAGGACCCAUUUUCAAUAUAAAAAAAACCCAGAUUCUAAAUGAACCCACCAAACAAAAUAAACAACUACCAUUCAAGAACCAAAAAAAAAAAAAAAGACAAACAAACAGAAAGAGACCAUUAUGCACAAACCCAUUUGAAGAAAUCAAAAUCCAAACAAACUAGCAGUACAUUGCAAUGGAACUAAAGAUCAGUAAAAAACAAAAAAAGGGAAAUGCUCAUUUCAUCAGAAAAGCACAGAAAUGGCAAGAAAAGGGAAAAGGGGGGUGGAAAAACAAGGGUGUGAUGGCAGAUUUACCUCAAUGAAUGAGAAGCUUUGGGGGUUUGGGUAUUGGAUUGGUGAAAAAAAAUAAAAAAAUGAGUAAGAUUUAAAAUGGGAAAUGUUAAGAGGAUUUGAGAAGAGGGAUGAGUUUGGAUUUAUAAAGGGGUUGAAGUGAAAGCGGAAGGCAGAGUGAAAGGGACUUUUCCACCGGGGAAGAGAGUAGAACUAGAAAGAGAGGACGGCUUGAACGCCACUCAUAGCAAAACCAUAUUUUAAAUACACAAAUUCGUGGGAAUAAAGUCAAUUGGUAUCUUGGUUUUCCCCUUUUUGAAUAUAUUUCCUUUUCUAUUCUCUCUCUCUUACUCUUUUUUCUUUUUAUGCCAAGUCUACUAUAGCAUAGUUUAAUUUGUCAAGAUAUCAUAUAUUUGUGUUGAAAAUUAUAUGUUUGGAACUUUCAUCCCAACUCCACUCCGAUGUGAACUUGCAAUAAUCAUAAUUAUUAACCUUUUCUCUUUUAUUAGAAUACUCCACCCUCCAAAUAUGUUUGUUGUUUAGUUUUGAGUUGAGAAAUAUUAGAUGAGUUAUUUUUACUUCUUUUUAAAAGAAUGUCGCAUGAAAAAAUAUAUGUCAAAUCGUACAUCAUACACAUUAACAUACAAACAUAUAUAUCAAAUAUAUAUAUGAGAAAUGUCUUAAAGUAUCCAAGCUCGAUAGGGUAUAAAAUAGUCUUGAAAACACUUCAAUAUAUUUACGUAUGUUUUAGAAAAUAGAAGUAGAAGAAGAAAUUGAUAUUGAUGGUUGUAAAAAAUUUCAUAUAGGUUUGGAAAGAACCUAUUUGUGAAUAUAGAAAAGUUCGAACUCAAAAUUGUGGAUACUGUAAGACAAGGUUGUCCAAAGGCUAUGAUGAACUUUUUAGAUAAAAGUACCAUUGUACUUGCCUACUUUAGAACUUACCUUUAUUUUAUUAAAAUCCAAAUACUAUAUUUUGUUCAUUUUAGAAAUUCUAUAAAUAUAUAAAUGUUUUUCUCUAUACAAAUAUUAAGGGUAAUUUACAACAUGAUUUCUCAAAAGUUUCAUCUCUCAUCUACAAGUUAUUUUAAAAUAAAGAAUAUCCAAAAAUUGUGAUAUUCUAUGUGAAUUUACAUCAUAUUUCAAUUUUGACUAAACAUUUUCAAUUGGCUAAAAUAACUUAUUUUGUUUAAAGAAUUAAAUAUAUAGUUUUUGCUGUAUGGAUACAUUUCAUUUUAAAACUUAUAUAAUUAAUCAGUUUUAUUUUCUUACGCUUAUUUUAAUCUCUUAAUUUUUUUAAAAACAAAUUGCGAACACAAUAAAAUUUGAAAACUUUGCUAUCUUCUACAAAUUUAAAAAAUAUAUAUAUUUGUUUAUAAAUUUUAUUAGGUUUAUUAAUAGAAAAAUUAUCAAAAACAAAAAUCAAAUUUAACUAAUUUUAUCUCAUGUAAUUAUAAAUAUUUUAUAUAUCUUUUUAUUUUUGAAAAAACUCCUUUAAAAUAUAUCAAAAUAUGACAUUUCAAUAUAAUGGACCGCAAUAUAUAAAAUAGAUUUCACUAUAUUUAUUUGUAUUAUGAUAUUUUACUACACUUGUAAAUAUUUUGAAAAGUUACAUAGUAAGUAAAUUUGGAUUGAAUAAGAUAGUUUUGGGAAACAAAAUAGUUGUUAUUUGUUUAUUAGAGGAAGAGAAAAGGAGAUUUGAAAUGUGACUAAUCAAUGAGAAACAUCCACAGUUGACUAGUUCAUUAGUCAUUGUAACUUGAAUCACAACCCUCUCUUCAGCAUAUCAAAUUUACAAAAUUGAAACCCUUCACUAGUCAUAUACACCUUCAAAAUUUGUGUCAUAACAUUGUUUAUGAGAAGUAAAAGGACAUUCCAUCCAUAUACUCCAAACUACAUCUCUACAUCUUAGGGAGAGAGAGGUUCCACUGAAACCCUUCACUCAAUCCCUAUUAAUUAUUCUCAACUUUUCCCACAAUUAUUCAAUAUAUAUUAUUCAUAUUAGUCUUAUACCAACUAUAAUUAUAUAUCUUCUAACUCACUUUUAACCUCACUAUCCUUGAGUUAUCUUCAAAUUUGUUAUCUAACCUUUCCAAUCAUCCAACAAAAUCUAACCUAUAUUUAUUUUUUUUUUUUCAUUUGGGACCUUUAACGUGUUUAGUGUUUUAAGUGAUGUGUCUUAUAUAAAUUCUCUUAACCCUAUCAUACAUGUGUAUUUUGUAUUCGGUCGACUAUUAUCCUCAAGAUGACAUAGUUUUUUUUUCCUCUACUAGCACGUUAUUAGUAAAUCUCGUGCUUUUUCUUAUUUAACUUUUUUAUCCUUAAUAUUACUUGUGGAUUUCAGCAUACCCACCUUCUAGAAAAUAUGUUAUAUCAAAAUGAUUCCACUCAUCAUCUAAUUAAAGUAUGAAGCAAAGGAAAUCAAUAUUAAUAAAAGAAGUUUGAUUUAAACAAUAAUUAAUUAGGUUAAAUUUUUAAAGAGAAAUAAUUAGGAAGUUUGUAGGAAGAUUCCCUAAGUGGCGUUGUCGUACGGCCCACAAGUUGACUGAAAACCAAAACCAAAACCAAAACCAAAGUGGUUGAAGAUCAGGAAGGGCUUUUGAGAAAGAGAUGAAUGAUUAAAACAAAAGAGAGUCUGUGUAGUCAAAAAAGUCUUGAGCCUUUUCUAUUCUUAUAUUGACAAGUUGUUGUCAUUUGAGUCCUCUUUUUCCAACUUAAUAUGCUCUACUGACUCGAUCCAACUUUCUAAAAUCUAUCAUUCAAUGUGUAUUUAUACUGGUGUGCUUGUCUAAUUCAAAUUUUUUAAAAGGUUUUGAGAGUUCAUGUAUGGAUGGCUAAGGAAGCUUGCUUGAGUUUCUUUAUACUUCAUAAGAUUUAAACAUGUUUCACUUUGGACUUCUUAUGCUGUAGUUAUCGAUUCUUUUAAGUCUUUCUCUUAACCAAACUUUCAUAUCCUCGAGGUUUCAUUUAGAUGUAUUUAUGUACUCUUAUGAACUCAAGUGUUGCUCAUGUUAGUUUAUGAGCAUAUACUAAGUGUAAAAAGAUGAUAAGGUUUAAUAAACAACCUAAAUCAAUCAAGUUAAUUUAAUGACAUUGACAAAUCACUUCAAAAGCUUGACUCUUAAGCUAAACAUUUCUAAAGAUUUUUUACUAUAAAAAUACCAUAAUUUUGUUCUACGAAUUCAACAAUGCGAGAAUAGUAUACAAAUUAAAGGUGAAUAGAGAGAAAUCAACCACUCUUCCACGUCAAAAGAGAAAAAAUACGUAGAUAAUAUUAUAUACAAAAUUGUACAAAAGUUUAUAUUAAUUGAAUUAUAUUCAUGUUGUUUAGUUGAUAGUUUGUAUUUUAAAAAAAAAAAGCUGACCAUUCUAAAACAGAAAAGAAAAGUUUGACAUAUUGGUUUAUAGUGUAUUGAAAUGAUGAAACUUUGAAAUAGUAAUAAUCCAAUAAACUUAAUUAAGAAGUCUUCAAAGGAUAGAUAGUUUUCCAAUACAAAGUAUUGUGUUGUAAUCAAUAGAUGGGACAAAAACAGAGAAGGAGAAAAGGUAUGAUUAUUUACAUGGAAAGAAAGGUUGUUUCUUAAGAAAAAAAAAAGGAAGAGGAAAAUAGGAAUUAGGGCAUUUGAAUUGAUCUUUGAAAAGACUUUGUUUUGCAGAACUAAAUAUGAUGCUUAAAAAUUGAAUAAAAGAAAAAAGUUGGUUUUGUUUUGUGUCUGAAUAUAUGAUUUGUAAUGGUGUGUGGAGUGACCUGUACUCUGUCCCCUCCAUUGGUGUUGCAUAAUACAUAUGCCAACCAACUCUUUUUUCUUUCAUUAUUAUAUAUUCUUGGACAAAUCUAAUUUGGUCUCCUCAAUUAUUAUUUCUUUCCCCUCUUUCCUAUUAUUGCAUAUCCCAUAUUUAUGUGUCACACACAAUUUUAUUCAUUUUUUCUACUACGGAAACAAUACUGUCUAUGCUUCAUUUAAUUUCUAGAUCUUCUUUCCCACAAUAAAUAAAUAUAUCUUUCUAUUUCUAUUUCAUGGAUCUUACUUUUUCACCCUCAUGUUUUAACUUUAUUUUUUAAUACGUCUUCAAUUUCAGUAUUUUACAUUUUCUUUUUUCUAUUUGGGAGGAAAUUGAUUUCAUUAUUUUAAAUUAAUUAAUAGAGUAUAUUUUUAAAAUAAGGGUAAAAGGGUAAAUGAUAAAAUAUAGAAACCAAAUAAAAAAUAAAUUCGAAAUGCGAUAUUAAAGACAAGGGUAAAUAAACAAAUAAGGGUCACUAAAUCCUCAUAUUUGGAUGUACUAAAAUAAACAAAUAAUUAAAUUUUGUGUAGGUAAUAAAAAUAAAUUAAUUUUAUCUUCUUAUCUUCAUUCUUGCCGCUAAUCAAAAUUAAAUAAAAGCUAUAUUGGUACCAUUUUUAAAAUUUUCAUUUUUUAAAAUGAAACCCUCUCAAUUUCUUGCAAGGAAAUAUUAAUCCAUAUUAAGUUAUUCAUGCAAAGGUAGAAAAGUUAAGAUAAUGGUGCAAUGGACCUAUUUACUUAGAAAAGUCUUAUAUAAAACAAAAUACUUCUAAAUUAAUCGAAUAUCACUUUUUUACGUUUGAGAUCGACAUAACCUUUUUUAUUAAUAAAAUUUGAAAUCAAAUAACUUGCAAGGGCAAAGCCAUAUAAAAAAAAUGUAGAUUGCCAUAUUAUUUGUAAAAAAAACAAGCUUUGAUAUUAAUGUACUUUAAAAAAUGAAAAUAGUACUAUUAUUUUUAUUUAGAAAAUACAGCAUAAUCUCUAGUAUAUAAAAAGUUGCUCUAUAAUUAUUGUUGAUAUACAAUAAAAAAAAAAGUUGAAAAUAUAUUACACUCUCAAAGCAGGCUUAAAAUCUUCAAUUAUAUAUAAUUAAUGAAAAUAUAAAAUUGUAUAGAAAAGGAGUAGAAAAAUAGUAUAUAAAGCAAAUAAUGAAGGAAAAAAAAGGUAUUAAUUAAUAAGUGUAACCGAAAGAUAUAUAAAGGGAAAAAAUAUAUAAUUUAAUUUGUCGGAAAGUAGAGAAAUGUGCAUCUCCACCCACAUGAAACCAUGCAUUAUAAAACUAUUUCUAAAAUAUAAAUAUAUAUAUAUAUUUAUAUAUAAUGUGUUCACACACGAAAAUUAAAAGAAAGAAAUAAAAACUUGUGAUGAUGAUCUGUAGAGUUGCAUGCAACAGCGCGUGGUUCAACUUAAUUCCUUUACCUUCUUCUAAUUCAACUUAAUUCCUCCUAACACUUUAGCAUUGUUAUCUAAUGUACGUAGGCUAUAGUUUUUACAAAGUUCAACUAUAUUGAAUAUUGCUCCAAACAAUUAAACAUUGUAAUCUAAUUUUUGUUCAAAUUUUAUUGGUUUUUAUUAAAUAUUUAUAUUGGAUUUCUAACGUUAGAAAGUAGAUGUGGUAACUCUUAUAAACUUUUCAUUUAAUUUUGUUUCUAAAGCAAGUAUUUGAAUUAUAAAAAUGAUGUCUCAUUCAGUGAAUGUGUUAUUAAAUGUAUUUGUCUCAAUCCACGUGUGUUCAUACUUCACCAUUCAUAACAUCUUCACCAUUUACUCAAAUAGCUAUCAAGCACCUUUUAAAUCUAAAAAUUUGACGGAGGAAUAAACUUAGUAGUUUUAUUCAAAUAGAGGAGUUGUUGGAAUGCCAAUUUUAAACUUUCAAAUAAAACACACCAUAUCACCACUUUCUCUUGCUGUCCUCCUUGCCAAGAGUUGAUAUAAUAAAUAUUUGAGAUUGAUAUACAUUAUUUCACAAGAGUUGAAUUGAAGAAUGAUAAGUAUGCAAUUUCAAAGAAUAAAACUAUGUUGAAGAUGGAUAUAAUACAUAAUUCUAUUUUAAUUGUUUUGACCCACGUAACAUAUAUAGUUGAAAGACUCCCAUGGAAUAAAUCCCCUCCCCACUAGGUAGGUGAUGAAAAUUGGAAAAUUGGAAAGUUUGGUAUUAAAAAGUGAGGUGUGGUUUUGAUAAUUAAGAUUUAAAAAAUGGUUUUCUUGAAGCUACUUCUUUUUAAGUCGUAAAAAUCCCUCUUUUGGUAUGCCAUUGUUAUGUGAUCACACAUGUAUGAAAGAGGAAAUAAGAAAAAGAAAACAAAGAACUUAAAAGUCAAACCCCAGCUCGAUAACGAAGGGCAUGCCUUUUUGUUUUCUUUUCGUACUACGUACAAUUAAUAUCACAACUUUCUCUUGCUGUCCUCCUUGCCUUUUUCAUAUACUAUAUAUAUAUAUAUAUAUAUAAAGUUAAGCCUAUAUUAUAAUAUUAUAUAUAUAUAUACACAUUUUCAAACAACAAAUAAUAUUAUCAAUAAUAACACUAUCAUGACAUAAAUUACAUUAUUUGAAUUGAAUUAAAGUAAUUAAUGUGAGAUGUCAAACAAUAAACCAAUAUUUACUUUAUUCCUCUACUAUCAUAUAUAUAUAUAUUAAUAAGAUGUUUAAAUAUAUAUUAAUUAGAAGAAUUGAGUUUAAUUAAUAGGCAGAAUAUAGAAGAAUGAAGAGGUUGAUUUUGUGUAGUCGUUGAAUCAACCAUGCCUUGCAUUUUGAAGCUAGAGAAAGGUCAAGACGAGUAGCACAAGAAUAAGCUAGCAUGUGAAGAGAGAGAGUUGGCGAUAGAAGUGUGAACAUGAUCAUGACCUUGGUCAAACAUAAUCUAAUGCAACCAUGCUAUAAUUAGAUUUCACUAUUUAUCAAAGUAUUCCUUUUAUUGAUCAAAUAUAUGGGGUAUAUGUAUCAUUCAGUCAAGAUUCAAACCACAAAUAUUUUAGUCACUAACAAAUUCUAUGGAUCUUCGAAAUAUUUAUUUAGUAACACACGAUAAAUUAUAUUCAUUGGAUUAAAACAAUUAAACAAAAUAAAAGUAACUAGCUAGAGUACUAUUAGAUUUUUCUUUUACAACAAAUACAAGUAGGAAGGUUUGAACUCUAACUUCAAAUAAGGCAACUUAUGUGAAUCACGUAAUUAAGUUUUGGACACUUUUACAAACUAGCUUCAACUGAAUAUUUAAAAAAUAUCACUUUGUUCACAUGCAUAUAACAUUUUCUAAUGAUACAUAGGAUGGAUAAAUUAACCUUAUAACUUUCAAGAUUAAUAAUAUAUAGUUUUAUGUUAGUUGAACUAUCCUCUCAUUUUCUUAAUCGAUUAUACAUGUACUUAAGAUUACUUUUGUAUCACCAACUAACGAGGCAUGAACAUACCGUAAAAUAUAUUAAAUAAUUAGCAGGAGAUGCAAUUUGUUACUUUAAUAUGAAGUGGGUAUACAAUAGAAUAGGAAGAAUUUUAAUAUUUGACAUUUUCAUAAUUUAUUUUUUUAGUUGAAUAAGAAGUGGAUUGAAUAAUCACUUUUACCUAGGCAACUACUAAUAGGUCAUAUGAAUUUAAUGUUAUCAAAAUAUUCAACAAAAUAUCAGUCUUUCGUAUGCAUUAAAAAUCCAACAACUAUUUCUUUCUUGUACCACAAUUUUGACAAAUCAAUAUUAAAUAUUGUACUACAUAAACGUAACUUUCCUCUUUAAGAAAUAGAAACUUCUACUACAAUAAUAACAAUAAUAAAUUCUCAAAUUAUAUUUAUAAAAUCGUAAAAUUUUCAAAUCCUAACUUCACCUACUUAUUUAAUUACCAAAAAGAUAGUCAAAGAUUCAUAAAAUAAAUGAUCCCCACACCUAAUGGAAUCAACACGAUUUAAUUAGUAAAUACAUAAAACUUUAUUUUUCUUCUAAAUGUCAAACUUAUAUUAUUAUUAUUAUUAUUAGGGUUCCUUCAUAAAUGGGUACGUAAAAAAAAAAUCUAACAUUACUCAAUUAAAAUGUUCAAUAUUUACAAAAUUUUUAAAAUAAAUUAAUUAGUAUUUUUUAUAUAACUCAUCAAUUACUACAAUGUGAUCUUCCAAUAUUUCUUCUCAUAUUAAAAUUUUUAGAUAAUAAAAAAAGUUACUGAAACGAUAAAAAAAAAAACCUUUUAAUUAAUAUUUUUAAUUAAUAUCCCCUAAAGUUAAGAUCAUUUCACACCAUUUCUUUUAUUUCUAAAGGAAAUAAAUAAAUAACUUUAACAAUUGUUUAUUAUUAAGGGAAAUAAAUAGAUAAUUUUAACAUAAAAUUCUUAAUGAUUUCAAUUUUAGGAAACAUAAUUUUAAUUUCAUUAAAUUGUACAUUAGUUAAUUAAAAAAGAUGUUGCAAUUAUUUAUGACCCUCUAAUAAAUAGUUGUACCAAAUAUCUUCAAAAUAUUCUUCAUCUAUGCGUUCAUUUGAUUAGCUUCAAUAUAAACAUAAAGUUAAUAAUAAUAAAAGAGUCAAAGUUAAGUUUUGUAUUUAUUAUUGUUAUUAUGAAAUCCAUACAUUUUGGUUGAAGUUAUUGAAGAUUAUUAUGUGCAUUAAUGAAGCUUAUUUUACAUUUGAUUUUAUCAAAACUAUAAAAUAUUUACUUGGUUAUGUGGAUGAAUUAGUGAUUGAGUACUAUAGUGAGAUGAAGUUGAGCAAAAAAUAAAGGUAGGUGAACUAAAUACUUAAUUCUAUCCAACUUCAAAAAACGAAUGAAUUGAAAAAAGUAUAAAUAAAAUAUAUACACGUGAGAAAUUAAGAAUCAAAAUAGAACUUUGGUAUUAAGAAUAAAUGAAAAAUCAAUUUACCACCGAAGUCCAAAAGGAGGGAGGGGGGGGGGGGGAUACAACUGUCACCACGUGCUAUCCCCAUGCAAAAAAAGAAAAAGAAAAGAAAAAAAUGAAUGUACUUUUGUGUUAUGAGACGUACGAAGCGAGUAUGUAUAGGGAAUGGUGAAGCGGAGAGCCAGGUGUCAGGAUAUGACUGAGCACGUGUUAAGGUGUUGAAUUACAAAAAUGCGGAGAGAAAGAGAAUCUGGUAGCCGCAGUAUGGUGGAGCCUGGAGGUGUGAUGAAUAAAACCACGUAGAUGGUGGGUGAGGGUCCAAUGAGAGGGGGUUGGUUGAGAAACGUCAACGACGUCGUAUGGUUUUUUUAGCAUCGGGGGUUUCUUAGACAGAGUAACCGUCAGAGUGGUGCGAGUGACAGCCAGCUAACACUCCCAUUGCACUAUUCUUGAGGGAACGCGUUUGUUUUCUUCUUUAUGCCUCUUUUUCGCAACGUCACCGACGCUUCUUUUUCCUCUCUCUCUUUUUUCGCUUUUUUUUUUCUUCUCUUUCUCCAUCGUCGUGUUUAUUAGAGUGUUUUGAAUUUUCUUUACACCUUCUUACUUUCUCUCAAUUUUGGUUCAUGUUUUCAUAUAGAUUUGCAAAUUAUUUAAUUCAUUUUUUAUUAUAUUAUAUUCAAGUAUUCAGGGGUGUGUAUGCAUAUUUUAAAGAAAAUGUUAAACUUCAAACGUUAUGUCAACUAAUUUAUCACAAAAAAUAAAUGUGAUUAGUACCAUGCAAUUUUAAGGGUCAUACUGAUUCUAAAGUUGUCCACAUUGCACGUACAUAUUCCAAAUAGGAUGCAACAGAAGGUCUUAUAAAUAUAGACUCAUACACCACUAAAUUCAAACUGUAAAUAGUUCUUUUUCUAUAAUUAGUUGAAUUAAACAUUGUGCAUGCUUACUAAAGCAUCAUAUAUACAGUGUGUUUAGUUCGAUACCAAAUUGAUGUGAGUUUUCGUAAGUAAUUAAUUAUCGAGUCCAAACUAGAGAAAGGUGUCAAAGAAGCGGUAGGACUUUAGUGAGCCGUCCCAACUUUAGAAAAUAACAAAAUCUAACUAAAAUAUUAAAAUGUCAUUAAUGUUCUUUUGUUCAAAGGAAAAACUGUCCCCAUUGAACAAAUAUUAAUAAUAAAAAAAUAUUAUACCUACUUAAAAGAUGAGUUUGUCAUUCGUUAAUUUCAACAAUUUUUUAUGAACUUUUGACGUUUGUAGUUUUGUAAAAAAUAUGGGUGGAAGUUGAUAUUUUAUCUAUAAUUUCAUUCUUAACUUUUUCAAUACAUUUAAUAAUAUUUAAAACAUAAGAGUUUUGAAUUCAAUUAAGAAAAAAAUAUUUUUCAAGAAAUUCAUGCUCGUUUAAAUUUAUUUUUUUUAAAAUUGUUUAAAUAAAAUAAUCGAAAGAAAAUGAUAUAAAUAGAUUCAAUUCAUUAGUCCAAAGUUUUAAUUGGAUAGAAUUCUAAAAUUUUAAUUUAAAGGGUAUAAAUGGAUUGUAUUUUUGUAAACUUUUAUGGAUUGCUGUGGUUGGUAGGUUCACUCUUUCAAUAAAUUUAAGGUUGAAUUUAACAACCCAAAAUUUGUUAAUUAAAAUUUGUUACUCUGCUUCACCUAAAAUGAUUUGGAGUGUGGUAGUUAAGAUUAUAUUCAUAUUUGGUGACACAUUUCUACCACACACACACAUGCACUCCUGUUCUGCACUCCUAUUCUAUCCAAGGGUCAUUAUUAAAAUUUAAACCUAAACUAUUAUAAUUCAAAGACUCCAUCCUAAACAUAAACAAACUAUUAUAACCAACAUAUUAUAGUACCUAUCUAGAUAUUCUUUAAGUUUUAAAUUUAUGUUUGAAAGAGAUAUAUAGUUAUUGUUGUUCUAUAAACAAAUGUCAAAUGAGAAACUAGAUAAGCGUUAAAUAUAUUGAAGCUCGAUGAGAUGUAGGAAAGGGAAGAGGGAGGUGAUGGUAAUUGAUAUGUAGAUUAACAAAAACAUUCGGAAUAUUUUAAAUUUUUGAAAAUUUACACCUAUUUUUGCAAUAAUGUAUGGAUUUGUUUGGUUUAUAUAUAUAAUAUCAAUAAGUGUAUUUUUUAUUUAAAAUAGUUUCAGACGAUAAAAAAAUUUAAAAAAAAAAACAAACCAUAUGUAGUAUCUUUUUUUCUGUAUAUUACAAAUAUGACAAGUAAUUAUAUAUAUCAUAUGACUCUAAGAAAAUUAUUAGAGGGUUAUCCACUUUUAAAUUUGCUAUUUUUAUAAUUUAGAAAAUGUUGUCACAUAGAUUUUAUUAUUAUUUUUUUACUAUUUUUGCAAACUCACCUUAUUUUCAUUUUAAGUUCAAAAGUAUAUUUUUUGAAAUACUUAGAAGUUGAAGGUAUUUUAAUAAUAAAACACUAUUAUUUUUUUUAUAUAAAAUUAAGUUAUUAAAUAUCAAUGAUAGAUAUAUUUUAAUCUUUUAAAAAAAUUUAGUUAUUUUUUUUAAAACUUUUAAAAAUUCAGACAUAUUUUUAACACAAAAACAUUUUUUCAAUAAAUAAUUUAGCCUAGUGAUAAAUCUCCCUUAAUAGGAACCUAAGAAAAGGCACUUAUAUCCCAACAUGUCUUGGAUCGAAGGGACUAAUUAAUAUAUCUCAUUCAAUGUUCGGGUGUUUGAGUCCACAAUAGUUGAAAAUUUCAAUUAUUAUUACCUAAAUAAAACAACGUAAAAAUCCUCAUGGUAUAAAUGUUUACUAUUUUGUAAUAACCCUUUUUUCUUAUUUGUAACUCAUACCAAAACAACAUGGACUCUAAACACAGAAUAUGAAAACUAUGGAGUCUAUUGUUUAUAGAUUGUGUUAUAUCUAUAAUUGUUUUACGUAAUUAACUAUUAUGAUUGCAAUUACUAUUCAUUAUAAUUAGAACUAAGUGCGAGAUCGUAGAGUCAAAUAUAGAAAAAGAUGAUAGUCGGAGUUUGAGAGUAGAGAGUUGAUUAGAAAAAAUUGUGAAAGAACUUGACUGACUAGAAUUCAUUUCAUUGCCACCGACGGAAACGUUUGUGUUGGUCUUUGUAAAGCAUUGGGAAUGACUAAUGAUCAACUAAGAAGAAGAAGAAGAUAAGAGGAGGGUAGAAGAAUGGGAGAGUAAAAGAGACGAAACCAUAGUGGAGAGACAUUAGAUGCGCUUUUUAAUUUCAAAUUUCGUAUUACCAUUUAAAUUAAUAAUAAAUUCAAUAAAACUCAUCAAAUUAUAAAGACUAUAAAGAAUAUAUAUAUUUUGAAAUUAAGGAUUAAAAAGAUAAUUUUUGUGAAUUAUUUUUGUAAUUUGAGAAAAAGAAGAAAAGGAGAGAAUUUUGAUUUAGAAAAAGGGUAAUAUGUCCCAUCAAGAAAUCAGUGUCAAAAGAAAAGAAGGAAGACUUUUGAAGAUGAUCUGAUCACAAAAGUGAUUCAUUUUUAUAGGAAUUAAAUGUGAGACCAAAUAUUGUUGGGGUUGGAGUCAAAGGAUGAAGAAAACUCAAUAUCUCCAUUUAUGUUUGGUGGGGGCAAUCUCCACUCCCCAAUUAUCCAUAAAAUGACUAUAAACCAUUGAAAUUUUGGGAUGCUUUUUUACCUUUAUUAUUUAUGGUUGGUGGGUGAAAAGUGCAUAUUGAGUUUCAUUUAUUCUAUCAAUACUACUGUGUGGGAAGUGGAAUAUCUUACUCAAUCUCCAACUAUACUGAAAUUGUUAACUUCCCUUUCUUUUGCUUACUCUUCCAGAUAUGAUCAUGUAAUUUAUGGAUUACCCAUAACUGAUAUUUGUUACCCUAAAUUUCCCUCUCUCAUUGACCGUAGUCACCUCGUCAUGGCAGUUUUGUUGAAAAAUUGAGACUACAUCCCAUCAAAUAAAAUUCGGGUAUGAUCCGUGGACAAAUUUUUUUAAAGAUAUAGACAUGGGUUCUUCUAUCCCAUUGUUUCGUUUUUUCUUUGAUUUGUUUAGAAGGAGAGAUUCCCUAUUUCAUCAGGAAUAGUUUAUUCUAUAAAAAAAGAAAAAAACUUUUUUUUUAUUCUUUUGUAAACUUUAUACUUUUAAAACAUCCAUAUAAAAAUGUUUGUUGUGUUCAUCAACAUUCAAAGUUAAUUUUGAAAUUUUCAACGCGUUAAAUUUUGUCUAUUGUUUAUCAUUGAUCAAAAGUAUACAUUUUAGAAUUUAGUGUCUUUCUUGGAAAAUAAUGCAAAUAAAAAUUGUUUCAAAAUCAUCCAACUAUCUAUUCCUAAUCUUAUCCUUAAUUAAAUAUUUUAUAAUUAAGAAGUUCAUAUGUCAAUUCAAAUAUACUUUAAUUGAUAUAAGUUUUUUAUUAAAUCAUCCAAUAAUUUUAGAGAAUGAUUAAAAGUGGCAUAUUUUUUGUUUUAAUUUUAAAAAAUAUUACUUUUCUAAAAUUCGUAAAAUUGUAUUUUUCCGUGAAUCUUAGACGAGGUUGACAACAAAUUUUUUUAAAAUAUUAAAAAUUUUCAACUUAUCGAUUGUUUUGGAUUUUGACGGUGCAUCUCGCUAGACAAUUAGAUCGAUAUUUUAUAAAUUUUUAAAUCUUUCCAAAUCUUUUAUUUAUCUUUAUUUAUCUUUUCAAACAAAUUAUUCAAACAUUUACAAAUCUUUUACCAAAUCUUAAUUAGUUUUUGCUACUUUCGUCAAUUUUUCCAACUAUUUCUUGUAAAUUAGCAUUGUUUUUCCUUUUACUAAUUCCUACCCUUUCUUUAAUCAAUUAACUAUCUUAUGGAACACCAAAAGAGAAAAAGAAGAAAGAAGUAGGAGAAACAAUACUAAGAAAAAGUUGUAAUUUACAAAAACGUAGUUCGAAAAAUUGGCAAAAAAUAAGAAAAUUAGUCAAGAUUUGGUGAAAGAUUGUGAACGUUUGAAUAAUUUUUUUUGAAAAGAUAAAAGAAAUUUGGAGAAUAUAUGAAAAAUGGUCGAAUUUCACUCUAAUUAUCUAGAGCACUAAGAAAACCCAAGGCAACAAAUAAAUUGAAAUAUUUUAAUAUUUUAGGAAAAUCUCAAUGGUCGAUCUCAGCCGAGAUUGACCAAGAAAAACAAAAUUACGAGUUUUAUCAAAAUGUGCUACUUUUGAAAUGUAAAAGCAAAAAUGUGCUAUUUCUAAAAAUUUCUCAAUAAUUUUGGUUAAGUUUCUUCAAAGUGUAAAUAAUAUUUUAUAAUUUUUUAUAAAGCGUAAAUAUUUUAUCAAAUGUUAUUUUGGACAAUUUUUCGAUAAUUUGAAGCCAAAUGACCCAAAUUCAUUCAGUUUUAUGUAAACUAAAACUGUAAAUAAAUUUUGACUUUUUUUUUUUAUUUUACACUGAAAUAAGGAUCAAACGAUUGAUCUUUGGAUUACUAACACAUAUUUAUAUCUAGGUGAGUUAUGCUUUAACAAAAAAGAAAAGCUAUCCAUUAUUGAAAAUAUCAAAAUUGCUAAACUAUUUACGUUGACAGACACUCAUAAAUUUAUUAAAAAAAAUUAUAGUUCACUGCUAAUGUCUAUCAUUGGACAAAAUUUAAAAAUUUGUUAUAUUUUAUAAUUAUUUUGAUGGAUUUUUCGAUAUUUGAAAAUGCUCCUUUAAUUAUACCAUAAAUCGUGUUUUUUAUUUCUAACCGACGUUAUAUUAUAUGUAAUUUGUUUUGGAACAAAUAAAAAUACAUCUAACAAAAGAGGUGGCUUAGUUAGACGCCAUAUAGGGCAAAGACCUAUUCUAAUUAAUAUAACACUCAUAAUAACAUAAAUCACAUUCAUGAUAACAUCAAUUAUUUGUUUCAUCAAUAAGUUAAAGGAGUGACGGCAUGUACCUUUACAAUCAUAUUCAUCUUAUUGCAAAGUAAUGCACAAUUAUAUCCAUAUCAAUAAUAUCUUUUUAGUACCAUAAAUAAUACUUUUUUUCCCUCUCUUAUAGCCUACAAUAACUAAGACAAAGUCAAGACUAUAUAUAACAUAUCUCUCAUUAAAUGCAAAUGAGAUAGCUCAUUAAAUGCAAAUGAGAUAGAUUUAAAUUAAAUAAACUUGGUCUAUAUCAUUGUCUUUUUUUCGUCACAAUCAAUCGAUUAUUGCUAAUGGUAACUUUGGGCGUGCUACCCGUUUUUUAGGGAAAUAUUGUGUGAUAAGUAAUGUUCAAUUCAACUUUUGAUCUACUUAUAUAAUGUUUUACAUGUAACCUUUUAAACAAUAAUAUAAAUGAAAUUAUAAUUUGAUAUUAUGUAGAAAACAAGGUGUAAAUAUUUUUGUGUUUUGUUCUAUUUUUUAGAAAGAUCAACUGUAUAUAAUAAUUUAAAUAUUGAUGAAACUAUUUUAAGUUAAAUUUAAAUUUUAUGUUAAUUUUAUGUUUUUCAUUUAUUAUUCUUUUGCAAAUGAGGAAUUUAGUGAUUGAAAAAAUGUAUUAUUGCGAAAUUAGCCAUAUCUCAGCCAUAUAUUAGAAGAAAAAUAUAUGAAUUUAUAGCCGUUGUUGAACUUAUGAUUGUAUCAAUUUAAAUUCUCAACUUUUGGGUGGUAUCGAUUUAAACUAUAAACAAUAAUAUAAUAAUUUAAACCCUAAACUUUCACAAUUGUAUCAAUUCAAACCCUAAACUUUCAUAAGUACAUACAUAUUUAAAUAAAUAUAAUGGAGAGUUUAUGUUGAUACAAUCAUAUAAGUUCAAAUUGUAAAUUGGUAGACUUAUAAACCACAAAGUUUAAAUUGAUAUAAUUAUUAGUUUACAACCUAAGUUAAAACAAGCACAUAAUUCAUGGUAUAAAUUGAUAUAUAUUCAAAACUUACCAAUUUUGUUUUUAAAUUCUAAAAAACAUAUUUACAAAUAUAUCAAAAUAUCAUAAUAUAUUUAUCAUAGAUCACAAUGGAUCAAAAUAAAAUGCUAUCUUUGUUGAUCAAAUGUUUACGAAGACAUGACCCAUAGUAGAUAGACUGAUAUUUUCUUAUAUUUUGUAAAUUUUUGUUUAUUUUGCUAUAAUUAAAAUUAAUUCUAAAAUAUUCUUUUCAAGGGUGUUUUAUAUGAAAUAGUGUUUUUGCACUAAGAAACAAACCACAGCUAAUUUCUUUUUUAGUUUUUUGUGGAAUAUUUGAUAUAUAUAUAUAUUAGAAAUAUUAGAAUGGAUAUACAUGGGAUUUGUUAAGAACAGACCAAUAAUUUAUGAUUAAAAACUUGGUACGAUCAUAUAAGAAUAAUGACAAGAAGAACAUAUAUUUAACUAUUUUUCUUUUUAAAAUUAUAAAUUAUUGUUUUUUCUAAUACAAUCAUCAAUAAAUGAUUGAGUGUAAUUUACAAUGGUUUAUUCAAAACUGAUCAACAUGUUAUGAUAAAAAAUAAAUACUUCAUACUUGCAUUUGAUGCUUAGUGAUUUCUAUGAAAAAUAAAUAUGUUUCAUCAAAAUAAUUAAACUUCUCAUCUUCCAAUAAAUAUUUAAUUAAUCAUAAUUUCCAUAAGAUUAACUAAUUCUUCACAAAUAUCUCAAAAUAAUCCCCAAACUCCAAUAUAAUUAACAUAAACUCUAAGAUAAUUAAGCUUAAAAGUUCCCUUAAUUUUUGGGUGUUACAUGGUCGUUCUAGUCUUUUGUGUUGUGUUGAGUUGUAACGAUAUUCUGAGUUUCGAAUAUGGAACUUCGCGAGGGAGACUAAUUUUAGAAGUUUCGCUUACUAGGUGUUCAACUCGUUAUCUCACGAAGAGGUACGUGUUGGGUGUCUAGGUGGCACGCCUCCUUCUAGUCGCAUGAAGUGGCCAGCGGGACGGGACGUGACAUCACUUGAUGUAACGAUCAAACUUUUCAAACUAAGAUAAAGGUAAAUUCUUGAAAAUAAAUGACAAAUUUUAAAUUUCAUGGAAAGAGGAAAAACUGGUUCUCUAAUAAAUAAAAUGUAAAAAUAAUCGUUUGAAAAUCAUGGUUUGGGUAAAAUGGUAAAGUACUAUGAAAUCAUAUUCCUAGUUUAGACCCUAACUAAUUUCAAAGAAGCUAAAAAUAAAUAAAUUAAAGAAAAAAAUAAUCAUCAAGUUCAAAUAAAAUGUUUAAAAUCAAAAUACUUAAAAUGAAAAAUGAAAAGCGAAAGCAAAAGCUAAGUCCCCAUAUGGCAUGCCAUGGACUCUUCAUGUCGCUUCCCGCUUUCCAUUUUCUCUACCUCUAUCUGAAACAUUAGACAAAGAAAAAGGGUGAGUGUAAAAAUAUACCCAAUAAGAAAUCCAAAGGAACUCACAUGAUCUAAUGAUCCUGUAGGAACACUCAUAACUCUGGUGAUCUCAAAGAAGCAUACAAAAGAUUGGGUUAUGAAGUGAUCCUGUCUGACCACACAUGAAACAUGACAUGACAGACUGGUGGUCCUGUCGAACGCACACAGUCAUAAACCUAAAAGGUGGUGAUCUCGAGGGACAUCGUAGAGUAGGCACAAAUCCUAAUAAUAAACACCAAAGUUCAAAAGCAUGUAACAAUCAUCAUAAACAUGGCAUGAAGCAUCAAUGAUAAUAGUCCAAAAUCAUGUAAUCCAUAAAACAUAUACAUCAUCACAUAUUGCUAGCCAACAACUAAACGUUAUUAGCUACCAUCAAUGCAUAAUCAGUAAAUACGUGCUUACCCUUAAAUUUAUGCUCGACGAUCCAGUAGAAGAAUCUGCUAUCUUAAAUUAGCUAAAAAAUAUAUUCUUUUGCUGACAGUCAAAUUAUUCUAAUUAAAUAGAUCCUAAACAAUAAGAGGAAAUUUCAAUAACCUUAAUUAAUAAAAUUACUAAUGGCCAGUAUCUAAAUAUUCUCCCAGUUUAGCUUACCAAGAACUAAAGUUGAAACCAAUUCAAUCUUAAUGGAAAAAUUCUACAUAUUAAAUUCUCUAAAAUCGCCAAUUAAACUUGUCCCGACGUGAUCACGAUGUGGAGCCGCCGACCUCCAUCGUUUAUUUAAUUUUAAUAAAUAAAUAGUUUUGGAGUCAUCACCAACCAUAUUAGGGUGUGAUCGGUCACCCAAAGAAAAAAAAAUAAAAAAGAUGGUGUACGUAAAUUCAUGAGAUUUAAGUUCGAGAGUCAGUUGUUUGUAGGGAAAAUGUUAACACCUGCAACACCCAUGAAAUGGUUAUCCAAUUUUAUCUUUUAAACUAAAUUAUACACCUUCACAAAACAAAGUUUUUUAUUUAGGUUUUAUUUAAAUGUCUCAUGUAUAUCAAUAAGAAAAUAAAACUUAAGCAUGAAUUGAUAAUUAUGGGUGGCUUAAAAGCCAUUAGAAAAAUAAAGUUUAAUUCAAAAGAUUUUCUUUUUUUAUAUUCACCUCAAUAAUAUUAAAAUACCAAAACUUUGAUAUUUUAAUCUCCAUCAUCGGUGACUAAUGAGAAAUUUGAUGUAUCUAAAAAUUAAUAAUUUCAAAUAGAGAAAUUUCAUGUAUUCAUGAAAUAUAAACUAUAAAAUCCAUAAAAAAAUAAUAUUUUUUCUCCAAUUUAUAUUUUUAUAUUUAAAUUGAAAAAUGACUAAUAAUAAUGAUAAAACAUUGUAAAAUUUGAGAAAUAUUUUAAAGAAAUAUGUGGAGAUAAAAUAAAUACAUAGAUAAUAUAAAUAAUAUGCAAGAUGAUUAAUUAAUGCAAAUUAAUGCAGAAGGAUGCAAGAGCAAAAUAAUUAAUGAACUGAAAUGGAUGGCAAAUAAUUAUAUCAAAAUGUACAUAAUGCAAAUAAUUUGAAUGAGUAAUUGACACAAGAGGCCAAAUGAGUGCCAACAAUUAACUCAAGAUGCCAAAAAUUAAAAACGUCAAAUACAUAAUGUUAAUUAAUUUAUCAUGGAUAAUUAUUAACAUGGAUUAAUUAUUAACGAAAGAUGCUAUAUGGAUACAAGUAAAUAACAAAAAUAGGUGUCAAAAAUUAAAAAGAUGGCCAACAUGAGCUUAGCUCAACUGGCACUUGUAUGUUUUUGUGGACGAGAGGUCCCGAGUUCACAUCCUCAUUCCAAAUGGAUGUCAAAUAAUUACUAUUUGAUGAGAAUAUCCAAAACACAUAAAAUUGAGAUAAUUAAACUAAAAAUUAUAUAAAAUUUGAGGGAUUAUACUUGAAUUUUGGAUCUUAUUACUCAAAAUAACUUUGAGAUCUGUCCGUGAUGGAGAAUUUUUUCGAGGAGCAAAGAAAGAAUUCAUCAUCAAAUGACAGCUCGAAUGACUCAACAACAAAAUGGAUUGGUAGAGAGAAAGAAUUGAACGAUCAUGGAAAUGGCAAGAAGUAUGCUAAAAGAAAGAAAGAUGUCAAAUGAGUUCUAAGGAGACGUUGCAUGCACUGGUUACAUUUUGGAUCGAGUUCCAAUGAAGAAUGUUCUAAGUAUGACUUCUUAUGAAGCAUGGUGCGAUGAGAAACCAUAUGUGAGUAUCUGACAGUAUAAACUUAUUCUCACGUACCAAAUUAGCUAAGAGGCAAACUUGAUGAUAAAUCUGAAAAAUGUAUUAUGGUAGCCUAAUGUGAAAAUGUUAAAGCUUAUCAGUUAUAUAAUCCUGUGUCAAGAAAGAUUAUUAUUAGCAGAGAUGUGAUUUUCGAUGAAUAUGAAUCCUAAAACUAAAGUGAAGUUGGUGAACUAAAAGUCCAUUUCUUGUUAAUAUGUAUGAGAAUAAAUUUGCUCGACAAUUAGAGCAAGCAUAAAUUUAAGCAGUGGCGACAUCUUCAUCUUCAUCUUCAACGCCAUCUUCCACAAGUGAUGAUGAAAUCUCAUCAAGGAGAAUGAGGAAUAUUUAAGAAAUUUGUAAUGCUACAAAUAGAAUUGAUGAUGAUUAUUUUGCUAAUUUUGUAUUAUUUACUGGGGUUGAUCCUGUAACUUUUGAUAAAUGCCAUACAAGAUAAGAAAUGGAAGAUUGCAAUUGAUCAAGAAAUUGAUGCUACAAAAAGGAAUGAUACAUGAGAGUUAUGAAGAUUUCUACAAACAAAACAGCUCUUGAGCUAAAAUGGGUAUACAAAACAAAGUUGAAGUCAAAUGGUGAAAUUGAAAAAUACAAAGCAAGACUACGAGCAGGAAUAGGGUGUGGAUUAUGAAGCAAUAUAUAUUUGCUCAUGUGACAAGAAUUGAGACCAUUUUAUUGAUUUUAUCUCUUGCGGUUCAAAAUGGGUGGAAAGUUUAGACAAGAGCGUCUAGUGAGUGGAAUCUUUUAUCAAAGUUUUUGAUAAAUCAAAGUUGCCUUAACAACUAUAAAAAUUUCGUCAAGUCAUACGGUAAAUAAUAUAACAAUUUAAUCAGUAUAAUAUUGAAUUUAAAUCAAAUCAUCUCACUUUUAUCAACAACUUUCACAAAUCAUAAUUUCAUAUGGAAAUCGUCUCUUUUCAAUUAUUUCAUCGUAAUUUAUGUCGCAUGACAUGCAUCUCACAUAUAUCAUAAGCAUCUCGCAAAUCUAGUCUGUAUGUUUAGUUACAUAUUUGUGUCCCUUUUCUCAGCUCAAGCGUUUACCACUCUUUUGCUCAGUUGCGACUAAACUCAACGCAUUUAGCAAGUUUCAUCAAUUCCACUAUGAAUUAUGCAGUCUUCUAAUGCUAGAUCACACAACAAGUAUAAUGCAUCAUAUUCAAGAUCACAUAGCAUGAAUAAAGAAUUCUAUUCCAAAUCACGCAACAACAAUAAAACAUUUUAUCCCAAAUCACACAACAAGGAUAAGGCAUCCUAUACCAUAUCACAUGACAAGUGUGAGACAUUCUCAUUGCAUAGGGUACAAAAGAUUAUUUCGUUUUCAACUUUAUCACAUCUCAUAUACUCUCCCAAAUACAUCAUUUCAACAAUAAGUCCAAUUCCUUUAUAAGUUAUAUGCAUUUUAAGGAUUUGAAAAAAUAAGAGAAAUCAUACAAAUCAUGGGCUAGGUAGAAAUGGAUUUAAAAUACAAUUUCAAAAUCUUUUUCAUUUUGGAAACAUUCUGGAAACAUUCUAUAAGAGGAAUCACUCACUGUUACAAUCAAUUUGCUCUUCCUCCUAGCUUCCCCGACCAAGAGUCUCCUUGCAUCUCUUGAAAUCCUGGUAGAAAAUAAACUCGUUCUGCAUCUUUGAAAUCUCAAAUACUUCUCUAAUUCUUUUUUAACAAGCUCAAGGUACAAGCAACUUCAAACUAACCUAAAUUUCCUUCCACGGUGAAUUUUUCCAUAAUAGAAUGAUUACUCUUACUAGCGGCGAGAAGUUGUCCAAUCUCAAAACACCACAUGUCUCUACCUAACCCUUAUCUUGAACUUUGAUUAGGUGGCAGGGUCAAAUCAAAUACCAGCCUGACUCAGGGUCACAUCAUUGUUUCUUAGUGAAGUAGCGCAAAUUGCUCUAUCGUUCGCCAUGUAACCCUUUUAGCAUAAAGACCUUUCAUCACACACUUCUUUCAUGAAACCCGUUUUGCCUACACAAGUCUCUUCAUGCAUUAUCCCUACUGCAGGGCCUUCCUCUCAUUAGUGGUACGUGGUCAGGGCCUUACAACUCCUGAUUUGACAUUCUCGAGAGACGCAAAACCUUAUUAUCUCAGGAACCAAACUCUUCCUCGCCUUAUCUUCUUGAGAAGCUAAACUCUUUUUUCCGCCUUCUUCUUUCUCCCGACAGACUACAACCGCCCACUUCUUUUUUUGAAUUCUUGAAUGCCUAACUGAUCUUCUUGCUAGAACUCCUUCGCCGCAUCAACUUUUCCUUUAUUGUCUACUUUUAACGCGACUUCCUUCUCUUCAAAUUUUAUCUUUAGAAUGAUCAAUCUUUUCAUUUUAGAAGAAUCAUCCCACCCCUCAGCACCUUUCUUCUGCAACAUGACUCAUUUUCUCGAACCUGGACCUCACAUAAUGAAUGCGUAUUAUGAACUUAAUUAUUAUAACUUGUUUUGAGUGCUCUUGAUACAAAUUAUAUAAGUUUAAAAUAUUUUGUAAAAAGUACUUUAACGGAGUAUUGCAUUGUUGAAGAUACUUUUUUUAAGAGUUUUUUUUUUUUUUUUUGUAUGAAGAGUUUAAAAUAUUAUUGAAACUUUUGAAUGGUAUUCAUUCCAAACUAAUCAUAAGAAUACUAUUUAUAUUUCUUUUAUUUAUUGUUUUAAAAAUUAGAAAUAUUAUUGAAACUGAUUUUAGGCUUUUAUUAUCAUUGUUGUUGCCUCGUUUGUGUUGGUUUCUUUCGUUCUAAAUAUAACUUUUUGACUUAAAAUUGAGAUGGCUGAGUAGGAAAAUUGGGUUCUACCUUGGAAGUACUAAAUAAUAAUAAAAAAAAGUUGAUAUGAAAAAAGGAAGAGAAAAAUAAAAGGUCAUGGCUUGCAAUGCCAAGUUGCAAAGAAGUCAUACAAUUAUUUCUGCCGACUGUCCUUUCAUAGACUUGGAGCUUAUGAAAUAUAUUCAAAGAUUCCCAUUCAACUCUUAGGAUUAAAAAAUCCAACCUUUCAUAGACUUGUCUGGUAAAGGAAAUUAAACGACUGGUAACCCAUCUUUCUUCUAAAACUUGUAGGGUAGUCUCUUAUCCUCAGGUUGGUUUGUUCUUGAAUCAAACAUUUGUUAUAGGUUGAAUGUUCGUUUGGCUUUCAUGGGCUUCAAUACCACAAUGGAUAAACGUGAAAAUUUAUCUUUUAACUCGAGCAUUUUACAAAGAUUGAAAAAUCUCUAUUUUUCUGGAGUUUUCUUUCGAAUUAUUGAAAUGUAAGAAAAACUUCACUGUCCAUUCAAAGGGGGUGUGGGUGACAAACAUCUACAAUUGGUACAAAGAAAAUUUAGAUGUUAGAAUUGUCACUCCACAUAUUGUUGAAGAGAAAAACAAACAAGUGAUGGCCUGAUGGGUUUUGAACAAUGCAAGUGCUACUUCGGAUGCAUUUUGAACAAUGACUAAAAUGAGGCAUUCCUUUCAGAGACGAAAAUGGUUAUAGUGGACUGACCAUUUUUCUUUUAUUGACAUCACAGAUGACAAAAUGAUGAUUUGGACCUAUAGCUAUUUCAGAGAAAGUAGAGAUGGAUUGGCCUAACUCAUAAAUAAAUGAGAGACUAAACCAUCGACACAUAUCGAAUUAACAAACAAGCAAAGAGGCUAAGAACAUUCUUCAAGUUACCGGAAAAAAGGCACAUUCACAAUUAAAAACUUCAAAUUCCAACAGCUCAUCGAUCCAAGAACACAAAAUGGAGGGCAUUUAAACUUGUUUUACGAAAAAGAAUCCUCAUCAAUAUAAACUCAAACAUAAGCUCACACAUCUCAAGCAAAAAAUGCCAAUAUCGUAAGACUAAACUUAAUAAAAAUACACAUUCUAAAAAGGAGGCCAUUUUAUUUAUUUAAUUAUGUCAUGUAGCAAAUGACAAACUACGAAGGAAGCUGAAGAGAAUCUUGUGAAUAUAAUCCUUUGAAUUGGAUGAAACAUUUCCUGAAGGAUAGAGGAAGAGCAUAUCAAUAGUAAAAUUGAAAGCUCAAGAGGGAAAUUGUGGGAAAAUCAGGGGAAUGCUUCUCGUAAUUGGGUGGGCAGAUCAAGAUCAGGCUCAGUUUCACUUAGUGGAGAGAAAUAUUGGUUCACCAUAUCUUCAGAUACUUGGGCUAAGGUUGGAGGAUUCCACUGCCACCAAUAACAAAAGCAAUUACAUUUUUAGAAUCCCCAAGAAUCUAAAGUUUUUAUUACUAAGAAAAGUAAGUAGCUCAAAUAAUAAAAUUAGUUUAUUGUAUUUACUUGAUCUCUAAAUUUCAACUACAUUCCUAAAUUUUGAAUGAUGAUAUACUUUGUUAACAACUAAACACCAUUGUGACACGCUCCUUAUUCUAUCCAACUGUCAGCCCCAUGCCGCACUAAUUCAACCCAAACAUAUCUAAUCAGCAUGCCAACUUCAAUAUUUAAACAGUUGUGCCAAUGGUGUAAAUUAAAUAGCCAAAUUUGCAUAAAUCAUUGCUAAACUACAACCUUGUUACAACUACGUCUUCAAAGUCUUCAAAUUCUUAAUUUGAUCGAUCUCACCUUUAAACUUACAAAAUUCUUACAAUUAAACCUUUAAGUGUUCCAAAAUGCACAUACUGUUAAUAAAUUAAAUUUUUUAUUUUUAGAUCAACCAUCUAAAUAUAAAGAAACAAGAAAAUUGUUGAAAAGUAUUAGGGUAAAUUGUCGACAAGUCUAUAGUUUGUAAGUGUGAUAGUAGCGAAUAAACGCUUCUAGGUUAAGAAUGGUUUGUGCAUUCUGUAAUAUUUAAGAGUUUAAUUGUAGUAAUUUAGAAGUUUAAGGGGGUGAUUAAUCAACAUGGAAGUUCGAUUAUAUUGUAACAACCUAUAGAUCGAAUGUGGUAUUUUGGAACUUUUCCCUGGUAAAUAAAAACAAUUUUUAAAAAAUGACUACAUAGGAUAGGAACAUUAUUGAAAUUUCACAAUACAAUAUACGAACUAAAUUUAUAAUAUAACCUAUGAGAAAGAUGUCGUUAAGCUAUAUUUACUCAUUAUUAUCUCAAAGGUUGAAUUUUAUCAAUUUCAAAUUUAGGUUCUGAAAUUUGUUUGACACACAGAAACCCAAGUACCAUUUAAUUACAUACCUUCGGUGAUAAAUCUUUGUCCACCAAUCGAGCCCGAACACCCUGAUGAGAAAAUUAUUUUGUGAGAUAAACUGAUCAGGAGAUUUUACAACUUACAUUAAAAGGCCUAGUAGUGAUUAUUAGAUUUAUACCUCACAAAAAUCACUCGAGAUCUGCUUGGAUAUCCCUUGUAGGGACAUUCUAUAUUCACGAAUCAAGCACUGGUCGAGUGUUUGGUAUCUUCCUUCUCGUAUCUGAACAAAUUCAAUAAUUAUGGUAAGUUGAGUUGGAAAUAAAAAUGAAAUAAAGAUAAGACUUUCCUCCGCAAAGAAGAGUGGGAAGGAAGACAGAAUGAGUUUGGACCUUCAGAAGUUCAAAGGGAAAAUAAAACAAGAGUAGAGAAAGAAACAAGAGAGAGAUAAACGUCAUACAGAUUUCAAAGACACCUUCAGGCUCAAAGGUGAUGCUUCUUUCAAUCGUUUUAGAGUGGAGAUGCACCAUGGAUCUUUUGUUUUGGAUGACUCGAUUUCCUGAAAGUAUGGUGGUUUUGCAAAUAAAAGAAUGCACAAACUUAUUUCUUCUAGGAAAUUUAUAGCGAAAAGAUAUAUAGACAUCCUAAUAAAAGUUCAAAUAUCACCUCGUGAACUCUAACUUUCAUCAAUCAAAUAUUAAUCAGACAUGUAGGAAUAUGAACUAACCAACGAAUCAAUGAUUUCUUCAACAGUGUCAUGGCUGAAACAUUUAUCAAGUAUUUCGAUUCUACAAAACAAAUAAAUAGAUAAAGCAAACAUAUCAGGUAAAAAGUAUGUAUUUUCUUAGUAAGUAGGCACACUCUAUUUUAAGCAGACUUUGAUGAAACACACACUAGCCAUAAGCAUACUUGGACAUUCCCUGAAUUUGUAGAUAACAAAUUUAAAGUGUCCAAUGCCAAUAACUUUUUACUUUAAUUUUACCCUUAAACGUCAUAUUAUUAAGGAGAAGGAGAGAGAGAGGGGGAGAGAGAGGGGGAGAGAGGGAGAGGGAGAGGAAGAAAAAAUAAAACUGAUUGGUGGGGGAGACAUAAUAAGACAAACAAAAAGAUAGGUUCAUCCCACUAAUGCUUCUAGAAAGAAAAACAAUAUACGCCUCAUAAUGCAUCAAAUCCUUCAAACAUGUUGAGCUAUUUAUAAUUUAAAUAUACAUUAUUUUUGUUCUACAUUACUGCGUACUAGCCGAGCCUAGCAAAAUGAUGUGUCAUUGUCUUAUGAUCCAGGGGCAUAUUUAAAAGGAUUUACAAAUAAAAACCAAGUUGAAAGCGAUCAAUUAUGCAUACCUGUGAAGUACACUUGUUUUAUCCAGAUGAACACGAUCACCAAAUUUAUUUAAUGAAGAUUCAACAAUAGAUGCAUCAUCUGUAACCAAAUUCCCUAGAUGCUCUUCAAUUAAUGGAAGCCGCUGAAAAUGGAAAGUAAAGUUAAAGGAGGCCAAAAUCUAAUAGAAACAGAAAAACUUGAAUGCCAAAGAUUUAAGAACUAACUGAACUAUGAGAAUAGUGCGUAGCAACCCCACAAGCAACCAUUUCUUCUCCUUUAAGCUUUUCCCCUGUUAGACCCAAGUACUCUCCUGCAAAGUACAAUUAGAUCAAAUCAAACUGAUAAAGUCGUUGAUUUCUCAAUUCAACUCCAGAAUCUAACUUCAAACUUAUUUCACCAUUCUGAGAAAAUAAUAAUCUAUUCUUUAUCAGGUUCCAACCAGCUUACUGCCUCAAAUAUCUUAUACUUCCAGUGGAUGAACAAAAAAUUUCAUCAGCAUUCUUGUAAAAUUAAAUUGAAGAGCAUAUGAGUAGGCAACUGCAACUUCAGAUACAAAGCAGGUCCGUACAGUAACUUAUUAUUAGAAGUUUGGUAUGAUAUGAAUGCGCUUAUCCAGAUUUUAGCCCGCUUAAGAACACGCUUAUUCUUCUUCAAAAAAAGAACACCCUUAUUCAUUUGUUUAUUUCCCUCUUGAUGAAGAGAACAUUUAGUGAGAACAGACCAAAGACCAAAGAUUACAGGAGAGAAAUGGAAAAACAAAAACAAUAUAAUAAUGAUAAUGAUUAUUAAACCACCAAUUCACCCAAAAGCUUAAGCUUGUGGUUGAAGGCAAAUUUAAUUAUAUAUCACCAACACUCCCCCUCACUUGUGGGCUUGAAAUAUUUGAAAGGCCCAACAAGUGGAAACUAAUUUUAAUUGGGGAGGAAGCGACAAUGCAGGGGCUUGAACGCAGGACCUCCCUGGACCACCUGCUCUGAUACCAUAUUAAACCACCAAUUCACCCAAAAGCUUAAGUUUGUGGUUGAAGGCAAAUUUAAUUAUAAAUUACCAACAAUGAUAACAUUUAUAAAAUUUUACAAAAUAAAUAAAGAAAGCUGAAAAUUCUUAGAAAAAACAAUUAUAGAAAAGAGCUCCAAUUCAAAGGAGUGAAUAAUAAAGAAUAAUCACCAAAAGCCUUAGUAACGGAAGCCUAAAGGGAACAUGGGACCUAGCAAAGGCCCAAACACACCCUUCCAAGAACUUUCCUCAUCAUUAUAGAUCCUCUAUUUCUCUCUAGCAAAAAAUUCCAUAUAAUCAUGAAAUAAGCAUUUUGCCAAAGAAACACCCUUCUAUCAUGAAAGGUGAAUGAAUAAGACCUCAUCUGUCAAACCUACGAAAACAAUUGGUAGCCAUAUGACUCCCAAGAUUCCCAAAAUACUAUUCUAAAUCCCUCAAGUUUGAAACAAACUAGCAGACCCACAGUACACAAUCCAGACUUUCUGCGGCCUCUUUACACACCUCACCAUUGCCCAACAGAACGAAAGAUAGAUUUGUAAAUAUGAUUCAUGAUUGUCCUAGCGUAUUAAGAACACCCUUGAAAAACCCAAUCCUACAUUUUGUAAGCACCUCCAUUUUGUAUUGUUGAAGUUGAGUUUUUACCAUUCACCAGGACUGAGAUAAAAUCUUUUGGAAAGGUCCAAAUACUUUCUAGUCAAUAGAUACUUACAAAUGUAGUCCAUUCAUCGCAUAUAGUAGUCCCAACCUCAUAGAUUUUCCCUCGUUUAUCUGUUGAUCCCUAAUUUGACUGCCAAUCAUGUGGUUCCCACAGAUUUUUCUGUAGGUGUCAUUUGCUUGGUGAGCCAUCUCUUGACAGUGCUCAUAACAAGGGUCCCUUUCGAGACUCCAGUUUUCAGUUCCACUGCAAAAUUGAGGUGAAUAAUUUCCAUUGGGAUUUUCUACUGUCAGUACCAGAGUUGCGAGUAUUUCAAAUUUCUUAAACUCAUGGAAAAUUAAGUAGAAUGAAAAGCUUGUACUACUAAGCUUAUGAUGGAUGUAAAUAUAUUCAUUAGCUAUAAAAUCAUCAAUGAUCUUAUUUUAUUUUUAUCAUGAUUCUUUCCUUUGAUGUAUUAAGUCUUUCUCCUAAUAUAAGAAAGCUAUUCACCUUACAUUUGAAAUAUAACGUAUUUUAUUCCAUUUAAAACUACAAUGGUGGAGAUCCUGUGCUCGCCCCUUUAUUAUCCAUUUAAUAUUAAUUUUCGCUUGUUGGGUUUCUACAUAUUUCAAACUCACAAAUGAGGGGAGUGUUAAAAUGUUGAUAUAAUAUUAAAUUUGCCUUCACCCAUAAACUCAGACUUUUGGGUUAAUAGGUGAUUUAAUAGUUCAUAAAUUAUAUUCCCUAUCAAAUUUGCCCCAUAAUAUAGUACAAGUUCGAAACCAAUGGAGCUUGGUUGGAGAUUAAGAAGAUUUUAAGAAUCAACACUUGAACUGUUAAACUAGAAGUUUUAGGAAAUCUUUAUAAAAAGUGUGUUUUACAAAAACAACUAAACAAAAUAAUGAAAUGUACUGUAAUGCAGAUUGGGAGAUUGGUUACAGGAACUUAUCUCUUAAUACGUCUGGUAACCUUUUUUGUAUGUUAGUUUGUAGUUUUCCUUCGAGGAGUAAUCUUAAUGGGGCAUAUUUCAGCUGGAAGCUCUAUAAGACAGCAUCCGGUUGAUGAGAUUUAGAUUCCUUCAGUUUAAAGGCUGGAAGGAUCCUUCAAUUUUUCUUUAAUUUCAAAUCCAAAACUGGAGCCUUGACCAGAACCAUUACAUUUCAGUUAUUCUUAUAAAAAGCUGACCGAUUAUAUUCAGACCUUCUUUAAACAUAAAAUUAAAUUCUUAUCCUCUUCUAUAUGCGCACACUAGUCUCUAACUUGUUAUCAUCCCACAUAUGGCACACCAGACGCUUGGAGACCAAGUUAUGUAACCAAAUAUACCCCCAUACAAUAUUGGCAUGCAUCCUUUGUAAUCCGAACAACAAUAAUCACUAUUUUAGCUAAAAUGUGAAAGCCAAUGGAAUCCAUUUCCCGCCUCAAAAUAACUGUCAAUUCCCUCAAAUAUUCAAGACCAAAAUCCAGAAGACAUUCAGCAUUCUUUACGAAACUGAAAGUAAAUUUCACUUAUGUCCUGACUCCUUGGUAACCAAGAUGCAAAAGAAAUUUUAAUUUUACUUAUGUGCACUUACCAACCUAAUAAUCCAAAAAUAAAGAAACGAACACUUCCAAAAGAAGCAAAAAAGUAACUGUUAGGUACUUUAACACGUAGGAGAACUACACCCCAAAAGCUAGCUAUUGAGGUGAAAGAGUCAAGCCACUUAAGUACCACAUUGGUCAUCCCAUUCUAACCAAUGUGGGACAAAGGUAGCUCAUAUUACCUUGGUUCCUAAAAGUAACACUUCUAACAUAUAUAUUACUAUGUAGCGUACAAAUCUGAUUUUGCAUCAGAGAAUUAAAAUGUUUACUCUUCCUAGUUCAGCACAACAAAAGAAUAAUAACUUCACCCCUUGAUCAAAAAGCAGUCACAUGCACUUGCAAACUCUAUAAGCAUGUCAGAUGAUCACUGUUAUAUAGCCUGAAAUGAAUAAACGCUAUGCAGCACUGGAAAAUUAAACAAUAAUAACUACCACCACCAGCUUCCCUAAAACUAACAUUAACUGGAUCCAUCGUGCAAGAUUUUGAAACUUGUCAAACAAGAUAGAAAGUAUUGAAGUUACCCAUGCGACCAGGUAGAUGUGAGAGGUGGAAAGAUGCACCAGCAUCAGGGUGGAAACCAAUCAGGGUUUCAGGGGUAGCAAAAACCUGAAAUUAGAUACACAAAUGUACUUGACAAUCAAUGCGAAAGCUUUUGAAAUGAAAUCAUUAAGUGCUUAUUUACACAAUGAGAAACUAUUGUAUCCAUUGCCUGUUAACUUCAGUAAUCAAAUCUCGGUAAUGUGGAACAGAAAUAUUAAGAUCAUACAGAGACAGACAUAUUUCUAUCCUAAUAGGAUCAAAUAGCUUUAGAUUGCAUCGGUCACCAUUGUAUCUUGUAUAUACAUUCCGAAUAUGAUAUUCUGAUUCUCUCUCAAACCUAAGUGUUUUACAAGACCUAAGUGUUUUACAAGGAGCAACAAACCUUACACUAUUCCUUCAUCCACCUCAUGCAAAUCCAGCGGCCAGACUGUUUAUAACUACAGCAAGCUUGCCUGACCAAAACUUCAAUCUUGUGAUCUAUUAGAACAACUUCCAACCCCGACAAGGUUGCCACUUAUGGAUUACCAAAACAAUUGUCAAGCUCUGUUUCAUACAUGGCCUUGAUCUGAUGUGUAGGGGGAAGAAUCUGACUAAGCCAAUGAUCCAGCCUCCUACCCACCCCUGAAGCAUUUGUUUCCAAGAUAAACGGACUUGAAAACCCUGCCAGCCAAGCUUACUAAACUUGUCCCAUUCCAAUUAAAACUAUCUUUCUCAGACAACUGACUCACCAAUCAUCACAAAAUACCUAUCAACACAAUGCAACCAUUCAUUCAAGGGGAAACUCCAACUUUUGUAACCUCAAAUAAAAAAUUAUAGCCAAGGUGCAAUUCUUACGUGUCUCACAGUUGUUGGCACCUAUUUCAAUAAUAAUUGUCACCAGUAAGAUUUCUUGCACUACCUAUCCAUGUUCACCUCAUCCUUUUCCACAGCUGAAACCAUCUUUGUCAAUUUCCACAUUCCCUCCAACUCCAACUCCUUGCCCAGUGUCCUUUUUAAUAGAUUUGUUUAUCUCUCCCUAAUCUGCCCAACCUCUUCCUCAACUUCCUAUUCUUGACUUGCAUUUAAUUUAGUUUUCAUGUUUUUUGGACUGAUCCCAUUUCCUAAUUGUAACAGCUUUAAUACCAAGAUAACAGAAUUUGAUGUUACUAAGAACAAAAGGGUACAACUCAGAAAGAUCAAAGUGCUAACUAAACUUUGCUUAAUGAAAAACAUGCUCCCUGAGAGUCUAUCUUCGAUUUAUAAUCUCUCCAUCAUGACUUCUCUCACUCACCCCUAAACCCCAGGCUGACUAAUAAUAUACUCCCACUCUAUGUCUAAGUUCCCCCACCCAUUACAUGUUUCCUUUGGCAUACAUUUAUUAUUUCUGGCCUAUUAAAGAUUCAAUUUCAAAUUUGACAUUUUUGAAAAACAAGGAUACCAAGAAAGUUUAAAUUAAUGGGCAAACAGAAAGUGAUUCAUCACUUCCAUAAAACUACCACCUAGCAGAAAUGGCCAAGCGUAUUUAGUUACAUACGAAUACUAUUACCUCAUCUAAUAACCGAAAAUAAGGAAUCUUUGACUUUAAAACAAUAAUAUAAUAAUAAAUAAAAGCUUCAAAGAAGUUAGGAUGGUGGGGGAGGGAAUUAUGUGUGCCAGUGACUUACAGUUUUAUCAGUUGCAACUCGAAAAGUCCCAGGAAUUGAAAUUCCAGUUCCACCACCCAUGGUAAUGCCAUUUAGAAUUGCCACCUGCAUGAAGAUUAUCAACACAAUGUUGGAGAAGUUAAGUGUUUACAUGUAGUAAACUUGGAAGAACGCAUAAAAUCAGCUGAAACAAAUUCAAGUUAAUGAUUAAGGAGAGGAUUGUCACAUUUGUUGUGAUCUUUUCAAAGCCAAAAACAGUAUGUGUGUGUGUAUACACUACAUAUAGAUAGAAGUUACAUUGAUCAAGAUACACAAUAGCAAACACAUGAUGAUAUAGUCACUGCUAGACCUCCCGCAAAAAUUGAUGCUUAAAUUAAAGAAAUCAAGAGGAUGUUAUCAGCCCGAGCAUAGUGGUAAACCUUCCCUACACCCACCAAGGAAAAUCAAUCUAUAUACAUCUUCAUAAAUUUCCUAAAUGUACCUUCAAAAGUCAUUUUUACAUAAUAACUUUACAUACACAUCUUAAAUCAAAAGUAACUUUUAUACCAUAACUCUUCGUAGACAGCCUAAUUUUUUUUACGAAAAGUCCUUGUAGACAUUUCCAAUGUGCACGUGCACACAAAGGUAUAUAUAUCUAUUAGAUGCCACACAAACAAGGAUAAUUCAAGAAAAUUUUGUUCCUGAUAAGUAUAUUACACAAAACACCAUAAUUUUAUGCUCCCAGUAUUAAGAAAGCGCCAUAUUUUGAAGAGAAUGAAACAAACUGUUCAAGAUAAAAAGCCAAGAACUAGGAACUCACAUGAGGCUUCAGGUAUGUACCAACCAUAUAUAUAAAAGCAUACAAUGUACUGAAAAACUUUUUACAAUGUUCUAUCUCCCCUGCAAAAGUCACCAAACACAAGGAUGGCAAUUUUAAUCAAAACUGAUGGAUGAGUUAACCAUAAGAGAGCUGAUUCUAACUUUUAAUCUAGUACAAGAAACCGAAGUUAACAAGUAAGCCUUAAGAUCAUCCAAUACCUUUUCUCAAUAUAAAUACACACAAAUACAAACAUUCACUCAAACACACACACACACACACACGCAUGCAUACAUACAUACAUAUAUCAUUCGUUGCCUUCUUAAAUUAUCAAGCAAUAAAGAACAAAGACAUCCCAAAAAAGUAUUGUUUUCAAUAUAAAAGACGCGAGAAUAUAAAUAGGUACCACAAAAUUUAGAAGCUAUAAUGAAGUCCCAUGUUUGAGUCCAAGAAGCUCAAAUGGGUAUCCGGUUAAAAAAAAGAAUGAGAUCCAACUCAAGGAUGGUGACUCAAAGAGGCACUAUCAUCAUAAGGCAUUUUGACAAUUCCAUUUUGAAAAGAUAGAGAGAUCUCAUAAGCUUUAUAAGUUAUAUGGAAUACUACUCUCAUUGUCAUUUGGUUUUGAGAUAGAACCUCAUAUUUAUCCAACAGGUUAUAGGUGAAACGGUCUUCUGUAGAUUUCAGUUCAUAGACCUGCACCUAAAAAUGUCUAUAAACAUUAAAGACCCAAACAUCCAUCAAUAGACUCUUAUAGUUGAGUACAAAAAGGUACAAGACAAGAAACCAUUUAAUGUACUGAUCGUCAUAGAGGAUGAUAUCAAUAUUUUGUGCUUCAUCAUCAGAUUUACAGUUCUUUGGUCCUCAGCUUUCUCAGAAACAUAAAUUAUUAUAACACUUGGAAACAUCUUUUGUACAAAAUAGUUCAACUUUUGUUUUCUUACACGAGACCAUUGAUCUAGCGCAGGACAACAGUUUGGCCCUCCUUAGUGAUAUAUUCAACAAAGUGUUAAUAUAACAGAGCAUAUCAGACUCUUACCUUCAUUGAUCAUAUGAUAAAGCGAAACAAUAUCUCCACCAGCACAAAAAGCCCUGCCACUGCCCUUCGAUAAUCCAAAAAUUAAAAAUUAAAUAAAGAAGUGUGAGCUGCAAGUGAAAAUGUACGAUUACAUCCGAAUGAAAAAUCAUCCUAGAAAAAAACUCAACAGAUGCAGAACAAGAUUACAAGAACAAGAAAAAGAAAAUACCUUCAAGACAACAAAACCAACAUCAGGGUUUUCUUCCCAUGAAUUGUACAAUUCAUGCAGUCUGGCCCCCUAAGCACCAAGUACAUUUAAGAGUAAGAAAUUACCAUGAAAUGUAACCAUCUGAGUAAUUUUUCCAAAAUAAACUAACAGACUAUUAUAUAGAGCUAAGAAAAAUUCUGGUGAACAAUAGCUGAAACACACAUGAAGCUGAAAAAAGAUAAUGCACCAUAUUAGUAUUAAGAGCAUUGAGAAUUGAUGGUCUGUUAAGAAUGGCGGUUCUGGACCAAGCCCUGCCUUCAACAAGCACCUGCAAAAGAGACACAUUAACAAAUUAUCUAAACUAAGGUCAAGGAAAUAAUGUAAUUAGAAAACUGACUUCUUGUUCGUGAUCAUGGUCAGAGGAAUGGUCGAGAAGAGAGCAUUGGUUUCUGGUUUGAGUGAGGAGACGAAUAGUUUGAAGGCUUCGCCUAGUGAAUAACGCAACCUUCAAACUCUGAACCAUCUUCUUCUGACGAUUUACCUACCGGUGUGAAAAAUUAAAAGUUUAGAAAUGAUUGUGCAAGAAUAGGUUGGUUUGUGAUCUCUUCUGCGACUUGGAAUCGGUAAUUUGUAGAAGAAAAAGGAGGGAGAAAAAGUUUGUCCAGAAGAAUCUUGAGGUGGACAUAGACUGGUUGAUUGGAAGUUAGAGAAGAAUAUUGGCUAUUCAUUACCGGGCACCAUUGCAGUUAUACCUUCUACAGCUUCGUUGAGAAGAAGAGUGCUUAUCAAACAAUUGGGGCUAUUUUGCACAAUUUGAGGGGGGGAAAGCAUAAUAAUUACAAAAAAGGGGAAAAACUAUUAUUUUAUUUGUUUUAAUUUAACAAAUAUUGGCAUCCACUUUUGAUAAGCUCCACAUUUUUCCCCUACUCUUAAACAACACGUGCAACAAUUAUAGUUUUAAUUUUAUAUUUAUAUCUUUUUUAUAUUCACAGAUUGUAUUUUUGAAUUUGAUUUGUUUACACAAUUCAAAUUUCAUUUAUUAACAUCUUAAACAUAAUCAUCUAAUCUAUAUAUAUCUAAACAAAGUGGAAGAUAGAAAGAUUGUUAGUUGUGUAAUAACAUAUAACGUUAUGUAAUAUCAAUGAUGGAAUAUAGAAAAGUUACUCUAGUGUUUUAAUAACACAAAACAUUAACUAAUAUCGGUUAUGUAAUCAAAACUUUUUAUAAUAAAGAGAUGAAAAAGUUAAGUGUAACUUCUCUCUUUAAAUGUGAAAAUGGCCACAAAUAUUAAAUUUAUGCGAAUGAUAAAAUUGCCACUAAACCAAGACUAAAAAAAUUAUAAUGGAAGGGUAAAACAUCCACCAAAAUCAUAUUUAUUUUGAAAUUAUAAAUGUAAAAAUUAUAGUUUUUUUAAUGAUUUUGUAGGUAAAAAACUAAAGAAAAAACUUCAAUAUUUCUUUACACAUUUUAUUACCUUUGUUUAUACUUAAUAAAUUCCAACAAUAUUUACAUUGUUUUAACAAAAUCAAAGGAUAAGUUACUCAAUCAUUUCAUUAGUAAAAUAGCUUUAAUAAGAAAAUGAAUAAAAAAAAACAUAAGCAAGAUUCUCAUGAUUACAUUAAAAAAGAUUAUCAAUAUUAUAUGAUUUAAACAUAAAUAGCAUAGACAUACGUACAUGUCAACCAUGAAAUUGGUGAUUCAAGUUUUCUCAACUUAUGUUGUGUACUAAAAAGAAACCUAUAAUGAAGGAAUAAACACAAGCAUAUUUCUAUAUAAUUAUAUAUAUAUAUAUAAAUAGACAACAAAAUUUAAAAAAAAAAAAAGAGAGAAUAAAAAAGCAUGACUUUAUUUUUUUUCUUCCAUUUUGUUGGGAUUUGUGAACCUGAAUGAAAAAAAUAAUAAUAAGAUAUUUAUAACUAAGAUUUUAAAAGGAAGAAUUUGAAAGGUUGAAAGAUAUAGAGAAUGUGAAUAGUUGGGAGAUAGAAGAUUAAGAAAGAGAGAAAUGUGAAUGGAUCUCGAUAAAUUUAAAUGACAUAAUUAAUUGGAGUGAACAUUUUUUAAUUUUUGAGAAAAGUUAUAACAAGGAGAUGAAAAGUUCAAAAAAUCAUUCCACUAAAAUAAUCAUUAAAAGUAAUAAUGAAAAUGACACAAACAUUAAAUCUACGUGAAUGAUAAAAUUGUCACUAAAGCGAAACUAAAAAAUGUUAUAAUGAAAGGGUAAAAUGGGGCUAAAAAAUUUCUCCACUUCCAUCCGUUUAUAUAUACUAUAGAUAGAUGUAUUUUUUUGGGUCUAAAACAUAACGUUGUAUUUGGAACCUCGAGACUUUUUAAAUUCAUACCAAAUUUCAAAUGUAUGUUACAAGGAAAGAGAAUGAUUUUUAAAAUUCAAAAUAAUUUAUAAUUUUGUAUGGCAAGAAUGGUUAGAUUUCUUAAAAUUUGAAAGUACAUCAUUUACCUCGUAAUUUUUUAAUUUUCAAUUAACAUAUUCGUAGAUAAAAACCUACAUUAGUAAAUUCUUAACUUUCUUUUAUUUUUCAAUUACUACAAGAAAUAGUAGGCUUGGGUUAUGUUGAAAGUCCAAGGGUAAUUGUAUUUUGUUCUAAUUUUUAUUCUUUUAUUGAGGCUCGUGUUGCCUAUAAAUAUUUCUCUCUUUGUAUUUUUUUCUCCUUACACUAGGAUUUUCACAUAAAUAUUGUGUUCAUUCUUUAUUGUUACUUUCAAUCUGGUACCAGAACAAGGUGGCGAACCCUAAAAAGAACCUUGAUGGAACCCAAAUUGAACCUUGAUGGAACCCAAAUUGAGGAGCAACCAGUUGAGCAUUAGACCGUCGACGAGCCUACUACAAUUGUCAACGUCGCUAUCCAAGUCAUCGUGGAUAACAUCAUUGCCACCGUCGUGACAAAUUGCUCUAGAAACUUCAGAUCAGUUUAACCAGCAUGGUUUCCCAAUCACACUUGCCACUUGUCCAACCACAUCUAACCGCACAGGAACAACACAUGCCACCCGUUUCGUUGCACCUACCGUACAUACCACCGCUCACCCUACAGCCAAGCAUCCACUCAAAUCCUCUUGCACGAGUAAUUUCCUUGUACGUGCCACCUUCUAGUUUUUCCUGAUCAAUGCAUGUGUUGCUGCUCAAUCUUGACCAAGUUUGAUAUAGUCCACUAAUUCAGCAAUGAACCCUAAUUGUUGUCCUAAGGUUGAGAAUCCUCAAGCCCACUUAACUUUUAAGAUGGGUUAGUUGUCAACACAAUCAAAACCUCAUGUGUAGGGUUCACCUCCUAAUGUCGCUCAACGACAACUUAAUGUACUUCGAUUUGCAAAUCGCAGCGAUUGAGGUGACACUAGGGGCCUCUUCCAACAACCUGGACAUGGCCUACAUACGACCUCACCAAUGUAUUUUAAGAAUUCGGUAACCUCGUUCCCAACUUUGUUCUCUUCCUUUGUGUCAUCUAAUACAAUGACAUAAUCUACAAUAUAUUUUUUAGGGGAGAAGCUAAAUAGCCAAAACUAUUAUUUGUGGUCCCAAAUAUCAAAAUGAUUCUUGAAAAGCGCCACAAGUUUGGCUUUCUGACAGGUGAGAUACCUAGUCCUCCACCAGGAGACCCACAAGAACAGUACUGAAAAGGGGAAGAUUCUCUUAUUUGGUUCACAUUGAUCAACAUUAUGGAACCCAAAUUGGCAAGCCCUUAUUGUAUCUUACAACUGCUAAGGAUAUUUUAUGAGACCCGUGCCUCGAAAAGAAAGGAAUUAAGAAGUGUUCUCGGGUCAUUUUGAGCCUGUGGCUGACCAAGAUGAAGGACAAAAGGGUUUAAUUUAAAGUUGAAUCUCGAACAGUCAAGUGGAAUCUCAGGUAAGAUUUAGGACAGAAGGGUAAUCCUAAGGUAAUCUUGCUUGCUAGACCGGGAUUUAAAGGAAAAAGAGAGUUAUAGUGAGUUCUUGGGGAAAUCUCAGUGCUUAUUUGACCAAGAUUAGAAGAAGAGAAAUGAAAUUAAGGAGAUCUUAGGCAUUCUCGGGCAGGAAUCCAACAAAGAUUGAAGGAUCUUGGGGUAAACUCGAGGUUGUGUUAGUCGUGACUAGUUCAAAAAAUGUUUAAAUGGUGAUCUUGGACUAUUCCUAACUGGGAUCACUAAGAAAUUAAUUGUUAGAUGAGUUGGAUUCCAUGUGUCAUGACAUGAAAAUAUUUAGAAUUUUGGGAAGCAUGAGCUGGCGAGUUACUAAGAGUUCAAGAAAUGGCUAAUCUAUUUUGAGAUUAGUAUUAAUAUGAGGUAAAGAUAUAAGAAAAAGGUUGUUAUAUGAGAUAUUAUUGAAAGAAAGGGUUAAGUGUUGUGCUUCGGAGAAAAUAUGCAAGUUUUGGAGCUUUCCAACGAGAAGAGUGUUUGGGCAAGCUUUUUUAGCAAAAAGGGAAACCUAAUUAAGUACAAUAAGUGAUUUUUCCAAAAUUAAGAUUGAUUAAGCUUCCUUCCACCGUUUCUAGUGUCAUGUGACUUAUGUGUUUCAUGUUUACAUUUAUGGAAGCAUGUUUUACGUUGUUAAGGAUUUACAGAAAGCGUGAUGUUGUGUUGAACACAUUUACGUUGAACUUUGGUUUCUAUAAAGCAUGGUUUAUAAAAAAGAUUUAAUGUUAUGUUUUAAUGAAAGUUCAUGUUUAUUGAUUGUAUUGUAUGCUAUGAUUGAGAGUCAACCAUUAGUCACAUUUUUAUCGAUGAGCUAGCGCACAUAAUAAGUAAAUGCAACCAUGUAGAAAAGUCUUUGCAUGUCAGAAUGAAUCUGGUUAAUGCCUAAAAGAUGUGUAUCGUGCUUAACGGUCUAAGUAACUAAAACGAAUCAUAAAAUUUCUCAUAUGUUGUUGGUGAACAGGGCAUCACAGUAGUCUAAACGCAAGAUGUCGAGUCGUAGCGUAGAGAAUGGUUCAUGUUCCUGGCGAAAGGAAUAAGGAAAGACUAAUGUGUGUUUUAUGUUUUAUUGAAAUAAUGACGUUGAGCCUGUAUUUGUGAAACGAAAUGACUAUUGAUAUGAAUUUUAUUCCCAAAAUGAUUUUUAAAAUCUAUCACUCACUGAGUCAUCGACUUACGUUUUAUGUUUUUUCUUUCCCAGGUUGUAAAGAAUUGAGGCCGAGGUUGGGUUAAAGAAGGCAAGCAAACUAGGUUGUGAAGGCAUUAUGAUUUCCUGUGUUUAAAUUACACGCUUUGAUCAUAAAUUUAAAGGCACAACAAUUCAUUAGCAUUACGAAAUGCAUGUAAACAACAACAAAAACGUAACUGAGUAAAUCCUACUUUUCAAAUUAUCAAUGAUUCAUCAUGAUUCCUCUCACAUAAAUGUGAUCAAUAGUUUUUUAAUUAUUCAACUUUAGUUAUAUUAUAAAUUUUAAAAUAAAUAAAUUAUUAAGUUUGUUUAAAAGAUAAAAGGUUGACACAUAUAUUGAGUCUAUUUAUUUUUAAUUCGACUAAUAAACUAUCAAUAAUCUUUACCAUGCAUUAUAUUUUAAAUCAUGCAACUUUUUAUGUAAAGGUACUAUCAAUAAUUUACUUUUUUUCUUAUGUAAUUUGAUAAGAUUAGCAAUCACCUUUUAUUACAAAAUUUAUAUCUAAUGUAUUAUUAUUAUAUUAUUAAUUAUUAAAAUGGAAUAAAUAUGUGAAACUUGAGGAUAAAUGAUUAAGUUAAACAAUUAUAAAUACGAAUCUAUAUAAAUAACAAAUAUAAUAAAUAACAUUUAGAAUUUUAAGUACAUCUUUGUUAUUUGUAACCACACCUUUACUACUUAUAACUUUUUUUUUCCCCAAAUUUUGUAGGAUAGUGCGAUGGAAAAUUGACUUUAUAUUUAGUAAAUGAAUAAUAGUUAAGACACGUAGGAGAACUUGAAACUAUCUUAAAAACAAAAUACUAUUUUCUACCUAGGAUACCUAAGAUAUUAAACAAUAAAAUACGAUUAUACUUUUAUGAAAAAAAUCAAUAAAUAUAAUUAUAUACGACAAACAAAGCAAACUUUUUAAAAUAUAACAAAGCUGACAAAAUAUUUACACUAUACUGAACAAUUUAAAAAACGAAAAAAGUUCAAAGGCCCACAAUGAAAAAUACCAAAAAUUGUUGUGAUUAAUUGACAUUCGUAAUAUAUUUGAGAAAUGAUUGUUUAAAUUUGGAUAUUCUAAAUGAUUUUUUAAAUAUUUUUUUGGUACAUGUUUGAUGAUUAAUUUGGGUAGCCAAAUCUAGACGGAUUUAUAUAUAUGUAUAUAUAUAUAAUAUAUAUAUAUAUAUAUAUAUAUAAUUUAAAAUCUACAACCAUCUCAAACUACACUUUAAUUAUAUUCUAGACUGUAGUUUUACUUUAGGGAUCUUUUCAAAAAUUAAUAAAACGUCAAAAUAUUUAUACCAUCCUAUAUAACAAUUUCGAAAACGAAAAAAAGUUCACAGGUCCACAAUAAAAAAUAUAAAAACUGUCUUGUGAUUAAUGGACAUCCAACACGUAAUAUAUUUGAAAAACAAUCAUUUAGAUUUGGUUCUUCUUUCUUAUAAGAUCGUUUAAAUUUGACUACUAAAAUCUAAAUGAUUCUUUGUACACGAUUAUUUAGAUUUGACAAAUGAUCGUUUAAAUUUGGUACCCAAAUUUGAAUGAAUUUUUUCAAGAUUAUUUGUCACACGAUCAUUUAGAUUUGAUAGUUUAAAUUUGGAUAGUCAAAUCUCAACGUUUUUUUUUUCAAAAUUUUUUGUUUACUAUCAUUUAGAUUUGGUAUACGAUCGUUUAUAUUUGGCUAUUUUUUUAUCGGUGAUCGUUUACAAUCCAAUAUCCCAAUGAUUUUUUCACGAUCUUUUAUAUUUGACACACAAUUUUAACAACCAAAUAAAAAUUUGAAAUAGAAUAAAUAAAAAAUUGUAAAGAAAAGAAAAUUAUAGAAGAAAAAAUAUGGAAAUGAAGGACAACUAGAAAUGUUUUUAAAAAAAUGCAGAAAAAGAAAAAAUGACGAUGAAAAAAAUUGGAGAAGAAAAGAAAAGCACAACGAAAAAAAGAGAAAAGCAAGAUGGAAAGAAAAAAAUUGUAGAAAAAAAAAAUUAUACCAAAGAAGAGAAGAAAGACGAUAAUAAAGAAUGACAAACCUGAAAUGUUUAAAAGAAUAAUAAAUUUCAUGAACAUUUUCAAUUUGUCAAGCAACCGGAAGUUUAUCAAAUUUAUGAAAAAUUUCCCCUACUUUAGUUAUGAACUUCAAAACUUGUUCCAAAACAAUUAAUUAAUUUUUUUUUGCUAAAGUAAAUUAUGAAAAUUAACAUGGCAUUUGAGGUCUAAUAAUUAGAUGGUAUGGUUAUCACUUAUUUUUAUUACAAAGCACAUCCUUAAACGCAAUUACAUAGCCCAUAUUUACACAUUAUCUAUCCACGUGGGAAACAAAACAAUUUAAGUAAAUAAUGUCAUAAAUGACAUCCCGUACCCUUUUCGAUUUCACAUAUUAGUUUUUGUAUUCAUCUCCAUUUUACUCUCAAAUCAUAUUCUUUAAAUACAUUUCAGCCCUCAAAAUGGUAAAAAUGAAACUUUCCAAAUGGUUGGAUAGUAAUUGUAACAUAUUCUAAAUUUCAUGAAUAUUUUGCAUAAUUUAGCCAAACUUUUAUAUAUACAAAUUCAUCUUGUUGGCUUUUAAUUCAAUUUAACUUUAAAUUAAAAUUUCAACUUUCCAACAUUCACCAUCGUGGGUCAAUUGUCAACCAAUUUUUUUUAUGCUUUGUUAAAGCUUAGAAUUAACACAUGUACUCUAAUGAUAUGAAAGAAGAAUAUUGUGAAUUGUCAAAACUUUAAGCUUUAUUAAAGGUUAAGAAUGCAUUUGGGGAGGGAAAAAGUUACGGGAGAAAAUGAUUAUCAUAAUCCUAUAUUAUGAUAAUACAUUAUAUUAUGAUAAUAUAUGUAUGUGGGAAGGUUUAUUAUUGGUAGUGUUAUGAUAAUAUGUGUUCGGGAGAAAGAUUAUGAAUGAUAGUGUUAUGAUAGUAUGUGUUUAAAAAAAGAAACAUAAUAGGUAGUGUUAUGAAAAUUAUUAUUAUUAUUAAGGUAGGGUUGGAAAAGGGUUAUGAUAACCCUUCCUCCAAACAAGAAAAGAGUUAUAAAAGUUAACACGUGCAUUCUAAGUCCUAAUAACAUGAAAGGGUGAAAAAUCCAACAUUCUAACCUUUUAGGAUAGUCCACUUAUGUGAAUUCGAGAAUAAUUUAAUGGGUCAAAUAUCGACAUUCUUCAACCAAAAACACAGUGGAAAUCAUAUAUAUAAAUUUUAUACAAUACAUAAAUAAUUGGACAAUAAACUAAAUUAUAUGGAUUCUCCUACUUUACAUUAGAGGUUGAAAGCAAAUAAGUUAAUGAACGAAUAAUAACAAAUAAUAAAAAGAAUGGAAAAAGGGAAAAUCUUGCAACAUCUAGAUCUACUGUAGUGGACAAUAUCACAAAAAUUAUCUUAAAUUUAUGCUAUAAAACUCUAUUAAAAUCUAACACAAACUAUUUGAUUCUCGACAUUAGAACCAUUUUGUAGUAGAAGUAAUUUAACAAAAUCAUUAAACUUAAAUUUAAUUUAGAUUUAAAAAAAAAGUAGUAAAUUAAGAAAAUUACAAAAAUUAAAUUACUCUAACCUAAAACCAAAGCAUGCUUUCAAAAAAUAAUUAGAUAAAAAAAAUAGACAUACAGAGAAAUUGAGACUUACUCUUGUUUUCAACUUUGUAUUUACUAAAAGUAAAAAAUGGGAUCAUCACCGCUUGGAAACCUCCUUAUACUCUUACUAAUAAUAGUUUUGGUACGUGGGAACCAAAAAGAAGAUUUUUGGGGAAAGAGAGAAUUUUUUUCACUAAGAGUUUACGUACAACACUUUUAGUUUGAUAGAGGAGCUGUCAUACAUACUUACGUACCCUCCUUCCUCUUCUUCAAGGAACAUGGAGAGAUCUUGAGAUACGUGGAAAAACAUCGUGUUCUCUCAAAUAGCUCCCUUAAGUAAGGGAGUUCUUAAUUUAAUUUUAAUGAAUUAAUUGAUUAAAUUAAAUUAAAUAAGUAAUUAAAUAAAAUUAUAUUUUGAUUAAUAUUUUAUUUAAAUCAUAUUUAAACGAACAUCUCUAACAUACUUUUAAUGUAAUUAAUUUAAUUAUAUAAAAUAAAAUAAAUUAAUUGCUAAACAUAAAUAUGAAUGAUAUUCAUAUAUAAAUAUCUCUCGUAAACUAUAAUUUUAAUAUGAAUGUAAUCCAUAUUAAAAUAAUAUUUGAAUUCAUUCAAAUGUUUUAUUCUUUUAUAAAUUAAUUUUGAAUCAUAUCCAAAAAUUAAAUUUAUAUUAUAAAGUUUAAUUUAAAAUAUUGUAAUGUGUCUCCAGCGGAGUCGCCAUGCUGUCGCCACAUGCCCGAGACGACGCGGAGCGGCCGACGUCCUCAAAAGAGCUAGUUUUAAAAUAAAAUAGGAGUCACCACCAAUCUUUUUUACGGUGUAAUUGGACACUGAAAUAAAAUAAACAAUUUAAAAAAAAUGGUCUGCGAAAAAUAGAAUUGAGUUCGGGAGUCAUUUGUGUGUGGGGAAGGUAUUAGCACCCCACAACACCCAUUUAGAAAAACGGUGGCCAAAUUUAAAAUCUUGAAUUUGAAAAUAUUUUUAAGUUUAUUUUAAAACUAAUGUUUUAUUUCAUCCCCCGUUGCUCCAACAUUUGAAGCAAUGAUCUCAUAAAAUAAGUGGAAUUAUAUUCCAUUAAUUAGACUAUAUAUUGAAGGAAAGUUUCUCACCUUAAGAAAAUGAGAAAUUAUUACAAUUUCUCAAAAUCUAUCAUAGGCUACUCUUUGAAUAAAUAUUUUUUAAAAAACAUUGAUUAAAUUCAUUUUUUCUUGGGAUCAAGUUUCGGACUUCCAAAGAUAUUGAACCCUCACCUCAAGAAUCUAGAAAUAACAGACUUCCAAGAAGUUCUAGAUUCCAUCGUAGGAUUUUUUUAAGGAAAACGGUAUAAGUUUUUAGAAAAGAUUGGUUUAGGAAAUCUUAUGAAAUCAUAUGUUAAAUUUUGAAGGUUUUGAAAAAAAAACAUAAAACAUUUAUAGCAUUAGAGACAAAUUUGCUAAAUGAUUUUUUCUUUUUUUAAAAAAAGUCUUUUAUUUAAAACAUAAAGAAUUUUAAAUUGGAAGGAUUGCAAAACAUUAAAAAAUUUAAAUACAAAGAGUUGCAUUUAAGUGCAUAUAACAAUAAUUAUGAUAUAGCAAUGUGAAUGGUAAAAGAAAGAAAACAUAAUAGCAAUAAAAAAAUAAGGAAAGAAACGAAAAAAAAAGAAUAAACAAAGAAAGAAAUAAUAAUAAGAAGAAUAAGUAGAGGAAGAAAAACAAGUAAAAAGAAAAAGAACCCUAAUAGUAAUAUAAUAUAAUAAUAAAUGGUGACGAUAAUAAUAAUAAUGAUAAAAAAAUUUCUACGUUCUUUAUCUUUAUAUUUUAGAGAAAAGAAAAUAAUGAUUCAGAGUUGAGAUUAAAAAGGGUAAUAAAAUACGGAUACAUAAAAAAAGCACAUUUGUUUUAUGUCAUUUUCUUUCUCCCUAUUUUCUUAGAGAGAAGAAAAAGACUAAAGAUUUUUUUAAAAAACAUGAUGAUAAAAGAAAACAAAAGUAGUACAAAUAUACUAAAAUGUUCCUACAUUUUCUUUCCGUUCUCUUUAUCUUGUAACAAGAGAAGAAAAGAAAAAUAAGAAUUCAAAUCCCAUAGAAAUUACUUGUUGUAUGAGGUGCGGAUCAUUGAGAUUAAAUCCCUACCAAAUGCAAUCUCCAACUAAGUUUAGUUAGCAAUGAGGUUUAAUUUGCUUAAGAUAAAAUUUUAAAAAAAUAUAGAGACAAUAGGGUAAUGAAAAGAAUAAUAGAAACGCGAGUUUUUUUUUUUUUUUUUUUUUUUUUGCAGAAAUUCACUCUAAAACUUUCUCUAAACACUAUUUUAAAAAAUUUCUCUAAGAAACUUUCUCCAAAGAAUUUUUGUAAGAAAUUCUCCUCUAAAGAAUUCUUUGUUUAAGAAACUCUUCAUUCUUUUUUCAAAUGACAAUGGUCCCUAUUUAUAGACCUCGAGUGUACCACAAAUUAGGAAAAAAUAAUAAGAAUAAAAUCAAAUUUUAAUAUUAUAUUAAUAAAACAAAUUUUCAUUUUCCUAAAAUAAAUUAAAUGAGAUAUUUUGAAAUUUUGUGAAAAAUAAAUUAAUACAUCAAAUGAAUAUUAAAAUACUUGUAAUUAAAAUUGAUUUUCUUUUUUCCUAAAAUGAUUUAAGUAAGUCUUGAUAUUAGAAGAUUUUAUUUAAAACAAAUUCAUUUCUUUUUUCCUAAAAUAGUACAAAUAUAAUAUUAAAAGAUUUUUAAAAAACAAAUUAAUUUAUUUUUGUUUCCUAAAAUGAUAAAAAUGAAAUAUUAUAAGAUAUUAUAUUAUUAUUAAUUUUUUUACCUUUUUUAAAAGUAAGUAAAUAAAUAAUUUAGCAAUUAUUAUUAAUAUUAGUAUUAAAAAAAAGAUAUAUAUGUGUAGGAUAAAAAUAGGUGGCUACACAUACAUUAUAUUAAUUCUUAAAGUAAAUGUGAACAUUUCAAAUUACAAUCAAUAUAGAUAUAUAGAUUAACCUUAUAACCUUUUACGAGCUAAGAAGAUGACCUAAUAGACCUACAGAUCAGAAGCUACAAUGUCUCAUACUUCAUGUGUGAUCUGGUAUGGGAUGCCUUUUGCUUGGUGUGUGACGUGACAUUGGAAGACGCAUUAUGCUUAGUGAAAUUGAUGAAACUUGUUAAAUGCGUUAAGUUUACUCCGCAUAGCUGCAACUUGACAAAAGAGUGUGAUAAUCGCUUGAGUUGAGGAGAGAGGUACAAAGAUGUAAUUAAACAUGCAGACUGGUUCUUUGGACAUCUCAAUGAAAACAAAAUUUGGACUAGUAGAGUUCCUUUGAUUUUUUUAUUUUUUUUUGUAGCAGAGUGGCACUUGCCCAAUCGUGUGAUGUGUGUCAGUUUGGUUGGGUUCAACAAAUCAGUCAAUAACGUGGAUUAGCUUGUUGGCUCCUCAAAUAGAAUUAUGGAAAAUAGGCCCAAUUCUGUUAUUCAUGGAAACCAAAUCGUAGGAGGUGCAUAUGUCAACUUGGUUUGCUAACAUUAGUAGAAAAUAUAUUACACAAUUAGGAGCAUCAUAAUGUGCUAUGGUAAGAGUUGUUCUUAUAUUUAUGAUUACUUGGUAUAUGAAAUCCUUUUUUUUUUUUUUUCUAAAGUGGUAUUCCAAAAUCUAAGUGAAAGUCACAAAAUGAACUUAGAAGCAAUGUCACUUCUAUACUAACCCAAACAUCUAGACAAAGAAAUUUCAGCUUAACAUAAUGAUCAUCAUGUUUAAUAAAAAGAUGACCAUGUUCAUGAUUCCAACGUCUUAGAUGAUCAUGUCGUUCAACAUGAAACUCCACAUCCACAAUACACACUUAGUUCAUGCAAUCUUUGAUGACGUUUACUCCGUACACAACAUUUCCUUCAUUUGACAACCCAAGAAUAAACAUUAUAGAUAGAGGUCAAUUAUCCCAUAAUUUAUAUGAGCUUGAUGAUCAAUAUGUGACCUAUAAAUCCCAUAAUGAGGGUAUUGAUGAAGGUCAAACAUCCACUAUCUAGGGUCAUGGUAAUGUUGUUGUUCUAGGCAUGAUCAAAGUUGUCUACUUCCAUUAGUGAAUGAAAUCCUUUGGCUUGUAACGUUAAGUUGACUGAACUCGUUUUAAAAGAAUAGUUUGAGUAUGAAAACUUAAUUCAUACGACAUAGAGUCGAAGAGGUUUUAUGAUUUUUUAGAAUAAGUAUAAUAUAGAUUUUAAAAAAAAGUAAUCUAUAGUAUAUAUAAAAGCAUGAAUGUGUAGAAAUUUUUUCCCCAUUAUACCCUUAAGUUUAAUUUUGUGUUUCAAUUUCCUUUUUGGUUUGAUGGUAAUUUCAUUUUUUAUUUUUUAUUUUUGUAAUAUAAUUAAUUAUGAAAUAUUAAUGGUUUUUAAUUACAUUUUAGAAAUUAAUUAAAAAUUAAAUAUCUUUUCAUUUUUUGUUUUUUUAUAAUCUAAUUAGUUAUGGAAGACUAAUGGUUUUUCAUUUACAUUUCUUCAACUUUCAUUACUAUAUAAAGGGCUUUCUUGAUUUCUUUCUACCAACAUUAUUGAGUAUUUUAUUCUAUUAGUUUGUUUUUCUUUCCUUCUCAAUUUUUUCUCCAAAAGUUCAAUAUUUAGCAUAUGAAGAUGGAAAUUCAUUUGAAGAAGAUCGAGCAUAUAAAGAGAGGGUAAAGAGGCAAAGAUGCAGUAAGAUUAUGGAGGGUUGAAGAUGGAUUGAGAAGGAAGACGAGAGGGAAGAUGAGUUAUGAUAAACCUAACACAAGGGUUAUGAUAACCCUUCCCCAAACAAGGGUUGAGUUACCAUAACCCUAACCCAAUAGUGAUAAUCCUUAUCCCAAACGGCCCCUUAAAUUUAAGAAAAGAAAGGGAAAUGGGCCCAUUAAUAAAGUGAGGAAACGACGUCGCUAAGUUAGGCGCUUUUUUAUAUUUUGUUGUAUUUAUUUAUGUGAAGCGGAAAUCGGAUGCCCUGAAACUUACAAAUCUGAAGCAACGCCGUCUGUUUCUCCAUCGAAUAUUUCAAUUUCAUCUUCUGAGCCCUAAUUUCUGCUUUCUCUGCCGCCGAUUCACUCUCUCUUCAGAGGUCUCUUUCUCCUUCUUCCAAGCAUUCACAUUCACACAAUUUCUUCACUUCUUUUACCGAUCUAUUCCCGCUUCACCACUUUGAGCUAUAUUUUUCCCAUUUCUUAACCUGUACUUUCGUAUGUCAUAUGGGUUUCAUGUUAUGCUUCGCUUUAUAUGUUCGAUUUCAGUUUAAAAGAAACGAUCUCCAAUCAAUUCUGCUGCCUUGAGAACUUCUCAUUACAUGUUGCAAUGCUUUUCAAUGGUUAACUUUUCUUUUUUGUUUGCACAGCUCCAGCGAGAUUCUUAGACAGCGGGCCUUUGUCUUUAGUUGCUGUACUAAUGAGGGGCAGGAGUUAUACUCCAUCGCCGCCAAGGGGUUAUGGAAGAAGGGGUCGGAGCCCCAGCCCUAGGGGGCGCUAUGUGGGACGUGGAAGAGACCUUCCCACCAGCCUUCUAGUUCGUAAUCUUAGCCAUGACUGCAGGUUUGUUCUUAAUCAGUUUGUUCUAUAGUUAUGCUUAUGUUUCUUUUUGCUCUUAAAGAUUUUUCCGUUUGGUGUGACCAAUUUUCUUGCCAUAGAAAGUCUGUAGGAGAAAAAGGGGUCUUUGUGUAACAAAGGUGCAUGAAUAGGGGAAUAAAGAAUCACAUAGUCCAAGGCAGUUAGAAAGGGCUCUCCCUCAAACCAUUGGGAUUUUACAAUCAUAAUGAAAUGUCCUAUUCCAAGAGCUAUUAAAGAAACAAAAUGCAAUGGGUCGAAGAACUAUUGAUAGUCCCUUUCAUCAUGUAGUCUUCUAUUUCUUUAUAACCUACAAAGUAUGUUAAGGCCGCUCCCUUCACUUGGGGCAGGGCACUCACCCCUCACUAGUUCUUUGUUGGGCUCUGUGUCGGGAUUAUUGCACCUGCUUUCACCGUUUUGUUGUCUCCUUCGGGAAGACAUUGUUUUUUCUUUCAAGAAUCUUGUGAAACAGCUUCUAAGUUCUUAACUUUUUAAUUUAAAUUACUUUCCAUAAUUGUGUUUGAUUUUUAUUUGAAAUUUCUGUUCUGGACAUUUGCAAUCUUGGAUUUUCAUAAGCUCAUGCUUAAGCCCUGGAGAUUUGUUGCAAUGAUAGUCAGCAUGCCCGACAGUGUAAAAAUGCUGUAGGACCCUAAUAUGUAGUCCGUAUUCCAUCACAUUACUCUGCCUUUUAUUUUGUAAUAUCAAUUCAGUGGUUUUUCAUUCAAUUUUCUUAUCCAUUGCGGUCCAUCAGUGAUUCAGUUUUGACCUGCAUCCAGGAAAUGAGAGAAGACCUUUGGUGUCUGAAUAUGAGAAUUUAAACCGGUUGCAUUCUUGCAACAUCUUGUUCUGAGUUGCAAGUUUCUUUGAGUUUCUGUAUAGUUUGUGAUUUGUAAUAGAUCUAUGUCACUGACUGUGUUCUGGUACUAAUUCUUUUUAACUGCCUACUGUUUUCUUAAAACACAUGUACUGACUACUGCACACUUCUGUUCUUCCUAGUUUACUGAUGUCAAUAUAUUGAGUGCUGUUUAUAAUCGAUUUAGAGUUAGAAUAUGAUGAUUCCUGGUCUUCUACUAAUUUGAAUUUAUUUUUUGUCACAGGCCUGAGGAUCUUCGUAGACCAUUUGGACAGUUUGGUGCUAUUAAGGACAUAUACCUACCGAAGGAUUAUUAUACUGGGUGAGCAUGUCUGAGCUGUAUGUAGGACUUGCGGAUUCUUUGGUACUGAUGUUCAUUUUAAUUAGCAAAAUGGCAAAUUUAUAAUUUGUGGUUAUAUGGCUUUUGAUUAAUUCUGUAAAAUUUAUACCACAUUUUAGUUUUAGUAUCUGAUAAAUGUUUAAUAUAUAUUAUAUUUCUUUGCUGUUUUCUCAAAUUGGUUUAGAAUUAAUGGUAUUAGUGAAAGCACAUUUUCAUUAACUUUCUUGCUUCUUUUGAUCAAAAUGUUUUUGGCACAAUCCUUGGUAGAAGUCAUUGCUGAAGUUUCUGAAGUAGACCCAUAGUGUUUCAUCUUUCAAAUUAUGCAUCUGAUUAUAGGGGCGUUUCUUUCUGUUUCUUCUAUUCUUUUUUUGUUUUUCCUUAUCACGUAUUAGGUCUGUUUUUUGAAUGUUGAAGAUUUUAACAGUGAAAGUAAUGUUUUGAAGAAGACAUCAAGUAAUUAGAGUUCUAUUGAAGAUGAUGUUAAUGGUAGUGAAGAUUGGAAGGAAGUUGGGUUUGAAUACAUAGAAGAUGUUCUCAAGUCUUGAAGAAUUUCAAGUCAUCUUAAAUCUGACACAUGCAAGGUCAGCAGCCAAGUGCUUGCUUUAUUAUAACAGACCUUCCAUAUAUUGCAAGGGAUAUGGUGGACAGUUUUAUUAGAGAAGGUUUACGGCAGGCCAAAUACCUGACCUGAUUCUGUGGCUUUACUUACUUCUAUUUUACAACAUUUUCCCUUUUGCUUCUUUUGUGCAACAAUUUUGCAGAGAACCACGCGGUUUUGGUUUUGUUCAAUAUGUAGAUCCUGCUGAUGCUGCAGAUGCUAAACACCAUAUGGACGGCUGUGUUCUUCUCGGUCGGGAGUUGACUGUGGUAUUUGCUGAAGAAAACAGGAAGAAACCAUCUGAUAUGAGGGCCAGAGAAAGAGGAAGGUAUGAAGCUUCCUUGUAUCAUUUAUGAGAUACUUUAUAGACAUGGAUGCUUGUAAUUAACUGUCAAAUAAUCUGGUGCAUUUGCAUAAGCCAAUGUUUUCCGAUCGGGUGUGCGUCUUUAGUUAUUCUGCUUUCUUAUUUUAUUAUUCAUAUGCGAGAAAACUAAGAUAGAAUUAGUAGGGCGCGGGGAAGAGUACGAAGUCUCACCUCUAACUCUUAUCCUUUUAGUUCUAGAUUGGGAGACCGGUAUGUAAUGAAAGAGAUCAACUUACCGAAACCGUUAAGCAUAUCUUUUCUUCUCUUAAAUCAAGGUGCAAAGAUCUAUGGCCCACGUAGCGGGAUAUUGUAGGCGAAACUUAGAGGAGAGGAUAGGCGUAAUUGAGGAGACUAAGAAAAGACAUUUAUACCGCCCCGUGGGUUCAUUCCCCCCUUCAGUCUACCCUUUUCAACGAAAAAAGAUGGCAUUGAUUCAAUGAACAAAGGCGAGGGCCCCUCUCUGAUAAGGAAGGAAAGGAAAGAAGAAGAAUUUGACGAUCAAUCUGGUCCGAUGGCUGUUCUCCACUAACCACAAGGAUAUAGGGACUCUCUAUUUCAUCUUCGGUGCCAUUGCUGGAGUGAUGGGCACAUGCUGAGAAUUUUGCCUGUCUUCGCCUCCAACCCAAAGUAGGGUAGAAGGUAAGGGCUUGGCCCGCCUGAAUAGAAUGAAUAUCUCCUUCGUCCUGUGGCUGCUGAAGCAGUAGCAGUCAGUCGCUGCGUAACAUAAAUAAAGAGGAAAAAGCAGUUGAACUGGAAAGGGUAGGAGGAGAUAAUACGCUUUAUGAAUAUGAGAAGAAUAUUGCGGAGAAGAAUCUUGCGAGAAUGUUCACUCUUUUAUUAAGGAGAAGGACGACUUCUUAAUGGAACUGAUUGUAGUAGGCGUCAGACUCUCAAGAAGUAAAGAGUUCUUGAUAGUUGAUAGGCUUUCUCGUUUUAAGUAGGUUUAGGAGGAAACUUCAGCAUUACUAGUAAGCCUCAUAAUAUAGAAGAUGAAAGUCGCGGCAUAAUAAUAGAAUAUGAUCUUCUUGUUCUCCAACACUUCUCACGGUAAAAAAAACUCUUACUGCUUGGAAAAGCACUUUUAAUAUAUAUAUAAUAUAUAUUCUUUUUUGGAUAUUUUGUAAUAUUUGGAAAGUGCUUUUAUUAGGCUGAAAAGCACUAUCCAAUAGUUGGUUUACAGUUCACAAGUGUUUGUGCUAGCACAUUCGCCGACAAAAAGACGGUCGCUUGAUUGAAGCAAGGCACAGUUAGUAAAAUAAUAAAUAAUAAUAAUAUAAAUAAAAAAAAACAUAAGAUUAGAAAGGAAUUAACUCAAAUAAUCUUGAGCAAAAACAUAUUUGAAAUAUAGAAAUAAAAAUGAUUUUGUUUCUCCUUUGAGUCUUUUUCUUCUUCAAUUUUCCUUCAUUUCUUUGGUUUUCUUUAAUUCUACCUUCACAAACUUUGAUUUUUCAUUUUAGGCCUAUUGGAUAAGAAUGUUUUUUUUUCCUAAAAAAAAGUGACCAAUUGAAUAAGGAGAGCGCAAAAGGCAAGUGCCUUACUGAAGGUGCUCAACUUGGGUACUUGCAAGGCAUUAAGGCCUUGCCUCGCCUCACCUCUCCUCUCGCCUCAGGCAAGUGCCUGGCCGCGCCUUAACAACACUGCAGUUCACAUUGAAGUUCAGUAUUGUAUAUGAAAUUAAUAUUUUAGUCAUACAAACAGUGGGCGAUAUCAUGAUCGAAGAAGAUCCCCUCCACGUUCGCCUCGAUAUUCACGUUCCCCAGCUCAACGACGUGGGAGGUAUUCUCGUUCACCAGCACCACGCCAUGCAAGGUCUAGGUCCCGUAGCUAUGAUUAUGCAUCCCAACCACCAAAACAAAGGGCUUACUCAAGGUAUUUUUAAAAUCUAUUGCUGUUUGAUAUCUAGUUCUUAUUAUGUUUCUGAACCCUUGUUUGAGCCUCAAAUUUUUUCUGUAUCUCAAUGCAGAUCACUUUCCCCUCGUGACAGACCAGACAGUCGAGAGAGGUCUUUCCCACGACAGGAGAGCCGUGGAAGGUCAUACUCCCGAUCUCCACGUCUCGAUGGUUCAAGGAGUAGGAGUCAAAGUCCAACACAACCUGGAAGUCGAAGUCCAAGCCCUGUAAGAGGACGAAGUCUAAGUAGGAGCAGGAGUAGGAGCAAAAGUGUUGGCCGGAGCCGGAGCCGAAGCCGUAGUCCCCGACGUAGCCCAAGACAUGAAGAAGAGUAUAGAAGUGAACCGAAUGGUGAUAGGAGCCCAAGUCAAUAGGCAAACAGUUUGAAACUUGGGAAGAACUACAAUGUACUAUUGCCAUUGUUUAGUUUGAUGUUUUCGUUAUAGACAUCAUUUCCUUAGUAUUGUUGGCUAGCGUUUGUUGUUCUUGGGAUUUUGUGCUUGAUCAAAAAUUGAUUGCCGAGUACUUUCAUUUUAAUGCUGUCUCUGGUGGUGCGAUUGACACUUCCCUAUAUAUUUUUUGAGCUCGUUUUUGAUAUAGUUUGCUUUUGUAUGCCACAUAUGUUACAACAUCGGGCCGGAGAUUUAAACUUCUGACCUCUAGAUAAAACAGACAGUUGUAGUUUCUCAAGUUUCAAGUGAUAUCUGAGUGGUUGGUCCUACUUCUAAUGUCUAUUGUGGCUAUUAUACCUAACUUAUAUGUCUGUGUUGUUUGGAAAAAUGCGUAGUUUCUUUUUUCUUUAAAAUUAGAAUUAGUACAUAUUUCUUCAUUCAAUUGAUUCAUUUUUCUUCUUCUUCACUAUUUUCUUCUCUCUAACAUCACGGUUCGCCUUUUGGAUGAUCUUUCUUGUUUGCUGUUUGUCAUAUGCCAUUGUUUGUUGGAAGAUCCAGUUACAGAUAUCCAAAGAACCCACCGAAUUGGGCUACACGGAGAUCUGCCUCGAAAGGAUUGGAAAGUCCUCGAAUACAUGGUGAAUAGAGGAGGGAGUUGAGAAAUUUUAAUCUAUAAUAUAAAAUAAAAAUUCUACUUCCUUUCUACUGUAGUUCCACAUUUGUCUCCUCCCACCUCUGUCUAUCAUCUCUGUACAUACAGUAGAAGGAAUUUCUUUUCUUUUUUUUUUUUACAUUUUCUGAAUUAAUUUCAAUGAAAGAGUAAAACACUUGGAGUUGGAGAACAACUUUGCGUUUAUGAAAUGAAUUGAAAAACAUUUUAUAUGAGGGAAGGAGAAGGCAAAAAUGCAAAGGGAGAGGUGUCCAAAUGUCUAAUCUUUGGGAUUCAAUAUGUUCUCUUAUUUAUAUUUUAUUACGCAUUCAUCGUACUGAUUUUAUUACAGUCAGUUCUCCAUUUUUCUUUAACCACACUUCACUUCCACUUUGAAAUCUUUUGAACAUUACCACAUUACUAUUCUCUAUUUAUUCAUACUGAAAUUUUAUCUUCACUUCAAAUUAGCAAAUCUCACUUUAUUUUCAAAAGCAUUUCACACAACCAACCAACAAUAAUUGAAGAAACAAUAGAAAUUUUCCAAUACUUAUAUAUAUAUUUAUAUAUUUUAAAUAAUAAGAAUUUAUCGUUUUAAUAUUUUUUCUAAAAUUCCUUGUGUAUGGUUGUUUUUAGUAGAAAAUUGUGAUAAUAUUUUACUGAAAUGGAAUUGUAUUAUAUUGGAAAUAGAAAAAUUAAGGAAUUGUUUUAAAAAAUAAUUAAGAGUGGGAAAAAUUUCUCCUUUUGAGGGAUGGAGGCAAGGACGGGGAGGGAGAAGACUGUAGUCCACUGGUGGACAUUUCUAGAUCGUAAAAGAUUGUUGAAUUAUUAUUUCUAGUUGAGAAAUUUUGCAUUUUAGAUUUAAGGUUUUGCUUCCUUUGUCAAGUGAACACUCUCUUAUUUUUCCUUCCCCUUCCCUGCCUUAUUUUUAGAAUGAAAGUUUAAACUUCCUUCACGAGUUCCUUUUUUAAAAACCUAUUCAUGUGUUCUCAAAAGCAGGAACAUUGAAAUAGGGAUGAAAUUCUAAGAUCAAAAGAAAUUCAAUUUGAAAUAGAAGAUAAUUAAAAAUUUUCAAGUGUUGUGAGUGUUUUGUUUGAAAAUAUAUAAUAUUAAAAGUUUUCCUCAGUAGUUCUUUGAUGUUCGAGAUAAUGAUUUCAAUUCAAAUGAUUUCUAAAAGAGAUUUAUAUGAAAAGCUUAUGCGUAUUUCAAAGUAUGUUUAUUGAGGUCUUGAAAGUUUAUGAAUGGUGUUCAAACUUUUAGUUACGUCUUUUAACGAACUAACUGUUAUAUGCACAUAAGGAGUAAAGGUCACCAUGGGGUGAAAGGGACUACAUGGUGAAUUUAGGCAGGACAAUGUAUAAAAAAUGUGCAUUGUCUCUCGUCGUGAGCAACAAAAACGAAUCUGUAUAUUCUCGGAUGCUAUAUUAACAAUAGUCUAAAUGCAAAGUAUUGAGAAGUGUAGAGAAUGAUUGGGGAUCCUUGGCAAAAUGAAUGUUUAGUAACUAAUGUGUGUUUAUGUGAGAUGAAGCAUUUAUGCGAAAUGAUAUGUUUAUAUGAAUUGAUAUAUUUCUAUCUUAUGUUGAUGAAGCAAAGGUAUUACGAAAAAGAUUUCUUAAAACUUCACUGAGUCUGUUAGACUUACGUUUUUUUAAAAUUCCAUCUUCCAAAAAUCAGGCGUUAAGGCCAAGUAAGAAGGAUUGAAGGGUUUCCCAAGCGAAAAGGCUGUCAAGACAUUUUAGCUUAAGUUUUAAAGGUUGUUUUUAUAUUUAUGAUUGUAAAGUUUAUUGUAAAAAGCUUAGCUAAAAGUUAAUAAAGGAAUUGUUUGUUAAGUAUAUCGCCUAAUUAAAGAAUUGUUUAAGUUUCAAGUUAAAAUAAGGAAAAACUACUAGGCGAUUAAGUUAAGCUUAAGGAUCUCAAGAUUGAGUGUCUUUGGUGUUAACACGUCAGAGCUACUUAAGUCACGUCGUGUCUCACAUGGCAAGCAAGGAGGUAUGCAGGAUGGGGUGUGACAUUUUUGGUAUUUUUCAUUGUCGGUUUUUUUCGUAUUUAAAAUUAUUGUAUACAAUGUAAAUAUUUUGCCAGUUUGUUAUAUUUUUAAAAAACCCCAUAAUAUUAAACUAAACUAAUAAUUAAUUGAGGAAUUUUGAAAAAUAGUAGAUUUUACAAAAUAAUUACAAUCUAUAGCAAAUUCUAUCAUCAAUAGUCAUUGAUAUGCUACAAUGGUAGAAGACUAUGAGUGAUAGAAUCCAAAAUUUUGCUAUAGCUUGUAAAUAUUUUAAUUUAUUUUGUUAUUUGUAAAAUUGACCCUAAUUUAUUCUCCAAUUAAUUAAUUGCUAAGUUAAAUAUCUUACAUUUAAUUUAAUCCAAAUUUGAAUCAUAUUCAAAUAUAAAUUCCUCUCAUAACCUAUAACCUAUCAUUUUUAAUGUGUAUUAUAUAGACAUUAAGUUUUAACAUAUAGUUUUAAUAUGAAUCUUAUUUACAUUGAUUAAUAUUUGAACCAAUUCAAACAUUUUAUUCUCUAAUAAAUUAAUUUAGAAUCAUAUCCAAAAUUAAAUUUAUAUAAUGAAGUUUAUUUAAAAUAUAGACUUUAUUUUGUAAUGUAUCACUAUAUAUUAUAUUAAUUCCCAAGGUAAAUUUGAACAUUUCAAAUUACAACCAAUAUAAAUAAAUUUCAUUAUCUUUUACGAGAUAGGAAGUGGACCUGAUGGACUUACAAAUCAGAAGCUAUAACGAUAUGAGAUUAAUUGAUUAAACUCAUUAAUCACGUCAAUAUUCGUUAACUAUGUGUACACUCUACUAAAAACUCAUAAUUAAACUUUUUUCACUGUAGAUAUAUUUCUGGGUCUACGGAUAUAAAGCAAUAACAAUAAGUUAGUCAUUCACAAGUGUUCGUAAAACCAACUGGGUCAAAUUACCGUUUACCCGCGGGUUACUUCUAAUCCUCAAGUAUCAGUGCUUCUCUAAUGAACAACUUGUUUAUAGUCCAACCAAUAAAUAGAAACCUCUUUCGUGCCAUAGAGUGGGUAAAACCCUUUGUUUAAGUCCCAGAGACACCAUUUAAGAAAACACUUAUCUACUUAUCCUAAAAAGUCAAGAAUGAGUGAAUUUUAUCUUGUGUGAUUAUGUCUCCAUCUCCCCACUCGAUCUUGUCCCCAAAAUGAUAACCAAAUUGAGUUGAUAAUCUGACCACUCUCACUUGUAGAAAUCAAAGGAAAAUUCCUCGUGAACAUGAGUUCAUAAUACACACUCAAAAUUAAGACUAAGUUACCUAGGUCAUCCUAAUUAAAUAGGAGCCUAACUAGUAAAUGGAGUUAUAUUUAAUGAAUACUAUUUUGUAGUUCAGUCUUAUGCAAACUUAUUGCAUAGAACACCCUUACUCGCAUGUCACCUAUAUGAAUGUGUUGGAUCAUUGCGUUUUUAUCAAAUACAAAGUGAGUCGUAUCCAUAGUGUUACUAGGAUAAAGUACACAAUCUUAUCCCUAUAUUAUAGACAUUUUAAACUAUCUCUCGAAUAUUGAUCCCUAGGUUAUUAAGAAAAAAUAAAUAAUAUAAUCAAUAAUACUCAUUAAAAUUGUAAUAAUAAUACUUUAUUAAUAACUGAUCAACAAAUUACAUUUACUAUCUAUGAGUUUUAGAGUUUUAGGACAUAAAAUCCAAUCAGUAUAUAAUCGCUUAGAAAAAUAUUGCUCGCACGUGCAUGUGGUCGAUUAAUCACGUGUAGACUAGAGUGUUUUUGGCAUUUUUUAAUUUCCAUUAUGAGCCUAUAUUGAGUUUUUUUUUUUUUUUUUCAUUUCUGAAUUGUUCUAUAUAAUGUAAAUACUUUACUAGUUUAUUAUAUUUUUUAAAAAACUCUUCUUUUUAUAUGAUAUGUUAUAUUAAGAUAUAUUUUUGUAUAUUAUUUAGGUUCAUAAAUAUAACAAUUUUUGUAUGAUAUGUUAUAUUAAGAUUUGUGUAACAAAAUAUUAACGAUUUGUGUAACAAAAUUAAAAAACCAAUGAAGUCGACCAUUUUCUUUAAAUAUUUCAGGUUUGUCUUUGCUCCUUUUGAAUUUCUGAUUUCUUCAUUCUUCCACUUUUCUUCUGCAAUUUUUCAUUUUCUUUCAUUUUGCAUUAAUUUUUUUAAAGUCUUAUUUGGUUCAUGAUCGUGUACCAAAUAUAGCAAAAUCUAAACGAUCGUGUACCACGUACGAAAAAAAUCUACCAAAUAUAAAUCUUUUUAUAUUUUGGUACAUCAUUGUUUAAAAGAAAAAUUACGUGCACGUGUGACCAAGGUUGAAUGAGAGCAUUUUUGGUAUUUUUCAUUAUAGGUCUAUAAACUCUUUUUUUCGUUUUCAAAAAUUUUCUAUAUAGUGUAAAUAUUUUGUCUAUUUAUUAUAUUUAUGAAAAAACACCUAUUAUUUAAUUAGAAUUGAAAUUAGUAAGGAUAAACUUAAUUAAUUGUAAAUAUAAUUAAGUAUUAUAUUAUAAUUAACAUUAAGUUGCUUACAUAUAUGAAUGAGUUAAUUUUAGUUAUGAAUUCCUUAAAAAAUUAAUUAGUUAAAGAUUAUUAUUGAUUCCAAAUUAAUUAAAAAAAUUAUGGUUAUAUUUUAAAUGAAUGAAUCUACAAAUUUAUAUACUUAGUUUCAUAAAUAAAUUUUUUAUCCAGAAAAUUGAAAUAGUAUUUUGAAUGUAGAGGGAAACAAUGUUAAAGCAAAGAAAGUGUGGAUUUAUAUAAGUAUUGAACCCAUGAAAAGUAAAAUGAAUGCAUAAUAAUUGGAUGAAGGAUUUAUAUGUAUUUUUCCCAUAUCACUUUGAUUUCUCCCAACGAAAGAAAAUAUAAAUAAGGAAGGGGAUAGAUAGUCGGUUACAGCUAAGCGGGUGGGGGCACGUGAAGCAUUUUCUCACAUGUGUGAAUUGGGGUCCACCUUCUCGUCCACGAAUAUUUCUUGGAUUCUUAUGUUUGUAGGGCCCUUUUUCUUUCUUUCUUCCUUCCUUCCUUCUUCUUCCUCUCAUUCUUUCAAAUAAUUCUACAAUAACUAUGCUACCAAUUAUCCAAUUCAAGAACCCACACUCAUCAACUAAACAUAAUUUUCAUCUUUUUCUCCUCUUUUUGGAUAUUCCCUUUUACAUUCCUCUACUUCAAUUAACCCUUUUUCCAAUUAUUGUUUAUUAUAUAUAUCAAAUCCUAUCAUUCCAUUUUAAACUAUACUCAACUGUACUUCUAUUAAUCAAAUUCCAAUACUAGAUUUCAUCUUCACAUUUUUACUACUUUUUUUUUUUUUUUUUAAAUAAGAAAACCAUUUUUAGUCCAAAUAAGAGGAGAUUGUGUAUUUCAUUCAUGGUUUAAUUUAAUUGAGAAUAAUAAAUAUAAACAAAAACUCAAUUUUUUUAAAAAACAUUCCACCAAAGUUUUGAAAAUUGAUUGAGGUGACAUAAAUAAAAAAUAAGUAAGAUAGUUGGGACAAUUUUCCAUUAUUCAAAUUUCCCAAAUAUUUUCUGACGAAACUUCAAAACCUUGUCCAUAAAAUUCAAUGGUCGAAAUCCUCACCUCCACUUUCAACUCAAAAAAAAAAAAAAAAGUUCAAACAAUGACGAACCAUGUGGAAAAAAGAUUCAUAGACUAUAAACGAAAGGACAAAGGAAAUUUCUUUCAAACUGAAAGAUCAAAGCUCGAACCAGAAAAAGUCACGUUGGGCAUUAAUAGCUAUUCUUCACAGAAAUCAGCUUCCAUUUGAUAGCAUUAGCAUUAUUAUUAUUCCCUCACGGCGCUACUAUUCCGUAGCUUCUUUUUCCCAAUCGAAUCUCCUCAAAAUGACUUUUGGGUUAAAAUUAAAGAAAAACGAACAAUUUUCCAGUCCCCACUCGCUCACUCUUGACUCUUCUCUUGCUCAAAUUUAUUAUCUUUUUUCCCUGUUCAAACCCCAUCAAACCAAAAUGAACGGCGAUGAUCAUCACCCCCUUCUGCACGAGAAUCCAUGCUCUCUUUGUUGUCUCAAAAAGAGAAAAAAAAAAGGCAAACAAAUAAAGUUUCAAACUCUGUGGGGUAUGACAUUUCUUUGCAUUUCCUAUCUGUUUUUACACCUUCUUUUCUAUGUCACAACCUUUAUUUCUGUUUACUAUACGUUGGGAUAUUGUGGGCUUCUUUUGUUUUGGACUUAAUUUUUAAUUUCUUACUAUUUGGGGAGUUUGGUUUUUUGCUUCUUCUGUCUUUUUCUUGAGUUUUCUGAGGCUUUUUUACUGCCCAUUUCUGUCUCUUCUUCCCUCUCUCAACUUCCAUUAAUCUUUGUGCGUUUAGGGUUUUGGUUCUGUUUUGAAGCUGACUGAAGAUUCUUGGAAUUGCAGUGGGUUACUGUCAGAUUGUUCAGAUCAGGUACUUGCCCACUUCUUGUUUUUUUGCUUUCCCAGCUGGGUUCUUUGUUGUUUCGUAGUUUAUGGCUUAAUUUUUGGUGUUCAAGAUUUCUCUACUUUGGGUUUCCAGUAGUGUCAUAGCAAUGUUGAAGUAGAAUAAGAAAUGGGUUCCUGUUUUUGAUAUUCUGUUGAAGCUAAGCUACAGUUUGUUUGAAGUUCUCCAAUCUUUCUCUUAGAUGGGGAUUGAAAGAUAGUGUCUCAUUUGUAAGCUAAGCUACACUGGGUGUGUGUUUUGGUCAAUGUUUGAUCUGCAUGUUUAUGAUGACUCUAUUGCAUCUAUCUUCUGUUUGAGGAUCUGCUGAGAGAGCUAUAUUUGUAAUGUUUUUGGGUUUUGGUUUUCUUUUUUCUUCCCUUGAACUCUCAACAUUUCAAAACCAGAGAUGGGAGCAUUUCCAUUUCAUUUCUCUUGAAGUUCAACACAAAAAUGGGUUUGAUGUUUGCUAAUUAGGAAGUAAUUUGUCAUCUUGCAAUCUUAUCCUUACAUUCGUCUUUAAUUGAAUCAUGUUUUCUAUCACUCUACUAUAAUUGCAUUUUUCUCUUCACGCAUUCAAUUACUUUUACGUGUUUCUGUUCAACUGUUCUGUUGUGGGUUCUUACUUAUCUUUUCCUUUUCCCAUGAAUCGUUGCAGAUUGUCUGUAAUUGCUUCUUUGAGUUUUGGGAGUUUGAUUCUUGCAACGUAGAGGAAAUAGCUGGAAUCUAAAAUUUUACCAAUCUGAGAAGUUGAAGUUUUGGUUGAUUGGAAAAUGCGAGAAAGGUGGCGCGGAAUUGUGAUCUUGCUUCUAUUUGGGAUGUGUAUCAAUGCGUUAGGUAACUUAGAUAUCAAACUUUUUUUUUUUUCGAACAUCCUUCAUAGUUUUUGUUUUAAAUUUGGAUUGCUUGGAAUAUUCUGAAAAUGGUCACGAGCUUUGUUUCCAUGAUCUCAAUGGUGGUUGUCAGUAUAAGCAGCAGAAGCAUUGGCUUUAUAAAUGUUAAUCACACGGCCUCUUCAAUCCUUUUUUGAAACCAACCUCCAUUAGUUUUUUCCUGAUGAAGAAUGAAUUGUUUAAAUAUAGCAAACUAUCUAUUUGUUACUGAGCUUUGUUCUUGACAUUAAUAGGUGCGUUUGUGGGGGUUAACCUUGGGACCGGUGUCUCCAAUCUUCCAUCAGCUUCCGAUAUAGUUGCAAUUCUUAAAUCCCAUCAAAUCACUCACCUCCGCCUUUACAAUGCUGAUUUUCAGCUGCUAAAGGCCCUAACAAACAGUAGCAUUGAAGUAAUUGUUGGUGUGACCAAUGAGGAAGUUCUCAGGAUUGGUGAAUCUCCGGCAGCUGCUGCAGCUUGGGUUAAUAAAAAUGUUGCGGCUCACUUGCCAGGAACAAAUAUUACAGCUAUUGCUGUUGGCAGUGAGGUUCUAACAACAAUUCCUCACGUUGGUCCAGUCUUAGUUCCAGCCAUGUAUUCACUACACAAAGCCUUGGUUGCUGCUAAUCUAAACUAUCUGAUCAAGGUUUCCACUCCCCAAUCAAUGGACAUAAUACCUCGGGCUUUCCCUCCGUCCACUGCUUCCUUUGACGCUUCAUGGAACUCUACGAUCUAUCAGCUCCUCCAGUUUUUAAAGAACACAAAGUCCUUCUACAUGUUGAAUGCCUAUCCUUAUUAUGGCUACACUAGUGGGAAUGGAAGUUUUCCACUUGAUUAUGCACUUUUCCGAUCACUUCCCACAAUUAAGCAGAUUGUUGACCCAAACACUCUUUUCCAUUAUAAUAGUAUGUUUGAUGCUUUGGUUGAUGCGACCUACUACUCAAUCGAGGCUUUCAACUUUUCUGGGAUUCCCGUUGUAGUUACUGAGACUGGCUGGCCAUCGUUUGGUGGAGCAAAUGAACCUGAUGCUACAAUUCAAAAUGCUGGCACCUACAUUAGCAAUCUGAUCAGGAGAGUUUCAAAUGAUUCAGGUCCACCUAGUCAGCCAACUAUUCCAAUCAACACAUACAUUUAUGAGUUGUUUAAUGAAGACAAGAGGCCAGGCCCGAUCUCGGAAAAAAAUUGGGGUAUACUUUUCCCCAAUGGAUCUGCUGUUUAUCCUUUGAGUUCAAUGUCUGGCCGUGCAACAGCAAAUUCUUCUGUAGUUUAUUGUGUGGCUAAAGAUGGUGCAGAUGAAGAUAAGUUGCAAGACGGCUUGAACUGGGCUUGUGGACAAGGAGGGGCAAACUGUGCAGCAAUUCAGCAAGGGAGGCCAUGCUUUCUCCCGAAUAACAUUACUGACCAUGCUUCUUAUGCAUAUAAUGAUUACUAUCAGAAAAUGCGUGGUGCUGGUGGAACGUGCGACUUCGAUAGCACAGCUAUGCUCACGACGGUUGAUCCUAGUAAGUUGUUUUAACAAUUUUUCUCUUUGUUCCUCAUAUUUAGUUAGCAGAUGUAGUUGUCCUACUUCAUAAAAUUUAGACGAGUUUUUGAAUUCAAACAUCUUUUGAAUUAAAAAUGUAUUUUAAAUAUAGAAUUUUACCUAUUAAUCGUUUAAAAUUCUGCAAAAGGAUGCUCAUGCACAUUCCUAUUACUAACCCACUUUUUCUUUAACAUUAAAGAAAUAACUUUUGUUCGUUUUUUCUCAAUCAAAGUAGUUGUUUCUAUGAAAAAAAAGGAACAAGAACUUAGAAUCAUUUGUGUGGUAAAGAUAUAAGACAUUUUUCCUUGAUAAAACAAAACUUACUGCACUAAAGUAUUUUUUGUUCUUACAUGGUCAUUACUAAUUACUUUAGAAAUCUUUGUUUAAUCAUAGUUUGUUUUCCUCCUCCUUUGAAACAGAAACAAAGCUUGCUUUUGACCGUUUUAGAAAUUAGACCAUAACGAGUGAGACUGACUUUAAAUGACCAAUCAAUAUCCGAAUAACAUUUUCUUUAUCCUCACAAAUGCCUACUGAAUAUUAAAAAUGGAGACAACUGUCCCUAACGGCUACUUGAAAAUCUGCAAUAAAUGCUGAAGAUCUUCCCCAUUCUUCAUACAAAGAGGACAAAUAGGGUGCAGUAAACUAUGAGAUGGAAGCUUUCUUUGAAGAGUGAAUGAACAAUUAAAGUUUCCAAAUAUCAUUAUCCAAAUGAGGAUAUUAACUUGCCCAGGGGUCUUACAUUUUCACAGAGCUUUAAAAACGAAUUUAUCCAAAGGAAUAGAAACCACCAAAUGCUUGGAAAGAGAUUUUACUGUAAAAAGUCUCAAAGACUCCAAUACUUCAAAUACCGAAUACGAUGAUGAGGUUGAUCAAUCUCUUCUUUUAGCUAACAGACUCAGCAUAAUCUGAAAAUUAAUAAUCUCUUAUUCUUUUAACCUUGGCGGAAAGAGAGAGACCAAGAUAAAGUACCUCCAUCCCAAAGAUCAGUUGCAACAUAAUUCUAAUAUAAUUUUGGGAACCUUAUUUUAAAGGCAUUUGUUCAUUGGGCUCGAUUCCAAGGUGCUUUAUAUUAUAAAGAUCUAUAAUUCCAUUAAGCACACACCAAGUGGAUUUUAGUUUCUCCGCUACAUUACCGUAGUUCUCUGAGUCAGGGUCUGCAAUGUUUUCAGCAGAUCAUUUUAUCCAUAAGCUAAACUCUGUUAUAUUUCUCCUUAUUCCUUUUCUAGCUUUCUGUUUAUCCUUUUCUUUUGGUAUUAAGAAUCUGAUAUCUUUGCUCGAUUUGAUUUAUUCAACCUGUAUUCACGGAUAUGUCACUUGAAUAUAUCGUACAUAAGUUUCAUACACCCUUCUGUUUUGCCAUUUGAAAAGAAGUGUCUGACACGUGUACGCGCCUGCCAUCCUCAACUAGUCAAGUUCGAUUCUCCCAUACAUUAUAUAAGUAGCAGUUUUUUUCUAAUAUUCUUAAUAUCGUUUGUAAUGCUGUUUGAACGACACCAUUUGUUACUGACUAUUUGGGUUUGUAUGGGAUUCAACUUUAACAAAAACUUUUAUCUUUUAAUCUCUCAUUUUCUUUCCCCUACGUUUUGCAGGUCAUGGGUCUUGCAUAUUCACGGGAAGGUAAGUGGAAUCAGUCUGUUUAUGCAUAACUAAAUUACAAAAAAGAAAAUACCUACAAACUCUGCCCUUUCACAUAUGUUCCAAAACGUUGAGAGUAAAAAUUUGUCAACAUGUUGGAUGAAAAUUUGGACUUAGAAUUUUGUGCAUUGGCCUAGAAAGGAGGAAAUUAAGACCCCAUGCUGUUCCAAGUCAUUGCCACCCCUUAUACAUGUCUCAAUUUUCAUCCAAAAUUUUAAUGGAUUUCUACUCCAAUGAGAGUUUUCAUAAGAUUUAUGAAAAGUCUUAGGCCAUUGCCGAAAGAAUGAAACAAAGGGCAAAGUCGAGGAUUUUUCUUCUUCUUUUUUAAUUAACUUAUUUAUACAUCAAUAAUUGAGUUGUAAACUGAUUCAAAAUAUUGAAAAACAGUUCAAAUUCAAGUGGUGGAGGUGGAUUUUCUCCUCCAGCAUCGGGGCCUUCAGGUCUGCUUCCUGGUGCAAGUUCAAAGUUGCAGAUAUCUUCAUUUCAGCUCUUCAUUUUGGUAAUUUUUUCUUGGGCUUUGAUGUUUAUUUUUACAUGAAAAGUAGAUUGUUCUUCAACUUCAAUAGCCAAUACCAUUCUUCAGAUUCCUAAUUUAUUGAGCACAAAUGAAGAGAGCAUGAUCUCUUCAACACCACCUGGUUUAAAAUGUUCAUCACAUGUAGGUGUUUUGUUUAUUAUUGUUCAUUGUAGUUUGUAACUUACUCUUCUGAGCUGGUAGUAACUGGGUUUAGUUUAUGAUUAAUUUAUAUUAUUUUUGGAAUUAAUACUUUCCAUUUUUGGUUAUGGAGGGAAAGUCUAUGGAAAAACCAAUCCAUGAUCUUUGUUUACCAUCUAGAAUUUUGGAAUUGAUAUGUCAUAUUUGUUAAGACUUUAGUUUAUUUAGAUCAACUUUAUGUUUAUUCAAAUGAUUAAAAAGUUUUUAAGUUUUUGGCUUCUCAUGGCUUAACAUGGACUCUCUGAGGUCAUUGGUCACAUGCUCAAGCUCUAUGGUAUUGAGUUUAUCCAUUUUUUUACCAUGUGGAGUGAUAAAAUGGAAGUUGUGACAUUAAGGUAGAUCAUAAAAACUUUGUGCUAAUCGAGUUGUUCUCAUGCAAUGUCCGCUCUACAGAAUAAGCAAAAACUUGAACUUAAAAGAAUUUCCAAUCUCAGUGGGUCAAAAAUUUGAUUUUAUUAGCUACUAAUAAAGUACCUAUUCACCACUGAUUAAGAUUUUAAUGAUUCAAAACUAAUUAACUAAUCUUCAUUUAGUAACUUGACAUUGAUCCCCUAACAAUAGGUUGUACUGAUCUUAUCACUAACGAUCAUCAAGUUAUACGAUCCAUCAUGUCCUAAGAUAUCCAUGGGACCUCCAAGGGACCUUCAUGUGUAGUGUAAGAAAAUGGUACUUCACCAAAUUUAUGUCAUUAUACUUUAUGAUCAUGAACACAUAAGCGAAAGGGUGCUGUCAAAGAAAGUUCAAUAACAUGACAAAAUCAACAAGAAAUUAAAAAAAAACAAUGGCUUUCUGGAGACCUUUUAGCUAUUUGAUCAAUUCAAUAUUUAGUUGAAAACAAAGAACCUAACACGAUGAGUUCUAAUGAUAUUAAACUAAUCAAUAUCCUCAAAACAAGAGGUACCACAAUUAUGCUCUAAACUCUGUCAAAAAUGAUUUUCAAACGUUAUGGUUCUCUUUAGGUAAAUAUUAAAAUUGUAAAUGUUGUACGUUAAGUUCUCUGUAGUCUUGAGGUCAAGACAAAAGUAAAACACAUUGAGAAAAUCUAAAAUCAAGUAAAAAAGAACGACCAAACCCACUGAAGAAAUUACAAGACACCAUCAGGAAUCCUCAAAAUCGAAGCCUGGAGCCACCUUGAACAACAAACCAACCACUUGGUGAGAUGAUAAAAUAGACAUUAGAUGCAUAGUUAAAUCAAAGAACGUAAAACUUUUGCCAUCAAAUUAGAUAGUUGGAUGUUCAAAUGUAAGGAAAAUGAUUGAAACACUACAGAUUACAAUAGGUUGCGUAUAAUAUAGAACUUUCAUAAACCACCCAAAGGGUUUGAAUGCUCUAAAAGAGAAUAAAAUGAUCACAAAAGUAGAAGCAAGAAAGAAUGAAAUAAGAUUUGAAAUGUAUCGAAGUUGUUAAUUACCACUUCCUAAAUUUCUUCCAUGGUGGGGAGUGUUGAAUAAGAAAAUUUAGUCCCAUUACAAGUGAUAAAAUAACACAUUAAAUUUAUGAUCGAUUACAAAAUUUAAGAAAAUAAAAUCGAAAUAUUACAGAAGCAGAAUUCUAUGAUAAAAACACCAAAAGAAAAUUGGAGUGUAUGGCCAAAAAUCCACAACAUACUGAAAAAUAACAAAACUAAAGAACUUUUGAUGUUUAGCCAAAAUGAAGUCAAUUUCAUUCAUCUUUCAUUAUUCAUUUUUAAUUAAUGCAGAACUCUUCAAUUUUAAAAUUUAAAAACAAUUUUAGAGAAAAACAAAGCAUUUAGCGAGAGUUUUUAAAACACUUCUAAAUUUUAUUUUAAAUAGUUUAUAUAUAUAAAAAAAUUAAAUAAACAAGUAUACCUUAUGUGAAAACAAACUCUAAAUCAUUCUCAAUUUUACUGAUUGGUUUAUCUGAUUUACGUUGUUUUCACAUAUAGAAGGUAAGUUGGAUUGUGUUGAACAACAAAUUUUAGUCAAUUAAAUCCCGUCACUUUAUCAUAACAAAAAUAGUGAUAAAUAUAUUUUGAUUAGGUUUGGUUAAUUAAGUUUUCUUAUAUCGAACCUAGUUUAAGGUACAUAUAGAAAAUUUAGGUCAAUGAAGGUAAUAGGCACCCGCCCAAACCCAAUAAGCAAAUGAGUCCAAGCCCAAGUUUAUAAAAUAAAUAGGCCCAAGCCUAAGUCUAAACCCACCUAAAGCCCGUGAAAAUUUUCUAUAAAUAGAAACCCUACCAUUUAUUUGAGGAUCUUUGGUUGAAGGAAAGAAUUAAAACUCUAAAGAAUGGAAGAUUCGAACUUCUAAAAGAUCUCAAGGUGAAAUUUCUUAUCAACCUCGAGAUUACCUUCCUCAGAAAGAUUGAAGGUUGAUUACCUUCCUCAUAAAGAUUGAAGGCUUGGAAGAUUAAACUUUUCUUGAAUUUUAUAAGAUUGAAACUUAAAUUAAUUUGCAACCACAACUUCCUGAAAAUCGAGGAACAAGUAGUUCUAGAUUUCUAUUUAUAUUAAAGAGAAAACAUCAAAUGAAUAAAUAUUUGAGGUUGUAUUCACUAAUUAUAAAUCAAUAUACAAAGUUCAAAUUCCAUGAAUUACAUUUAUCCGAAAAUCUCGUGUGAACAGUUUGGCACGCCCAGUGGAACGAGUCUCUAUCUUUCAUCUCUUUCUCUUUUUGCAAAGAAUAUCUUAAGAAAUCAUGACAUCCAAAGCUCUAAACGACAUUAACAAGAGGCCAAAUAUACUCACAGCCGCUCAAAGGAGUAUAAAUCAUUUGAGGACAUGUAGUUGCAAAAAACAUUUGGGAACAACUGACAAAGCUACUAAAAGGUGGAAUCAUAAUCAAGGAAAAUAUUGUAAUAGACAAAACUCAUUUUGUCCUUGAAACACUCAAGUGAGAAGAUGCCACAUCCAAAUAUAAUGUCAAUUAUGGUGGCUGACGUGGAUACAAGUGAAGAUAGAAUGGUAGAGCUCGAAAAUAAUGUUAACAUGCUUAUGAAGGCAAUUGAAGAAAUGGAUUAUGAGAUUGCAUCUCUAAAAAAUCACAUAGAGAGUUGUGACGCUGCUGGAUCAGGCCAUACACAUACCAUCAUGAAUAAUGAUAGAGGGAAAACAGUUUUGGAAGAAAGUCAACCAUAAAAUUCAAGCUAAAUUGCAUUAUCACUGUUUGUUCAACAAUUGUAGAAGAUGAUUACAGACUCCAUCAAAACUCAAUAUGGCGGACCUACUCAAACUUUUCAUUUGUAUUCUAAAACCAUAUACAAAGAUGAUUGACAAUCUAAGAAUGUUAAAUAGAUGCCAGCCACCCAAGUUCUAACAAUUUGAUUAAAAGGACCACCUAAAACCACAUGUUGCUCACUUCAUCGAAACAUGUGAAACUAUUGAUAAGCAAGCAGAUUUGUUGAUCGAACAGUUCGUUCGAACUCUCAAAGGAAACACAUUCGACUGGUACAUCGACCUUGAACCUGAAAUCAUUAAUAGUCGAGAACAACUUGAGGAGGACUUUCUCACUCGCUUCUACAACACUCAGUGUAUUGUUAGCAUGAUAAAAGUAAUUGCCACCAAGCAGCGAAAAGACGAGUCAGUCAAUGACUAUAUUAAUCGCUAGAGAGCAUUAAGCCUUGAUUGCAAAGAUUAACACUAAAGUUGAUAAAGUUUACUGAUGGACAAUUCAAAAUGGUUAACUCUAAAAUUAACACAAAACAUAUCGUUUUUCUAGCUAUUCCUUUUCAUGGAUUUAAGCUCUUUAGGAAACGAACUACACGUUUUCCAAAAAUUUAACGUCAAUAAAAUGAUUACAUUUCAUAGACUAUGCUUGUAUUUUAUUAUUUUUGGAAAAGUAAUAGAUUUGAGGUAUGAGCUUAAUUUGUAAAACUUAUUUUGCAAAAUUUGCAUCAACCUAUAAUUAUUAAUUAUUAUUUGUGAAAUGUUGUAUGAACAUGGGUGGUUAUCAGAUUUUAUAUUUUAGAUUAAUGGCAGUGGAAUAUUGGUUGUGAUAUAAUUAAUUAUGAUUUGAUACAAGUCUUGUUUUCCUAAAUAUUCUUGGCAUUUGAAACUGAAUAUGAACCAUAUGUUUAGCUUUUGUAUUUGGUCAGAAUGAGAAUGAGAAUGAAAAAAAAAAAGAAAAAGAGAGAGAAAAUGGUAAUGGAAUAUAAACACAUUGGAAAAGUGUGGAAUCACAGAAUAAAAUUUCAUUAAUAACAACUUUAACGAUACGUUAACCUUUCCAUAUUAAGUUUGAUUACUCCAACACCACAUAUUACCUCUCUCUCUAUCUCUCUACCAUCAUUUUCUAUAUUAUCAAUUUAUACUUCUAAAAUUUUAAGUCGGUAUUAAUUAUUAUUAUUAUUUUGUAAAUAAAGUUAAUCUUUGUCAACUUUAGGAUAGAAAGCAUAAAACACAUUUCAAGUGUUUUGGAGAGGAGCAGACGUACAAUACACAAAAGAGAAAGAAAUUCUUUUUUUGAGUGUAGGAUUCCGUUCAGCGGUGUAUAUAUGUUGCUCAUGUGGGUCUCAUGAACAACGAAUUUUGUUCCAAAUCGACCUUCUUCCAUUGUAUAUAUCAAAACUAUAUCAUAAUUAAGAAUGAGAUAUUUUUUAAAAUAACAAAAUAAAUUAAAAUAUUUAUAAACUAUAGCAAAAUUUUGGAUUCUACUAAUUAUAGUCUUCUAUCGCUAUAGCAUAUGAUAGAAUUUGUUAUAAGUUGUAAAUAUUUUAUAAAAUCUACUAUUUUAAAAAAAUAUAUAUUUAAGAAACUUGUUAAAAAUAAAAGUUUAGGGCACAUUUUUAUUUUCAAAGAUCAAAUAAAUAAAACGAUUAAGUUUAAGGACUAAUAAACUUGUAAUUUAUUAAGUUUAGGGAUGAAAUGAGUUGUUAAAAGUCUUACAAUUUUAAAGAGGAAGGGGAUAACUUGCAUUGAAAAGUGAAAUUUUAUAUUCUAAAAAAAAUAAUUUGACAGAAAGUGUUUUAGUUUAUAGUUUGAAUCCAUUUCAUGUCAUGUACUGUAUUAAAAAGAAUUGUGAAUUCAGUUGAAGAAGAAAAAGAAGAAAGAAAGAGAGUCAAAUACAAGUAAAAGAUAGCAAAAAACAGAUGAGAACUUGCGGUGGCAACAAAAUAAUGGUCAAUUUCUAGGGACAAACAAACUCAAAGUUUCAAAUCAAAGUGGGAAGAUUCCAUGAGUCUUUCCUGUAUACAUAUCCAUUGCCUUCCAUUCUCUCCCCCUCUCCUUUUUUCUUCUUCAACACCCUCCAUAGGUUCUAUCAAAACAUUGAAAUAAAAUUAUAAUCAAAUAUUUUGGACAUAUGUUUGUAGAUAUGAUAGUUUUAAAUUAUGAUAAAACAUUGACAUUGCAUUAUUGUUGUUUAGAAAAAGGGAUUGCUAACAAAAACGUUGAUUGUGCAUCAUACUUUCCUUAUCGGUGCUUCCCUUUUCUUUCUUCCAUCGACGUCUUCUUUUAUUUAGUAUGCCGUUUGCUCAUUAUAAUUUCACCAUGCAUCUUUAAAGGACUCUUACUUCUCUAAUUAGGGUUGGUUGUUCAACUUAUCUUAAGAUCUUAGGAAAACAUUUUUAUUAUCUUGUUCUAGCUAUUUCAUCCUAGUUAGAAGAAGGAAACUUUACAUGUAUCGAAGACAUACUACAUUUUCCUCACCACUACUCAUUAAUUGUGAUUGAAAAGAAGGGGUCCCUAAGCUUAAGAGGAGUCUAAGUCAUUCGAACUAAUGAUGUUUUGUUUAAUGGAAAGAUAUCACUGUGAGAGGGAGUCCCACAAACUUGAGGAGAGCUCAAGUUCUUUAGAAAGGGAGUCUAUGUCUUAGACGGAGCCUAAGACCAUCUUCACCAAAAAGUAGAUAACAAACAAAGAAAUUUAGAGGGAAAAGUAGGUAGACCUAUAGGCUUAAUUAAAAAUAAUACACAAAAAAAAUUGUAUGUCGUCACCAAAUGAGGCUAAUAUAAUUUAUUUUAAAAUUUAUUCUUUUACUCGAGAUAACUUAAAAAAAAAUAUCACUAACUAGCGACAAAAUAUUCUUAAUUUAGAGUUAUUUUUUUAAUGAAAUAUUAACAGUUUCAGUUCAUAUACUAUUUGUGUGCAUGAUUUUUAAUACAUUUUUUAAGUUUUUGAUUUUUUUUCAAUAGUUCAAAAGUAUAUUUUUAAAACAAAACUUUAACGGUUUUCAUCCAAAACGUACCAAUAGGGAUAUUUAUGAACUAUUUUUGAAAGAUUGAGGGUAUUUUUGGAACUUUUGAAAAUUUAGAGAUAUUUUUUACACACGAUGUAACUUCGAUGGCUACUUUUUAUGUUUUAGUUUUUUUUUUUUUUUUUUUGUCGACGAUAGACAUGCUGGUACUUUUAAUAUAAAUCUAUGCUUUUAAUUAAGUUGUAGAAAAGUCUACCAAAUAUAAAAUAUAAGCAACAAAAUGUUACUAAAAUAAUGAAUAGACAAGUUAAAUUGUUUAAAAAUUAAAAUAGUUUUUUAUUUUUUAUUUUAAUAUUUUUAAGUAUUAUUAAUCGACAUCGACGUUUAAUCAAUAUUUUUAUUGAUAUUUAUGUGAACGUCAACCUUUCAAACACUACUGGAUAUAUUAUAAAUUAGAGUUAAUAUCUUUAUUUUAAUAAUAUACAUUAAAAAAUAUAUAAUCUAUUAGUUCCAAUAUCAAUGUUUAAUAUUCUAAAAAAAGAAUUGUAUACCGAUAAUAAGAUUUAUAACUUAAUUUGAAAGUACUAAUUAUGAAAUUAUUAUAUUAUCGAUGCCAAAAUUUGGAUGAUGAAAAUGCACGCAACCUUCGUACGACAACAACGCUAAAUUUGUAAUCUAGGAAAGAAUAAAUUAUUCAUGAUCAAAAUAUUUGUACAUCGAUAUCAUGCUUACCACACAGGCUUUAAUGCUUUAUUAGAAAGUGUAUAUAUGUAGCAAGUUAAUUAGAGAGUUUAAGUAAUAAAAUGAAGCUACUUUUCUUACGGUUAUCUUGAUAUAUUUAUAGGCGGUAAUUUAUUUGGAAACCCUCUCCCUUGGGUUUUUUUAGUUGUUUUAGGUUUAUUCUUUAUUUAUUAGGCUAAAGUGGGCAAGAAAUAGUUUGCAUCGACUUUUAAUUACGUUUAUUAUCUAAACAUUUUGAGACAAAAACUCCAAUAAGUUUCCAUUUGGACUAAACUUUAGUCAAAAAUGGUAAUUGUAUAAGUAUAUAUUACAUAAAACGUACAAAUAUAAAUACAAUAAACUAGAGCAUCCUCAUACACAUUACACAUCUUUGACUUGCUCUAGAUUAUUUUAUAUAUCUUACCGAACCUAGACUCUCUAGAUGACCCUCGAACACUUUAGCCAUGAGAGCCUUUGUAAAUGAAUCAAUAAUGUUAUGCUCUGAAGUGACCUUUGUAACGAUCAUGUGUCUCCUUGUUGAACAAUCUCCCUUAUUAGAUUAUACUUCCUCUCUAUGUGAUUUUCUCGUUUGUAGCUGUGGGAUGUUUUAGAAUUGACUACUAUCCCACUGUUGUCAUAGUAUAAAGUACGAUAAAUAAGUUUAUGUUUGGAAAAACUUCCAAAACAUGCAGGGAUUUGCUGAGCCAAACUGCUUCUUUUGCUAUUUUGCAAACAACGACGUACUUAGCCUCCAUAAUGGAGUCUAAAAUGCAUCUUUUUCUAAACUCUAAUCGAUGUCAACAAUGAUAUAUAGUAGAUCAUUUUUUACGUGUUUUCAGCUAUUCUUCAACAAUUUUAGGCAUUAGGAGAGUACCUUUUUCUUCUAGUAAUUUGAGAAUGAUACUUUAUCUUAUGGAGAGCCUCAUAUAUCAUUACUCACAAAGGAGUAUACUCAAAUGUACAUAAGCCUAAGUUCUUAUAUUGAAGAGUCUUUCACAAGUUGGAGGAAAGAUAACAUCAAAAGAGAGAGAGUCUCAUACACUAAAAAAAGUCAAAGUGUAUCGUUAUUAACAUCCACAUAGGAGGAGUUUAAGUUCCAUUAAGAAGAAGUGUCACACCUAGAAGGAGCCCAUAUAAUAAAUAAGUUAGGCUCUACAUGUGUCAUAGUUAAACAUCACCACUUUAAUUAUUUCAAAUAAGUAUUACAUUGUAAGCACUUGACUUUUUAUAUUAGUGAAUUCAUCGUCCUUUCCAGAGUAUAGCAUUCCAUCGACGUAUGAUCGCAUAUCACCAAAAUGGGUCACUAAAGGAUCUGAGUGUUUUUCUUGCUUCGUUGUUUCUAUGCUAUAUUUUUGUAUUUGUGAUAGCUUGAACAUCUUAUUUACCAAUGUAAUAUAUAGAAAUUAAAAGUAGACCCUUAUGCAUGAUGGCGUGCAAGUUAAGUGAGGUGAUAAAUGAUCAUUAAAGGUAAAGACCUUAGAGUUGUUUGGUACAACAAAAGUCAAUAUGAGAAGGUGUAAAGAGUUUUAUAUGAUGUUAAGAUUAGUUCACUACAUUUUUAUUUUCUUCUCAAGAAGUGAUAUGUUAGUUUAACAAUAUUAGAUAUAACCUUUUUAGAGGUUGAAAAGUUUCAUCCCCAUGAAUUUCAAAACAAUUUCUUUUGGGGUAUUUUUCUGUUAUUUAUGAAUUUUGUUUUCUAUAAUCAAUUCUUCUUCCAAUCAAAUCUACAAAUAUUUAUAAUAUAUGGUCAAACUCAGUAAGAGAGUAAAUUAAAUUUAGUGAUUCCAUCAUCAGGUUUUUCAACAUAAAAUCUAUAAACACUUUCUUAGUUUUUCUUAUAUUAUUGAUUCAGACAAUUUGAUCUCAAAAUAUUCCAAAACGUUAUACUAUUUUGUAACUAUUUCUCCAUCUUUUUUAAAAUUUUUUUGCUCUCAUAUUCACAUUUACACUAAUAUCUAAACUAUACUAGAAAUAAUUAAAAAUGAAAAUUUCCAUAAAUUUUCAAUAAAUUCAUAAAAUUAUAAUGAAAAAAGAGGUUAGAAAUUACCCUUCAUUGGUUCACCUUUGACAGCUAAGAUAUUUAUAAAAAAUAGAAAAACAAAACUGAUUGAAAUAGUUUUCUCAAACCCAACUCUAAGAUUCCAUUAAACAAAAUUGACUUUGAAUACAGAAUCUUUAUCUACUCUUUAAUCUUUUCAAAUUUCAAAGAAUAAUCUAAUAAUAACGUUGUAAAUAUGACAUUUGAACUUACAUCUAAAAGGUACUAAUUUGACAGUUUUACCAACAAUCUAAAUAUUCAUUCUCCUACUUUUUGUUAUAUAUAUUAUAUCAAAAGUAUAAAGUUAAAGGAGUUUGAAAUUUUUGAUAAAUAAGUCUUCUCUAUAUUAUUUUAUAAAUUAAAUAUUUAAGAUAGAAUAAAAUUUAUCAAUAAAAAAUACCUAUAGCCUUGGCCUUGGACUUAGGGCUGAGAUUCACAAAAUUUCUCUCUUCAUUUUGUUCUUAAAGUUUUCAUUUUUUUUUUCUCAACCAUAUAAAAUUGUUUAAAUUUUUCUAUAUUAAACGUGUCAUUUUUUUUUCUUUCUUGUCUUCAGACAAUUAAACAUGUCAUUUUCAAUACAUUUUUAUUCAAACUAAAUCAGUAUAAAUUUGUCCAAAAAGAAAAUGAAUAUUUUAAAGAACAUUUUUAAAUAUAUAAAAAUCUCUCGAUAUUUAAUGUGUAAAGAUAUAAUUCAAGUUUUUAAUAUAUAUUUUGAGAAUAUAGUAAUUGAUAUUUAUAUAAAAUGAGAGAUUUGUAAGUUUUAUUUUGAAGGUGAGAUUUGUUUAGGGAACGGGGAGCCCUCACCCAUUGGUCCAUUCUCCAUCUGAUCGGACAAUCAGUGCCGGAACCGAGAUGGGUCUCCACAGGACCCUGCCCCUAGAGAAAAUGGAGAUGUCUACGUAGAGGUAGAUGUGGAAUGUGGGCUAUUUAUGACCACACCUACCUUAUGGAACAACGUGAACAAAGAAAUUAAAAGAGUUUCAUUCAUUACCUUCAAAGUAUCUACAUAUUUAAAAGCUGUAAAAAUUAAACUACAAAAUAUCUUAACUAAGAACUGUAUCAUUAAAAAUUUAAAAGCAGAGAAAAACCAUAAACAUUCUUGUUUCUCUCACAAUAAUUCAACAAUGGCUUCAGGUUCAGGAUUAAACUCCAAUAUCUUCUUCUUCUUACAAAUCUUCAUCAAUCCAAACCACAAAAUCCCACCCACCGUCAUUCCACCACUCACCAACAACACAUUCUUAUGGGUAAAAACCAUCACAACCACCAGAAACCCAGACGGAAUCAAACACAUCAUAAUCAAACCUGGCAGUUUCAAUGGAACUUUGAACGGCCUCUUUAUCCCUGGAUGCCUCCAUCUCAACCAAACAAACGAUGAAAAUUCCAACAACAUUCCUAAACUGUAUAUGAAAUUCGCCGACGCUACAAUGUCCGUGAAAUCCAUGUACGAAACCGCCAGAGAAAUCGCCGUGCAGAUCACAAUCCCAAUCCAUGGCGUCUUGAACCAUUUCGCUCUACUCCCGAAGAAUUUGGGUAAAACCCCAAUCUCCGCCAUACCCAGAAUUUGAUACGCGCUGCUGCUUAAUUGGGCUUCGAAAAGCCCAAUUGCUGAUAACGUUGAACCGAUUUCCAGGAGGAAUUUCAGCCAUUUUCCGGCGAUUAUUCCUGCGGCUUGUGCGUGGAAUCCAGAUCCCCAAGCGGAUUGUUCAACAUCUACGGCGCCGAUUACGGCUAAGAGUGGGAUUAAGUAAGAAAGACAAGUGAAUAUUACAGAGACGAACAGAGCCUUGGGGAACGUUUUUUGGGGGUUUUCAACUUCUCCGGCGAGUGUGCUUACAUUAUCCCAGAAAUUGAGGUUCCAAAACAGAGUGUUGAGAUACAGAUUCCAAUCCCUUUCCUUAUCGCCCAAAAUCAGCCAUCGAUGGGGCUUGAUUUUGGGGAUUGCAAUGAAGGUCAUUAAAAUGAAGGGUAAGAGAGAUAAGAAGGCUAAAACGACGGCAACGUAUCCGACGAUGGUGAGACCGAUGUAGUUGAGGGCGGCGAGGAUGAGGGUGGAAGCGAGGACGGCGAUGCGGCGGGGCCAGCCGGAUUCAAGCGGCGGAGCAAUUUUCUUGAUGUAAUCGAUACAGAGGACAGGGAAGGCGGCGAUGUUGAUGACGCCGCUGAGGAGUUUCCAUGUACCCAUGAGAGAACCCCAGAAGGGUCCGAAGGCUCUUUCGGCCCAAAUGACGAAGCCGCCGUUGCCGGGGAAAGCGGUGGAGAGCUCUGCCGUGAUUAGAGCCUCCGGGACACUCCAUAUGAAAGGAAAGACGAUGAAGCCGAUGAUGGCGAGGAGAGGUCCGGCGGCUUGGACGGUUGGCUCUUCGCCGUAAGGGCCGCCGGCGACUUCGAAGUAGAUGAGGAAGAUGAGGGGGAUUAGAGUGAGUUUUUUUCUGACUGAGGGAGGGGUGGAGGGAGUGGUUGUGGGGAGGAUUUGAGAAGAGGAAUCGGUGGUGGCCGGUUGGUUGGAGUUGGACUGUUGUUUGUCAUCUGCCAUGAUUGAUUGGGAGAAGCUAACAAACAAACAAAACCAAACAACUAAAAAUAGAGCCUUGUAAGAUUAUAAAAGACAAAUAAAAAGAGGAAAAUAGAAAAAUAUAUCAACAAGUUUGUUAUUAAUAUUAUUAAUUCAAAAAAGAUAUAUACCAUUUUAGUCUUAAAUUUUGAAAAAGAAUGGGUUUGGUCUACAAUGUUUAGAACACAUCUCUUUAGUCUUUAGUCUUUGGGUUUGUAAGAAUAUAUUCAUUUGGUGUCAAGCUUUUUAAUAAAAAUACUUCCAUGACCUUUGUUUUGAAGUCCAUUUUUAAAAAUUAAAAAGUAAAGAAAAGGAACCUUUUGAAAAAUAAUGAUAAAAGGAGUCAAUUAUCCAAUACAUUUUGAAAACCCACAUUUUUGUUUUAUAGGUAAUAAAUGAGUUGAGGAGGAGAGGGCCAUAUUGUUGGAUGCUAAAUGCUAAAACUGCAUGAUUGAUUGAUUUAUUAUUUAAGGGCAAUUUCUCCAUUCAACUAUCCAUAAAUCCACAAAUCCUUUUAAAUAUUCUAUAAACAAUCAAUUUUCAAUCUAAAAAUCAAAUCUUAACUAUUAAUUGACAAUUUUUCAUAAACAUAAAACAACCCUCCCUAUUUUUUCAAGAAAAGUAUUCAACUUUUGCUCUCCCUUUCCAUUUCUUUCAUAUGCAAUUUCUUGUUUACUUUUUCUUUUUUUUUUCCAUUUCCUAGAUUAAGCAUUUAGUUUUUAAAAAUUUAUACUUAUUUCUUCUCAAUUUGAUUUUCAUUUUUUCAAUUAAAACAUUUAAACUCCUGAACAAAAAAUUAUAUUUACCAAAUUUGUUAUAUGAAAAAAAAAAAAAGUGUUGUGAACUGUUUUUUUAAUUUUUUUAUCUAAUGCAAUUUUCCUAUAACAAAACACCAAAAUAUCUAAUGCAAUUUCCCCUCUCCACCGUCUUUCUUCUCUUCUUCUACAUUUUUUUUAUAAUUUUUUGAAAUCAUCGUCUUUGUUUUCAAUCAAUCAUAAAUUUUAUACCAAAUAUAUCAAAUAUAAAAUAUUUUGAAAAAAAAUCGUUAGGAUAUUGGUACAUGAUCAUGUAGAUUUGAAACGUUACAAAAAAAUUAUUAAAUAUAUUACACCAGUGAGUGACCAAUUAAUUGUGUGUUAACCGAACAUAUUUGGUUUUCUAUUUGUGGGUAAUGUAAACUUUUUUUUUUCUUUUUGAAAUGGUUAAAUAUUCAGUGGAUUUGUUAUAUUUUUUUAAAAGACCUACUUUUAAAAACUAUAUUAAUAUAUAUAUAUAUAUAUAUAUAUAUAUAAUAUAUAUAUAUAUAUAAUAUAUAUAUAUAAUAUAUAUAUAUAUUUAGUUUUCAAAACAUAACUUAGUUUUAUUUAAAACGCUAGCCCGAAAUAGAUAACAUUACAAAGGAACUUAGAAAUAGGACUAGUUUUUAAAAACAAAAAAUAAACUAUUUGAUUUUUAGUUUUUUUUUUUUGUUUUUGUAAAUUAAGUCUAUAAAUAUUCAUUCUACUCCUAAUUUUUUGGAUUUUUAUUAUUCAGAUACUAAAAAAAAAUGUAGUGAUUAUCAAACAUGACCUUAAUAAUUCAAUUUUAGCAUGUAACAGUUCAUAUGUACAUUUUCAAAUUGGUAAAAUUAUCUAAUUAUAUUUUUAAAAUAAUACAAAAAUAUAAUCAAAUUUUUAUUAAUGAAGUUUAGUGGGAUGAAGGUGGUGAUAUAAAAAAGGAAAAGAAAUAAAAAUUUGGAAAACGUAAUUGAAAUGAGUGGUUUUGGAUGUGAGCUAAUAAAUGUAUAUCUAAAAUAGCAUUAUUUGAAAAUUCCAUUAGUUUCUUUACCUUUUCUUUUCUUUUCUUUUGGGGAUUCUCGACUUGUAUCUUUACGCUACAAUAUGAGAAAAUUAGAAUAGCCUUCAACAUUAAAAUAGGAUUCCAUAUGAUGCCUUCUAAUUCAUUUAUUAUUUCCUUUUAAAGCAAACCACAACACAAUCUUACCCCAUCCAAUCAAAACUAAUCUUUUUCCACUCCUUUCCUCCUUUUAUUUUCACCUCUCUUCCAUUACAUGCUUCUUAUGAAAAAUCUUAUAAAGUCCCUCAUCCCACAUAAUUGAAUCAUCGAAAAGGAAGAUACACAUUGUUGGUAUAGGUAGUAGUUUCCACUUCUUAUAAAUCUUUUCUAAUCGUAUUAAAUAAAACUUCUCUUCGGUGUCCCUAAUAUAGUAUUAAUUUAAUACAUUUUAUGUCACAUCUUAUCAUAUCAUUUUAUUGUUAGUUAACUAACGGUCACAAUGGUCUUAUGAAUCAUUUAGAAUCAUUUUCUAAACUUUUUCAAGGCUCAAAUGUUCAUUUUAAAACUUAACGGACCAAAUAGAUAUCGAUUUUAAACAUCAACAAAUAAUUAAAUAUAAAGAGAAUUAUAAAAGUAAUAACUACUCAUUUCUCCAACUCAGCGUUUGUAGUCCAACGGUUAGGAUAAUUGCCUUCCAAGCAAUAGACCCGGGUUCGACUCCCGGCAAACGCAUUUUGCUAUUCAAAACCAAACCAAGAAAACUUAUGAAAUCUUUGUCAAUUUUAUUCUAGUAUAUAUAUAAGAAGAUUUAUAUAAAUAGAUGUCACACUCUUCUCAAAGAAGUGAGGUGUGACGAUGUCAAUUUUUGUUACGAUGUUUCACCUAUUUUUUUUAUAAGUGUGUGGUCGUGUGAUAUUGGCGUGGUUGAAGACAAAGUGUGAAAAAACGUGCAACAAAAUUAUGUGUUGAGAAAAGUCUUUUACGAAGUACUCAGUCUGUGUGAUGUGUGGUAUUGAACAUUUUGUUUAUGACAUUGUGACUGAUUUGUUUGAGAAGAUCCGUGCAAGUUAGGGGAGCCUAAACAUUGAAGAUUGUUUUGAGGAGUCUCUCACAGGGGGAGACUGCAUAUUAAGACGAAAGGUAGAAGCGGAAUUGAUUGUUAACCUUUCUGCUAAGUUUAAUGAUUCUAGUGCCAUAGAAUUUCAGAAGGUCGUGCAUGUGCAUGGGGUUUGCUUUACAAUCUCUUCAUCUCUCCUCAAUUAGUUUAUGGAAUUAUCUGUGUAUGAAGAUCUUGCUGUUACUUAUCAAUCUUUUGAGUAAUUGGUAGUGGAACUCACUAGUGGCAUAGUUCACUCUUGGCCUACAAAUGGUCAACUACCUUCUGUUCGGUUGAGCAUCAAAUAUGUUAUUUUUCAUAAAAUAGCAUCCUAUCAUUCUAUCUACUAUUGAUGUGGCUGGUCCAGCUUCUAAGACUAUGAACUUGAGUUUUCGACUGUUUCAAGAAGCACGAAUCACAUGUUUAUGAUCUACGUCUUUAGAUUUCUGUCUUGCUCCUGGUGGUUCUCGCUCCUCUUUCUUCAUUCUUCCCGCCUCCUUCUGUUGGGUUGUUGCUUUUUGCUCCCAUGAUGUCUCAAGUUCUUCAAGUACUUUUUGAGGAGUCGAGUAGAGUAUUAUGCGGGUUUUAUUUGCUCAUUGCUCUAUGGUGGAGUCAUUACUGACAAGAUCUUCAAAGGAUGAUGUUUUCAGUUACUGUUCCUGCUUCUUAACUUUAUUUUGUCAGCAAGCAAAGGGGAGUGUAUAUGGGUGUUAUGUGAUGUGAUCUUCUUCAACACUCUAUGAAUGAAUAUGAAUUUGCUAUUUUGUUUUGUUGAUGAUUAGCUGGUUUAGAUCUGCUUUGGUCCUCUACGAACAGAUAUGGAUUUGAUGUUUUGCUUUGUUGAUGAUUAGCUUAUUCAGAUCUGGGUAUGAUAUUUUUUUUUGUGACUAAAGUGUUGUGUGGCUAGCUAUUUUUGGUUUGCUUCUCAAUAUAACUUCUGGGUUGUUUCUAGUUUCUCUGUGUUUGGUUCUGCUAGUGAUUAGGUUGUUGGUUUGUUUUGUGCUUGUCUGCUCAAAUAAAGGAAGCUGGUCUCAAGGGGGAGUUUGUUAUUGUUGUGGUCUCACUUCCUUUAUUGUAUUUAUUUAUUAUGUUAUUCUGAAUUUGGUUAUUGAGAUUGGUUGGUUGGUUGUGCUAUCCCUUCAUUCUCGAGUUGUUUGGAUCCCUUCCCAUAGUUACUUCAUAUUAUUAUGUGAAUGUUUUGUUAUGAUUUGUAGAAAAAAAAAAUAAUUUCUUGAAAAGGUGUGGUUGGUGAUAUAUUUCGAUUGAUGAGACGUUUCGAUGUGUCCCUUCUUGACUUAUGAAUUACGAUAUUGCACAUAGAAGAUAGAAAAUUACUGAAAAGUCCAGAAUACUUGAUGAGAAGAUUGCAAGUGGUCUUUGAUAUAUAAUCUCUUACCAUAGAUCUAAAGCCCAUCAGAUGUAGAUAGUGUGUCAUUGAACUGGGUAACAAAAGUUUGAUGUGUUCUAUGUGAUUUUACGUGACUCCGUAACUAAUUCUUAUUUAGUCACAUUGGUAAACAAACAAGAAAGAAAUACACAUAAAUUUAUGAAAUGUUGGUUUAAUUCCAUGGCUUGUCAGCACAGUUGUAAGGUCGGCAAUAUUAAGCAGCAAUGUCUUUGAUUUGAAUUUCAGUGUCAUAAAUCUUUCCAUUUCGAUCACCAAGCAGUAGGAAGAACAUAAUGUGCAUAAAUCCAUCUUUUAUUAUAUAUCCUGAACUUACCAUCAUCCAUAUUUGUAAUGCUCCUCUAGUGCUUUUUCAUUGGACUCCCUCUUGGAAAACCAAAUCUAUAUAUCAAAUAAUAAUUCAAUUCACAUAUGAACAACAAUAUUUAGUAUUUUACAAAAAACAAAAAACAAAAACUAAUUAAUUAGCUGAUCGUUUUGUAUUGAUUUUGAACUGACCUGAGCUAUAUUAACUGCUUGAAUAUCAGUUUGACCACCUUGGUAUAGGAAUUUGAUGGCCAAAUACUAUGGUUUGCUACUCCAUUCUACAACUUGCACCAUCAAAUUUUUGUUUUUGUAAUCACAUGGUAUCCUUCAAAAUAAAAACAAUCCCCAAAAUUUAUAUGAGUUCAUUUAAUUUUGAACUAACUUAAAUAAGGGCCUUCAUAUAUCAAAUGUUAUUUAUAUAUAAUAUUUAUACCUCUUCUAUUUUACAUCCAACGUAUCAAUUUUCAAAAGCCUUCUUCACCAGAAGAAAUUCUGUUUUAUUUUCAUAAUUUUGAUCUGUCAAAACUAAUUUUGUUUUCAAUAAGUUGCUCAAUCUCUUGUUCUUGCAUCUUACCUACGUAAAAGGCAAACAUACUUGUCAUCCUCUAAAUUUUAAAGAGUAUAUAAUGACGUGCAUAAGAGUGAUGUAUAGAUGAUAUGAUGUACAACCACACAACUUUGAGUCAAACUGAUUACAAAAGUAAAUGAUUUAUAAUUUCAUACAUGAUAGUGAUCUAUAAAUAUAGACGAUAGGUACGAAUAUCAUAGUCAAAUGUGGAAAUGUGUGCUUAAAAUAGAUAGAUGUUGCUACAACUAUAUAUUUGAGUAAAAGUAGCUAUACAAGAAAGGAAUGGUGUAUUUUUGCAUGGAAGGGUUUGAUCUAGACCAUAUAUUUAAAUCACCAUGAUAUGUAGACAUAUGUUUGGAUAGAAAGUCUUUUGUAUUAUCAGAUUGUGGAAGCAAAGAGAGGAUAAAAAAUAAAAAAAAGAGACAAUAUAAAUAUAUAUAUAUACCUGAUAGCAUGCACCACAGGCAAUUCCUUGUUUAUAAAGGGAAGGCCCAACAGCUACAUUAAAUCCUUUAGAAAUAUCAAACUCCAAGCUUUCAUAUCCACAUCAUAUACCAUUCAAUAUAUUUCAAUUUAAUUUAAUAAAGUUUUUUUUUGUUUAUGCAAAAAGUUUUUUUUGUUAUGAAUGACAAAAUUAUUAAAAAUAUAUCAAUUAAGAAAUUUAAAACUUUAUUAUAUUUUGUAAAUAUGACACAGGGACCAAAGUUUUUAAAUAAACAAGAGAAUAGUAUGGAACAUUUUAAAUAGAAUAUGAUCAAUGUUGCAAAACGUUGUUCUCUCCGCAUUUUCUUACUUGCUUCCUAUAUUUCUCUUUGUUAUUAUUAUUCGUAAGAAACAACUUUAGACAAUAUCAAUUUUCAUAUUUUGCAAUUUUGUUUUUGUUUUAAAAUAUUUUAGGCCCAUAUUUUGCAAAGAAUCCCAAAACCAUUAUUAUUUUGACACGAGUUAUAUAAUCUUUGUAAGUUCCUUUUUUUGUUAGCAUUUCGAGACACUUGAUGCAUAGGUUUAAAAUGUUAAGCUUGGAGGUGAGGUCGAGAGAUUUAAUUUAGAUAGUAUGAAUUUAAGAAAACUAAGUUUGAAGUGCAAAUUUGAAGGUUUGAAUACGUAGUGACAUGCUUAGAAUACCGAACAAUGUAAUGCAAACUUAUAAGUGUUGAGUUUGUGAAAUAUUUUAUUAUAUUUAAUUAAUGGUUCUAUUUAUGAAUCAUUUGAAUUAAUUUAAGAAGAAAACAUAUAUAUAUAUAUAUAUAUAUAUAUAUAUAUAUAUAUAUAUAUAUAUAUAUAUAUAUAUAUAUAUAUAUAUAUAUAUAAAUACUCAAUUUUAUUUAAAUACUUUUAGUAAAAGGGAGAAACUAAUUUAGUUUAAUUUUUUCUAAAAUUUUUCAAUAGAGUAUAAGAAUUUGAACUUGGAUAAUACAUGCCAGUUAGUAAAGUGUUAUGCUUACAUUAAUAAAAAAUAAUACUACAUAAAAAUUUCUGCAAGAUCAUUAAAUGGAAUAAAAGCUAAAUAAUUCUUUGGUUAAAAAUAUCAUAGGUUGACAUCGAUAUUAAUUCUUUGAUUUUUCAUCUUUUUAGUCCUAUACAUUUAAUUGUCUAAAUUUAACAUCAAAUCAUAAAUUUAAUUAGUCUUUAUGCCAAAGACUUAAAAUAAAGCUAAUUUAUGUUCAUUUUUAUUAAAAAAAAUUGUUACAUGUAAGAAUAAUAAAGAUUUUUUUAAAAAACCAGAACAAAGCGUAAAACUAUUUACACUGUAUAGAACAUUUGUUAAAAAGGAAAAAGUCCACAAGCUCACAACAUGGAAAAAAAAAAGUUCGAAAUUAAUCGAUCACACACGUGAAAAAACAAUUUUGUACCUAGUCUAAACAAUCUUGUAUUUAGUCUAAAUGAUUUUGUAUCCAGUCUAAACGAUAUUAUACUUGUGUAUCCAGUUUAAACGAUGUUGGUGAACGAAGAGAUGAGAGAUGAUGAAAAAAGAAGAAGAAGAAGGACACAAGUAUCAAGAGAAAAAUAUUGACUUUGUGAAAAAAGAUGACAUCCAAGAUGAAAGAUGAUGAAAAAGGAAUAAAUUAUAGACGAAGAGAUGAAGAAAUUAUGGAAGGAAAAAUCUAGAAUUUAUGAAAAAAUUAACGUGUAAUAAUAAUAAUGGUUUGAUUUUAAUUUAAGAAAUGAUAUAAGAUAGUAUGUGAAUAUAUUUUGGAAAAAUAGGAAGGGACUACUAUUACAUUUUAAAGCUUUUUAAAAAUUUGAUAAAUCCAUAAUUUACGACUAAUAGUUCCUUGCAUAUUCAGCGUUUGUAGUCCAACGGUUAGGAUAAUUGCCUUCCAAGCAAUAGACCCGGGUUCGACUCCCGGCAAACGCAUUUUUGACAACUUUGCUUUUUUAGUCCAUUUAAUGUUGAAAUAACUAAAUUUGUAAGGUUAAUUUUCAUAAAUACAACCAAACACCAAAAUAUUUAACUGUUGAAUAAAAUAAAAAAAAUCCAAAUUUUGUAAUACAUAUAUCUUUCCUUUUUAUUUACUUAUGAGUGCUAUUUAAAUGUUAUAUAUAUUUAAAAAUGUGAAAUGAAAAAAAUGCGUGCGUUUGCCGGGAGUCGAACCCGGGUCUAUUGCUAGGAAGGCAAUUAUCCUAACCGUUGGACUACAAACGCCGUUGGUUAGAAUAUUUACAGUGCAAUUGUUUUUUAAGUGUAUUACCGAAGCAAUACAGUGCAAUUUAUAUGUAUAAGGAUUUUUUAAACCCUAAAUAAUUGGAAGAGAAAAAAAAAAGAGAAGAGUUUACGUAUGGAAAUACACGAUUGAUUUGACCAUAAAAAAACAGUUCUUUUCUAACCUUGCUGGUAAGGUGUUUGAAUCUCUGCUGACAUGAUUUUUUAAGCAAACAUUUUUUGGGUAAUAUUGUUAAAACCAAUAAACACAAACGAGCAAAGAUGAUGUGCUUCUACGUCCGGAUGGAAUAUUUUACUUUAAUAAUGUUGUUUAGAAAAAUAAGACGGUUUUCAAACUCAAUACAGUCACUCCCAAACAACUUAAUCACCCAAUCUUUUCUUAGGCUCAUCCCAAGGAAUGGAGACUCUCUUUCAUGUUAACUUAGACUCUCGCUAGGUUGUUGUAUUUGGUAAAGGAUGUCUUAGACUCCUCUUAAGACAAAGAUACUCCCUAUCAAGAAAACAUGAGUUCCUCUUAAGUGGUGUGACAGCUUCUUCUCACUUCAACUGCAUCUUUCCUUCUUAGAACCAAGUCACUUUGUUCAAUUUGCAUAGGCACCUCCUUCACUUGAAAAUCCCUUCUUGGUUAAAAUGCAAUAUAAUUUUAGUGUGAUGAAUAUCUUGGAGUAUAUCUCUUAACAAUAUUGCAAAAUAGCUUUCUUCUUUCCAAUGCUUAUCUCCAAUGGCAACCAAAUACACAACACGAUGAUGGAACAUACAAUAAUCUUCUUCAAACUAAAAGGCGAACCCUAGACAAUUAUAGGACUACAUAUCUUUUAAAUAAACAAAGUGGAUAGACAAAGGAGCAAUAACCCUAACUUUCAAAGCAGUCAUGCAUGCAUAGAAAAUGAAAGAAAUCUGCAUAGAAUACUACUGAUAAGAAAGGAAAGUAUUUUUCAAAAGUCAACAUUUUUAAUUAGAAAGCAUCCACUUGUCAGAAAACCACCAAUGCAGAGACAUCUCACAUAGUAUCUAUAAAACUUAAAACAAAUUAUAUUGUCAAACAUAAGUUUUAACAACGCUAAUUCUGUAAGACCCAUCCUUGGAAAAGUUGGUGCCAAGGAUGAGAACGAUGCAAUACAGGAAGCUAGGUGUCCAAGUGGGGAGUUGUUUAAGUUAGGUGUGAAGGGUUAGACGUUCAAAAGCAAUAAAUAGUUUUGUAGAAUUGGUCGGACGGAUUUUGUCUUCCAAAUUCGUGCCAAAUAAUAAACCGAAUCACACACCAAAAUUUAGUUUUAAUGAGAAGUUUGGAUUGAUCACAGUAAGCACACUGAUUCCUCAAACAAAUGAAUUUUGAACCACGUAACGGGGUUGAGUAGAGAUUGAUUGCAUGAAAGUAAAUAUCAAUUAGGAAAGUAAACUUGUGAAAAUUCAACGACAAAAGGAUCUAACUUGCAUUAUAGCGAUUUCCCCCUUAUUUAAAGAAUUUAUGCAUUGAACUAACUUAAUUUUUGUCCCACUUCCUCGUCUCCCAGCCACGCCAAAUUAUGGAUUACAUAUCACAAAAGGAUAAUAUUAUUGAAAGAAACAUUAGGUAAACAUGUGAGAAUAUUUAUGAUAUAUAGAUAUAGACGAACAUGUAGGAAAAAGAUUCAAAAUGAACACCGUAGGUUUAUGACAUAAAAACAAAGAUUACAUUAUUCUUCUUGCAAAGACCAACAUGCUUCUCUCUGCACCCGAUGAAAAGGAUAAACGUUUUGGAAAGCUAUUAUUUCCACCUGCAAAGGACAAACAUAUUAAUAUCAGCUCUAAGACAGUACCAAGUAUUUUUAGGAUGGUUAUUAUUUACAGUUAAAUCAAUACAUGACAAGACAACAAUAUCUUGAAACAAAAUUAAAGCUGUCUUGCUAAACAAUCAAGGAAACAAAAUUAACAACCUUCUAAUAAUGAAGUACCCAAAAAUAGGAGGAGCUUCUUUAUAUCUUAAAAGGUCACCUUCGUCUCUAACCUUCAAAUAUAAUCUUCCAAAUAGCCUAUUUUGUUCCUUAAACUUUUAAACAUUUUGUUAAGUCCAUAAUCUUGUAUUUCACAUUCAUUUUUCACCAGUCAUCAACAAAAUUAGAAAUCUUUUAAGAACUCAAAACCUAACCUACUAUACGUUGCUUCAAGUACUUGUCUGCUACAAAUAUUCAUAGAUUAGACAAAUAUAGUGAUAGCGAUUUUCUUAAACAAUUUAUCCAAAAGUAAGGACAAGGAAUCAAAUGGCCUUUCAAACCAAGUUUAGGGACUAAAAUAUAGAGUAAACAUAAAAAGUUUGGGGGAUAAAAGAAGAUUUAAACCAUUUUAGAGGUAUUGAAUCAACAUUAAAAAGAGUUCAUGUUCCCCAAUAUCCUCAAAUCCGUAGUACUAUAUCUUCUAACAAAAGAGAAGUUAGAGACAAACACCUCAUAAGUAAACUGUAUAAGCCAUGUCUAUGGUACUAACCUUCCAAAGAACUCCCUUUCCUUUUGAACUCAAGGAGUCUUGUUAAUGAGGAAGCAUUAGAAUGAGAUGACAGAAUUAGAAGAACAGUUUUCUCUAGCAGCAAAACUGAAGGGAUGGAAAGGUAGCCGAUAAACAGGUACCCAAUAAUUCUAUAAAAGCACCCCUCUUAAAAACAAGCUACUUUGGAGGAGAAAAAAAGAAAGAAAAGAGAUAAGAAAACUAAUUGUCCAUGAUUUACAGUUAAUCUGUUUUUUUUUUUUUUACAUGAAAAUGUGUCCUAAAGUGUAUUAUAAUCACUCCACUGAUCAGAUUGCAACCUCAGCAGAGUCCCAUCUACUCUGUAGCUGAAUCACUUACUUCAUAUCCAAUUCCAUCAUUCACUUGAUGAAUGAGACAUUGUGAAAUCAGGAGUUUGAUUCUAGAUAAAUAUUGUCAUAGUCCUAUUCUGAGCUUGGUUAAGCCUUAACUUUAUUUUCUGGUUUUUAAAGAUUAAGUUUGCUUGCCGAUAAAUUGUUGUUUUAAAAAGCCAUCGGAAAGUGAGAAAACAACACAGUGAAGUAAUAAUAGGCAAUAAGCAUUAACAAAAUUAGAGAUCACAAGAAGUUAAAUUUUUCUAAAACUGAAAAGUUAUCUAUUGAAGCAAUAAGCAUUCACUUAACUUCCUGAAUAAAAACUACCUCGUCUGAUCUCUGACUAGGAACUGCAAUUAACAAUGAAAUUCAAUGUACAAAAGACAAUCAUUCUCAAUCAACUCCUUUACAAAUUCCAGCAGAUCUGAUAGUUCACAAUGAAAGAGUUGGCAUCCCAUUGGAUCUAGUGGAGAAAUUUCAUAUUGUCCAACAUCUCAGGAACAAAACAUCUCUUGGUGAAAAAACAAUUCUCCCUUUCAGCCACCAUAGCUUUAUCUAUUGAAAUACAUUGAUAUAUUGGGUCCGAAAAUUGGAGAGUUUGACAUACAUAUUAAAGAUUCAUUAACCAUUAAUUCAUGGACCUAUCUAACAUCUUUUAUAACUACUUGUCAGAAGAAAUACCAUUGAUUCAUCUAUUAAUUUUAGAAGUAAAAACAAGUUAAUUAUUAAUUUAAAUAAUCCUAAUAAUUCUUUUUAUUUACUUACAGAAAUAAAUAAUCGUCAACAAAUUCAUAAAAUCAAUAUCGAUAAUUUGAUUUUGAUAAUUUUGGAUAUAGAUAUCAAUACUGAUAAUUUGGAGAAGCUUUAGGUGACGUCAUUAGAUGGGACAUUCUCAUCGAUCAUAGGACAAUUAUUUUAGUCAACCAAAACUCAAAUCACAUCACAGAACCCAAAUCUCAGAACAAGCAUACUACUAGUACUGACUGUCACUAUUUCAUAUUUCAGAUCCAUGAAUCACAAACAGACUGAUAAACAGAAAUAAAACUGGAAAUUCAAAAUCAAGAGUUUGCAUCUAAAACAGAACAAGCAAAUAAUCAGUCUCCAAAACAGUAAAUUUCAAGAAGAUGAGAUCAAAACUACCUCACAUUGCCUCUGUUUUCCCUUCUAGGCAAGCUUUCCUUCUGCAUGUAGGAAUGGACUCAAACAUGCUGACCGGCAAAAUCUCAGACAAGAACCCAACCGCAAACUCGAUGGAUUUAGAGUCUGGAGUAACCUUGAUUCCAGUAAUAGGAAGCCAGGCGAAGAGCUUCUUGACUUCAAUCCCAGAAACAUCGCUCAAUGACCUAUUGCUCAAUUUCCCCUUGAUAUUCUUUCCGUAAUAGACCAGAUCAGAGAAAUGGACAUAGCAACUGCUUUGGAGUUGGAUUUCGAAGGUACCAUCGUCUGAGAGAGUGUAGGAGUUGACAUUGUCGGGUAAGAGACCGACUGGAAAACCGUAAAGGGGAAGAAGAUCGUGGAUAUCAGAUGACCUGAGGGGAAAAUCCCUUGCGGAAAAGGAGAGGUGGGUUUGAGUGGAAAAGAGGAGAAUCAGAAGAAAGAGAGAGAAUGGGGAGAGGAUUGUGGAGAAGGAAGCCAUUGAUGGAGUCUUGAGGAAGAAAAUGGGGAGAAAAUUGGUUGCCGCUUACUUGGUUGAAACAUGUUUAAAUAGAUGCCAACAGGUGAUAAAAUAUUUCUUCCUAUUGUCUCUCAAUAAUUCAUUACAUUGAAUGAGUUUUUAAUUGAUGAAGAUUAUCUCGUAACUAAGUCGUAAUAAAAUAACAAAAACGAUCUUCUUACAAGAGCCCAUGUGAGAACCAAUCACUCUGUGCCCCCAAAUAUCAACUCUUCCAUUUCCACCCAUUACCUCUUUUAAUUAUCUAAUCUUGUUUAAGCCAUUGACUUGGGUACGCUUUCUAUUUUAAAUGCUAUUUCUCACUCCCUCCUUUCUCACAUCUCACCAUUCCUCACUCCCCAUCUCUCAUUCCCUCUGCUUUCUUUGUGUUUCCUUCUCCAAAUACCUCGUCUCUCUCUCUUCUUCCUUCUACUUUCUCUUCCCAUUCUCUCUUCCCCAUUGUUUUAAUAUAAUAUAUAGGUUAAAAUAUAUUAUAAUAAGAUAUACUAUAAUAGUCUGCACUCCAAACACCGACUAUAAUAUUUCAUACUAUAACAUUCUGCACCCCCAAACGCAAAUUAUUAUAAUACCCACAAUUUACGCAUUCCAUUUUUCCUGUUUUUGAACUCUUUUUUCUACUUUAUAAUAGUUCUAUUAGCAUGUGACUAACAUUUGUUUCCUCAUAAAAUAUCUUAUACCAAUUUUUAAAUAUACUUAAUAUGUAAUAUAUAUGUCCAUACUCUUAGAAAGAUCUAGGAAGAUGCAAAAUAUUAGAGAAAAGUUUUUCCUCAAAUCAUGUUACAAUAGAGUGGGGGGAAACAAUUUUUGAAAGCUCCAAAGCAACCCAAAGGGGAUUGUGAUCCAUAUUAAUAUACAUUACACAAAUUACAAUUCAUAUAUAAACCCUUCUAGUGGAAUUUAAGGCUGGUCAAAACAUUGUUGUUGACAGGGUCAGACAAAUGAUCCAAAAGGUUUUGGUAAGGUCCAACACCAGUAACAAGACCUUGUAUAAAGUAACCCAAAAUUGCCAACAUUGCAAGCCUUCCAUUCUUAAUUUCCUUCAACUUCAAUUCCUUCAUUGACUUCUCAUCUUUCCCAAACCCUAGUGGGUUGAACAAUGGCCCGCCAGGGUAAGCUGGGUCCCCUGAUCCACCCAAGAACUUCUCCAGGCCCAAAAAGUAUUGUUUUCCCAUGGAUCCUGGCUUGGCCCAAUCUUGAAAUCUUCUGUGUUCAGCAAAGCCCAUCAGAGCCAUUUCAAAUACAAAGAGUGUGUAAGGGUCUGCCCAAUAGUUGUAGGUCCCUGCUGGUGGGAUGACCCCUGUUUUGAACCAUGGGAGGGCUGUUUCUGGUGGGAUUAACCCCAGUGAUCCAAAGAUUUCUGGGGCUAUGGCUCCUGCUGCUCCCAACAUUGCAAACCUUCCGUUGAUCACUUCGCCGUAUGCCAACCAUCUUGGCUCGAUGAACCCUCCUGUGCCUUCGGGAUCAGAUAGCCCCAGUGGGUCAAACCCGAAAUCGCCUGGCAGACUAAAUCAAAACCACCAAAGUAAUUCAAAUUAUCACCCAGUAACUUAGUUUAAAUUUGUAGAAAAGCUUUUUGACUUUAAGAAGAUGGUUUAUUUUAAACCUUUAUUUGAUAAGAUUAUUGUUACUUAGAAUAUGAAAAAUAAUAAGAAGUGAUAGAACUUUUUGUAAUACCUUCCAUCCAAGUAAGAAAGACUUUGUUUUGAAGCGAACCAGAGUUGCCUGUCUGCUCCUUGCUGCAAUAAUAACAAUAAUAAAUCUCACAAGUUGCAACUAAACUACUUAACCCGAAUACGAUUUGAACUAGGAGAAAGUAGAAAGAAGUUAUUUCUCCCUUCUUCAAUAAUGAGCCCCUGCUCAAUCACUACUCAAAAACUAAAUUAAGACUCUGGUGACGAUUAGUUUUUUAGUUUUAAAAUUAUAAUUUAUAACUACUACUUCACCUGUACGUCUCUUGGUUUUGUUGUCCAUUUUCUAUAAAUGUUUUAAAAUACCAAACUGAAAUUCAAAAAUUAAAAAGACAGUAGCUCUCAAAUGUUUUUGUUGUUAGGAUGGAUGGAAGUAAGAGGUCAAGUCUUUCACCAACAAACGUCAGAACCAUAGUAUAGAUUUAGAACAAAAGAAACAUAAAUUUACAUUCUAAACACUCUUUCAGAUGCAGAGCUUGAAAAGUAGAAAAACUCAUUGAACACAAGAUCUUUCCACUAUAAUAACCAUAUUAAACUUGGUGAGUCAACAACCCACCCGCAAGACAAUAGAUAAAAAAGAAAGAAAGGAAAAGAAAAGCAAC